rnacentral:lncRNA from 1 species
CAAGCCAUGAUGGAAUUUCCCCAUUCAGACGGUUGUAGCUUAAUUGAAGGAUCCUCAAACGAUGCAAUUGGCCAAAUUCUUUAGGGAGAUGGCCAUAGAAAUGGUUGCUACUCAAGUCGAGAGAGAGUAGAAAUGAAAGAUUUCCAAGGUGUGGAGGGAUAGUACCCCUAAGAUUCAUGCUUGUAAGAUUCAAAGCUAUAACUCUUUUAUGGAGGAUGCCACAAGAAACACCAAUCCAAUUGCAAACAGAGGUUGAGGCUGUCCAAUUGUUUGCCAUGUCAUUUUGAGGACCGGCAACGCGAUCCUUGAACUUGAGAAGUGCAAACUGAUUGGAGUUGAGAUUCUUGACUGUCAUAGCCAAGCAAAGUACGGAACAUGGUAUAAAUAAAGCUAAAAGAAGAUGAAAGCAAGUGUUGUAGUCCAUGAUUGCAAGAUGGAAUAAGGCAAGAAAAUAAUAAAAAAAAGUAGGAAAAGGGAAGUUGAGUUGAUAAAAUAGUUUGGAUGAUGAAGAAAAGCCCAGAGAGCAUGCUUUAAUAUGUUUCAACCCUCGCACACUUGAUAAACUUGAUAAAUUUAAGACUACCCUAAAAAUUAAAAAGGAAAACAAAGUUUUGAUGAAAUUUCAAAAUAAAUGUCAAGUAUUCUUCUUUUAGAAAUACGUACAAAGAAGCGAAUUUUCAAAAUUUCUCCUAAAUUUUCUUCACAUUACUCCACAUAAUCCAUUAAAAAAACUUAAAAAAUAUAUUUUAUUAAUUACUAUAUAUUUUUUAUUUUCAGAAUAAUAAAUUGUUUAAAAUAUGCUAUUAGUCCCUGUAAUUUAAAAGUUAAAAAAAUCCAAUCCUCCUAUUUUUUUAAUUUAAAAAUUCUAGUCCAAUCAUUUUUAAUUCCAUUAAAAAAUUUCAACUUAAUAGAUUUUUUAUUGUCAAUCAUAUGCAACAUUAUAUGAAGGCAGUCUACUCAGUAUAUAUCCAAGUUUCCAGAUUUUAAUAGAAAAUACUUACAAUCCUAAUGAUAGGACUAAGUUUUUUAAACUAGAAAAGUAAAACAAACUUAAUUUUUAACUUUUUUAAGUACAAGGAUUAAAUUUUAAAUGUUGUCAAAGUACAAGCACUAACAAAAUAUUGUGAUCUAAUAAAUGUAAAAAGCAUUUUAAACAAAAGAAGGUUGAAAUAAUAUAUUUGUCCUUAUACUUUGAUAAAAUUUGUAUCUUUUUUCGAACUAUUUAAUGCCAUUUCAACAUUUUCAUUAAAAAAAACAUAUCAUUUUGAAUUUGAUCUUUUUCAAUAUGAAAAUAUUGAAAUGAUGUUAAAUUAUUGGAAAGAGAUACAAGUUUCAUGGUAUCUCUCUAAGAAAGCUGAUGUAAGAUAUUAAUGACAUCAUUUGAACAAAGUUUUAGGUCAAAUUAUUCAUCUAGUCCUUGUAAUUAUUCUUUAAGGUGAAUUUCAUUAUUAUUCUUUUAUUUUCUUUGGCUUAAAUACACAUUUACCCCUAAUUUUAUCACAUUCUCCUUAAUUGGUAUUUAUAGUUUAGAAAAUUUUACAAAUAUAUUAUUUUUUAAGAAAUUAUAAGAAGAUUACAAAAAUUCCAAAAUAAUGUAAAAAAGCUAAGAAAAACCUAGAAAUUCAAAAAAAAAAAUCAUGUUUUUACAAAUUGGGGUAUGCAAUAAAUUUUAAGAUGGUUUUUGGAGUUACAUCUCACUUUAGCAUUGACUUACUUUUCUACGGUUAGUCUUCUCCAACAAGUUAAAUAUUUCAAUUUUAACAACAUUGACAGGUCUUUGGGGUAGGGUCGAGCAAAACUCAAUAGAAAUAGAUGAUAUAGGUUGAGUUGGCUCGGCCAAGUCGAGUCGACUUGUUCAAAUUUGUUAAAUUAGUAAAUUUUAGGGUGCAGUUAGAAUUUUUUGUUUUGAGAUGCUAAGAUUAAAAAAUUUGAGUUUUGAAAACUUUGACUCCUUUUUGCUUUGAGAGUUGAUUUGAAGAGAAAAGAGCUUGAAGGUGCUUUUGUAGAAAUAGGACAAAUUUUAAAAUAAGGAGUAAAUUGGAAAAAAAAAUUUGGGUUGGGCUAAUUUGAAAAUUUGACACUUUUGUGGGAUAAAAAUAGAAAAAUAUUUUAGUUGAAUACACAUAAGGAGUUACGAACUUGAGACUUAUAGGUAGACUAAGGCCUUACCACUUAACCAACAAGCUUAUUAUUAUUAUCUUUUAACACAAAUAAAUUUUAAGGCAUACUAAGGGCUUGUUUAGCAUUGCUGUGAAGAAGCACUUUUGGCUUAGAAACACUUUUAAGAGAAAAGUGGUUCUAAGCUAGUAACUUUUGGCUAAGAUUUUGGCUUUUCAAAAGCACUUUUGGCCAAAUGGAGAAGCUAAAAUUAUUAGCUUUUCUUACCCAAAAGCACUUUUGAGUGCUUAAUUACUAAUUCAUCCCUCCAAAAACAUAUUUUAAAAUAAAAUAAUACAAAUAUGUUAAUAUUUAAUUACAAAUAUUUAAUGGUUAUAUUAAAUAUUUAAAAUAUAAUUUAUAUAUUCUAAUUAAAUUUUAUAAAUAAUUAAUAUUUGUUGCUUAAAAAUAUUUAAAAUUUAUAUUUUAUAUAUUAAAAUAUUAAAAAAAUAUAUAAUAAAUUAUUUUUAUAUUCUUACUAAAAUAUCAUAAUAUUAAAUAAUUUUAAUAUUAUUUAAAUGCAUAUUUGUUACUUUAUAAUAUCAUGUCUAAUAUUGACGUUUUAUUUCUUAAAAGCACUUUUUAACAUUAAUAUUAAACACUUAAAUCUUAAACUAAAUUUCUCAAAGAUAGUUUUCUACAACGCUUUUUAAAAGUACUUUCCAAAAUCAAUGCUCAACUAUCUCAAACUCUCUUACCUUAUACUUUAAAAGAGAAAUUUUUUUUUUAAAUUUUAUCCCUAUUUCUUUUAACCCAAUUUUUUGGAUGUCAAACAUUUAUAAAUAAAAUAAGAAAAAGGAAAAAAAAAAAGCAUAUACAUAUUGAUGGGUUUUUUUUAUUAUUAGACUUUAUUUUUUAUCUCAGGUAAAAGUUUUUAUGGAGAGGAUCAUGUAAAAUUAUGAUCUGAAUCAUUUUAAACAUUUCAUCAUUGCAAAAAUGAAAUAAUAGGAAAGAAUGACUAUACAAAUUUGCAUUUGUGUUCUUUCUUUCAAUAUUUGCUUUCAAAACUGUGGGAAAAUUUUAAAUUUGAUGAAAUUUUAAAAUUGCACUUCAGACGUAAAAUAUAAAAUUUAUGAAUAUGGACUACCCAUUUUAUUUAUAAUUUUCUGUGUUUUUCUUCUUUGCUGACUUUUUUUAAUGUCAUUUUCUAUCAUGAAAGAAACUUAAAGAUUCACUAUUUAUUUCUCAACCAUUAUGAAAUUACUUGACUAUGGGGGUAGAAUUUUCUCACCAAUUUUCUAACAUGAGAUUUUUUGAAUGAGACAAACAUUCAAUUUUAACACAUUUCCCAUAAUGAGUCACCCCUAUUUGUGAGUGAUUUGGGGAUAAAAGCUUAAACAUUUCUGGAUCACAUUGCAUUUAAGACGGGUGUUUGGAGUUAUAUGAUAUUUUAACAUAGACUGGCUUUUCUAUAAAGAGUACUCCUUGCUUUACUAUUGUCAUGAUACGAGGAGAUACUGAAAAUUAUUGUACUAUGAAAUUUUAAUUCACUCGAAAAAUAAGUGUUUUAUUUCAAGGGAUUAAUAUUAGCUUUCUCUUUUUUAAAUUUUGAAUUUUUUUUGAGAACUGCGUAAUUAAGAAUAUAUCAAUUUUGGGUGUUAUAGGGGUGUUUUAACCUUCCCUAUGUGUAAUCGACUACUAAACUUUUUUAUUCUUUAGAAUUCAACACAUACCUCAAAAUUUUCUUUUUAAAAGAUUUUUAAAAUCUCUUUAUAAAAGAUUAUCAUACUUAACAAAGAUGAUCAGUGACGACUUUUCUUUAAUAAAAUAUUAUGUUUUUGCAAAGACCAAAAUUUUCAUAUUUUUCAAGAAUUCCUCAAUCUAAUUUUCUUUUUGAAUUUUUAUUUUCAAUAGGAAAAUGAUCCCUACAAUUCAUAUUUAUUUUCUCCAUUUUUAAUGUUUUUUUAAGGGAAAUGAAUAGUGGAAUGAUAAUUUUUAGUUAAGGUAAAGUAAAUUUAAUUAUCCACAACCUUCAACUAUUAAUUUUUUGAUUUAAUUACACAAUUUUUUGAAAUUAAUACUCUUUUAUUAGUUGUCGCUAGUUGAGGGACGAAAAGUUGAUUUGGACUUUUUUAUUGACCUAAUAACAAAUUUAGAUAUUCAAAGUUUACUUAUUCUAUCAAUUUAAUGCUAAAUUUAAAAAAUUCAACAAAUCCUAUCAAAAAACAAUUGGACCUUGAGUACACAGGCUGUGAGAUUUUCACAUGGCUGUGUCUACGCUGCACUCUAUUUUAUCAAAUUCGGACAGAGAGUUACACAGGCUGUUCACACAGGCGUGUGCCUCCUUCACAUGGGGCGUGUAGACCUCCACACAGCUUAGGAACUUCCACAUGGUUGGGGCACACGGUCAUGUGGCCUUGUUUUGUAGAUUUUUGUUCUGUGUCAGAUUUUAACUCGUUUUGUGCCUGUGUGUAUUCUGACCCCAGUUAAGACUUAGUAAGAAUGUUUAGGACUUUGAUUAGUUUGAAUUUGUGCAUUUGUUCGUAAUUAAUGUGUUAAUUUAUUAGUUUGAUUAAAUGUUAUGUGAUAUUAUUAGUAAAUAGUUACAAACCUAAUUGAUUCUAAAUCUGAUUGAUUGAACUUGUGUGUUUUGUUUUCUGUAUGAAUGUUUGUAUGUUGUGUGCAUUUUGUAAUCGCAUAAAAAUUUUACGAUUGACUGACUGAAUAUGAGCUUCUAUAUCUAUGACACUAUUAGUGUUUGAUGUGCAUUCAUACACAUGCAUAAAAUUGGGGUUUUGGUUAUGAAGAGAAGGAAGCCUGUUUCGGUAGUUCAACUGUAAUAUUUUUGAACAGCGGUUUACCGUGUGAUUCUAUAUAUAUGUCAGCUCAGCUGCAUAUUAUGAUUUCGAGUGGCUUAGUUUCCACAUUGUAGUGUGUAGGGUGGAUGAACCUUUUAUAGUUCUUGUAAUAGGCCCAAUUUGUCCGAGCCCAACAAAAUAAGUUACAAACCCAAAAUAAACAUUACAAGCCCAAAAAUUUAAAAAAACCUAAUGGCCCAAGUGGCCCAAAACUUAACCUUCUUCAGCCGCCGCUCCUUCCACGCGUGCCAACCUCCUCAUGCGUGCCACCACCUCAGCACCUCCAUACCCUCCACGCUCUCUCUCUGCCACCAUAGCAUGCGUUCUUGCCCCGUACUUGCAGACCAAGCAAAAGAGAGCACAACAGUAAAGAGAAAAACAUUGUAUUUUUCGGCUAUAAAAGCCAUGAACAAAUCAAUGUAAAUUUUUUACAACAAAAAUAAAUACAAAAAAGGAAAUCGGAAACAAAAAAAGGUGGUUCUUUUGUUUUUUGUUUUUAUUUCUUUUCUACUUAUAUUUCUACUAGUUUUUAAGAAAAAUAAAAAAGAAUGGACUCAAAUCUUACCCUUUUCUCGCAUGUGCGCCGUCGUGGGGGGUCGAGGUUCGUCGUUUCCAAUGAAAAACAAUGUUUUUUUUGAGUCGAGGAAGUUGAAAAGUCAAAAAAUGGCCUUCUUUCGAUUUUUUGGCCACCGUGGAUGGCGGCACCGUCACUGGCAACCGGCGACCGGCGGCCUCUACGAUGGUCCGUCGGUUGGAGCCAUGGCCGGAGAGGGGAGUUGAGAGAGAGGGGGAGAGUGAUUUGAGUUUUUUUUUCAGAGAAUGGGGAGAAAUGAACAAUUUUAAAAAAAAUUGGUUUUUAUAGAGGAUUGAAACGGCGCCGUUUUGGGCCUUAAACCCAGUGGCCAAAACGACGUCGUUUCACCCCUUUAAUCCGCGCGUGGACCCGACCUGCAAGAGGAUCCGUGUGUUUUUGUGAAAGGGUCUAUUUGCGCGUUAGACCCUUUCGUAUUUUUCAAUUGUCUUAAUCCAGUCCUUUUUUAUUUUCUAAUUUGUACUUCAAAUUUUAUUUCAUUUUCGAUUUGGUCCUAGCAAAACGGUGCGUUUCAGAGGGCGGGGAUAUUUCCCCAGUUGGUCCCUCUUAGUUAUUCGCGCCUUUCAAAUGGGUCCUCUACCUUAUUUUCAUUCUCGAUUUUUACCCAGAUUUCUGAUUAAACUUCAAUUUAGUCCUUCUGCGUCUAUUAAUUUAUAAUUUUAGCCCCUCUUAUAUUCAUAAACUUAUUUUAUUAGGAUUGGACUCGUAAUUUUAUUUCAAUGUCAAUUUAAUCCCCUUUUAUCUCUGUCUAAGUUUUUUUUUCUUUUUUUUGUGUUUUAUUUAUUUGCUUACCAUUUCUUUUUUUAUUUUGAUUUUCGUAUUUAAUGAUGCUUUUAUUUUAUUUAUUUUAUUCUUGACUUUCAUUGUUAUUAUUGUUGUUGUUGUUGUUGUUGCUGCUGUUAUUUUUAUGGUUUUUUAUUAUUUCAUUUAUUUACAUAUUUUAUUCAAAAUUGUGUCUUUAAAUUUUGUUUACAUUUUAAUUCGGUUCUUUACUUUCAAUAUUUUUUAUAAACUAUUUUCCCUUACAUUAUUUAUGUAUUUAUUUAUUUAUUUCUUUUUAAAGUUGGUAUUGUCCUUUUAUGUGCAUACUUUGACAUUAUUACCAGUGUUAUUGUUUAUUUUAUUUAUCUUUUGAUUAUUAUUAUUAAUGUUAAAGUAGUGUAUAUUAUAUGAUUCUCUAAAUUGUCUUUAUUAUAUUCAUUAUUGUUAUUUAUUAAUGCAACAUUUCAUUAAUGUAUUAUUUUAAAUAUUACACAUUUUUACCCAAAUUUGUAAAAAAUAUAAAAAUUAGAAAAUAAGCAAUAUUUCGUAUUUUGGAAUUCAAAAAGUCGUUCCCUAACUUACGGGGUUUCAAUUUUUUUUUAUAAAUCCAAAUAUACAAACCAUUUUUCAAAAACACAUUUUUAAAAUUAUCUCAGGAAUUAAAAAGAUUGUUUUCCAACUUACGAAAUAUGAUUUCUUUUCUAAAACUGAGAUAAUAAAAAAUUUCUAAAAAUAAAUAAAAUUUUUGGUGUUUAUUCUCGUUUCGAGAUUUAAGGUUAACUCACAGGGUAUAAUUCUGUUUCUCAGUUGACGUAAAAUAUGCCCUUUUUAAAAUUCUUUUAGGUAAUUUUAAUAAAAGGAUCGUAUUUUAAGUCUCUUCAAAAUUUUCAACUUUCAACAUUAAGACAUUAAUUAAUCAAUUAGGUAUCAAUUUUAGGCGUCACGAGGGUGCUAAUCCUUCCUCGCACGUAACGGACUCCCGAAGCCAUUUUUCUCGAAUAUCGUAGACCAAAACCAUUGUUUUAGUAAAAUCGAAACGUUUUGUUAAAACGAUUGGAUUGCAAGGUGAUCCGAUCACACCUCAAAAAAAAUAUCGGUGGCGACUCCAAUUUUUUUUCGUUUUUAUUUUUAAAAUAAAAGUCGACCCCUUUUUUAUUAAAAAAAUGGCUUUGACAGUUCUAUGUGGUGUGCAGGGUAGACGGGCCUUCUAUAGCCCUAAUGUGGUGUGCAGGGUGGUCGAAGUGGUGUUCAAAUGGUUGGGUGGGUUUUUGACUUAUUGCAUACGGUUUGCAUUAGGCAUAUGUGUCUGAUUAUGAUUCUUUUUAAUAUUAUUUGCAAAUGUUUGUACUAAUUUGAUUAUUACAUGUGUUUGAGACAUUGCUUAUGCAGUUUGAUACUAUAUAUUGACUUAUCGAUGUAAGCUUUUCGUAAGUGACCAUCAUAUAGUGCUUGUCUGAAAUAUUUAUGGAGUUAUCCCCUCUUUUACCGACUGUUGUGUUUUGGACUCACACUGAGCUCGCGUAGCUCACCCCCUUAGUUUUCUUCCUUUUAGGUACUCUCGUGUUCUGUAGCUAGUCUCGACAUAUUAGAAGGCUCAGACGGAAGAGGUGAGAUUUGAUUUACUAAAGUGUUUCGAUUCAAUUUUAGUUUUUCUAUCUUCUUGGGACUAUAAGUGUUAAUAGGGACUGUGGUAUAAGUUUUACUUCUGGACUUUCGUAAAUUUUUAUUUUGGGACUGAACUUUUGAAACUGCGGAAUUAUACUUUCUAAUGUUUUUAACAUAAUUUAAAAUUUUUGUUUGAAUCCUGAAUGGUUAAACGACUUAGUUUGAUUUAGCAAAACUGAGUUAUAAAUGAGAUGUUAACAAUUCAUUUUGUAAAAUUAUUUUUCGAUCACUUCGGUGUUCAAAGUAACCUCUGAGAUUCGAUCCAUACUUUUAGGCCGAGUUUUGGGGUGUUACAUUAGUUUUCAAGAGGAGAUUGGUGAUCUACUUGAAGAUAGAUUGAUUUUGAAAACUUUGACUCCUUUUUGCUUUGAGAGUUGAUUUGAAGAGAAAAGAGCUUGAAGGUGCUUUUGUAGAAUUAGGACAAAUUUUAAAAUAAGGAGUAAAUUUGAAAAAAAAGUUUUUGGGUUGGGCUAAUUUGAAAAUUUGACACUUUUGUAGGAUAAAAAUAGAAAAAUAUUUUGGUUGAAUACACAUAAGGAGUUACGAACUUGAGACUUAUAGGUAAACUAAGACCUUACCACUGAACCAACAAGCUCAUUAUUAUUAUCUUUUAACACAAAUAAAUUUUAAGGGCUUACCACUAAGGGCUUGUUUAGCAUUGCUGUGAAGAAGCACUUUUGGCUUAAAAAAUACUUUGAGAGAAAAGUUGUUCUAAGCUAGUAACUUUUGGCUAAGAUUUUGGCUUUUUAAAAGCACUUUUGGCCAAAUGGAGAAGCUAAAAUUUUUAGCUUUUCUUACCCAAAAGCACUUUUGAGUGCUUAAUUACUAAUUCAUCCCUCCAAAAACACAUUUUAAAAUAAAAUAAUACAAAUAUGUUAAUAUUUAGUUACAAAUAUUUAAUGGUUAUAUUUAAAUAUUUAAAAUAUAAUUUAUAAAUUCUAAUUAAAUUUUAUAAAUAAUUAAUAUUUGUUGCUGAAAAAUAUUUAAAAUUUAUAUUUUAUAUAUUAAAAUAUUAACAAAAAAUUAUAAUAAAUUAUUUUUUAUAUUCGUACUAAAAUAUCAUAAUAUUAAUUAAUUUUAAUAUUAUUUAAAUGCAUAUUUGUUAAUUUAUAAUAUCAUGUCUAAGAUUGACGUUUUAUUUCUUAAAAGCACUUUUGAACAUUAAUGUUAAACACUCAAAUCUUAAACUAAACUUCUCAAAGAUACUUUUCUACAACACUUUUUAAAAGCACUUUCCAAAAUCAAUGCUCUUACCUUAUACUUUAAAAGAGAAAAAAAGAUUUUAAAUUUUAUCCCUAUUUCUUUUAACCCAAUUUUUAGGAUGUCAAACAUUUAUAAAUAAAAUAAGAAAAAGGAAAAAAAAGCAUCUACAUAUUGAUGGGUUUUUUUCAUUAGGAGACUUUAUUUUUAUCGCAGGUAAAAGUUUUUAUGGAGAGGAUCAUGUAAAAUUAUGAUCUGAAUAAUUUUAAACAUUUCAUCAUUGCAAAAAUGAAAUAAUAGAAAAGAAUGACUAUACGAAUUUGCAUUUGUGUUCUUUCUUUCAAUAUUUGCUUUCAAAACUGUGGGAAAAUUUUAAAUUUGAUGAAAUUUUAAAAUUGCACUUCAGUAAAAUAUAAAUUUUAUGAAUAUGGACUAGCCAUUUUAUUUAUAAUUUUCUGUGUUUUUCUUCUUUGCUGAAAUUUUUAAUGUCAUUUUCUAUCAUGAAAGAAAAUUGAAGAUUCACUAUUUAUUUCUCAACCACUAUGAAAUUACUUGACUCUGGGGGUAGAAUUUUCUCACCAAUUUUCUAACAUGAGAUUUUUUGAAUGAGACAAAUAUUCAAUUUUAACACAUUUCCCAUAAUGAGUCACCCCUAUUUGUGAGUGAUUUGGGGAUAAAAGCUUAAACAUUUCUGGAUCACAUUGCAUUUAAGAUGGGUGUUUGGAGUUAUAUGAUAUUUUAACAUUGACCGACAUUUCCAUAAAGAGUCCUUGCUUUACUUUGGGUGGUCGUUGGUAUUACUCUCCAACAAUUAUUGUACUGUCAUCCUUAUUCCUACCCCACCUAGCAGAGAAGUUUCAUAAGUGUUUUAUUUCAAGGGAUUAAUAUUAGCUCUCUCUUUUUAAAAAAUUUGAAUUUUUUUUGACAACUGCCUAAUUAAGAAUGUAUCAAUUUUGGGUGUUAUAGGGGUGUUUUAACCUUCCCUAUGUGUAAUCGACUCCUGAACCUUUUUUCCUUUAGAAUUCAACGCAUACCUCAAAUUUGUUUUUUUUAAAAGAUUUUUAAAAUCUCUUUAUAAAAUAUGAUCACGCUUAACAAAAAUAAUCAGUGACGACUUUUCUUUAAUAAAAUAUUAUGUUUUUGCAAAGACCAAAAUUUUCAUAUUUUUCAAGAAUUCUUCAAUCUAAUUUUCUUUUUGAAUUUUUAUUUUCAAGAGGAAAAUGAUCCCUACAAUUAAUAUUUAUUUUCCUUAUUUUUAAUUUAUUUUUAAGGGAGAUGAAUAGUGGAAUGAUAAUUUUUAGUUAAGGUAAAGUAAAUUUAAUUAUCCACAACCUUCAAAUAUUAAUUUUUUCGAUUUAAUUACACAAUUUUUUGAAAUUAACACUCUUUUAUUAGUUGUCGCUAGUUGAGGGACGAAAAGUUGAUUUGGACUUUUUUAUUGACCUAAUAACAAAUUUAGAUAUUCAAAGUUUACUUAUUCUAUCAAUUUAAUGCUAAAUUUAAAAAAUUCAACAAAUGCUAUCAAAAAACAAUUGGACCUUGAGUACACAGGUUGUGAGAUUUUCACAUGGUUGUGUCUACGCUGCACUCUAUUUUAUCAAAUUUGGAUAGAGAGUUACACAGGCUGUUCACACGGUCGUACACCUCCUUCACAUGGGGCGUGUAGACCUCCACACAGCUUAGGAACUUCCACAUGGCUGGGCCACACGGUCAUGUGGCCUUGUUUUGUAGAUUUUUGUUCUGUGUCAGAUUUUGACUCGUUUUGUGCCUCUGUGUAUUCUGACCCCAGUUAAGACUUGGUAAGAAUGUUUAGGACUCUGAUUAGUUUGUAUUUUUGCAUUUGUUCGUAACUAAUGUGUUAAUUUAUUAGUUUGAAAAUUUCACAUUAAACUAAUAAUAUUAGCAAUUAACUUUCAACAAAUCUGUAACAACCUCAAAUCCAGCCUAAACGUUAUGGUCAAAUCUAAAAGGUUACAUCAGUAUGUAGAAAAUUUUGUUCUUCUAAAUGUGUUUUGUUACGAAAUUGAAAACCAAAAUUUAUGUAAGUUCGUCAUGAUUCCUCAAUAGAAAAAUCUGUAAAUUAUCAAAACGUAAAUGUGAACAUAUUAAUUAUUAACUUAAAAAGAACCCAGCCUUAUACAAUCAAAAUGCUAAAUUAAUCAUUUGCCUUGUAAAACUUGUAAUUUUCACUAAAAUUUUUGCAGCGAAAACAUUUUAUUUAGCCUAUUGAGCAUAUUUUUAAAUUUACAUUAUUAACUUUCGUAAAAUCUCAAUCCGUAUUUUUGUGGCGGAAAAUUUUAUAAUUUUGAAAACCUAGCAUUGAUUGUUGGUUAACACAAAUCAUGUAGAAAAAAAAACUUUAACUAAGCCAAAUAAAUCCAAAGCCAAAUUAAAUAAUGAAAGAAUCAAUCCGAGCGCUCGCAAAUUCUAACUUACCGAUUACCUAAAACGUCAUAAAUAAAGCAAAGGGGAGAGCUAUAAAGCUCAAUGCAUAACUAAAACUCAAGCUGAGAUCACACACAAUACAAUAAACAAAUCAUAAAAUCAUAGAAAAAUUCAUAACAAUCAGUCAAACAGAAUUGAGUAUACAUGAUUAUGCCAAUGCGGUAUUUUUCAGAAAAUCUUAAUGCAGAUUUUUCAUGAAAUGUCCUAGCCAAAUCCUCUACACACUUGAAUAGAGUUCUCCAGAACUUAUCCAUAAAAAAAAAAAAAACACACCAAUUAAGUCAUCCUAGGUUGCCCAAAAACGAUGACUCACCACCAUGGGAUGCCCGACAACGAUAGCUUAUCAAUAUGCAAUUAAACUGUUAGAUCAGAUAUUUGUGUUCAAGCCAUUGAAUUGCAACUCAGCUACCGAAACAAAAAUAUGUGGUGAAGCCACUAUAUUGCAUCCAAGCUGCUAAAUAAAAAUAUGUGGAUAAACCACCAGAUAGUGCAGACCAUUAAACUGCCAAAACUUUUUCCCUUCCAUAUUAUCCCAAUCCCAUGCAAUGUGACAUGGCAUGCAUUUACAUAAUCAAAACGACAAGCAUCUAAGGCAUGUAGUCGUACCGUAACAGAAUUUAGAAAGCAUGGCAUUCCACACUUUUACAGAACAGAUGUAUCACAAAUUCAACAAAAGCAAGUUGGAAUGCUAUAAAGUCACAUGCAUGAUCACAUAGCAGAAUCAUAAACAUAAAAAUAACGUAACCAAACCUCAUAUAAUCAUAUACAAACAUAACAAUACAAAUCAUGCUACCAGAUUCAUUAGAAAACAGUUCACGCACACGAAUUUCACAUACCUUAUUCAUAUCACCUACAAUAUCAAAUUAUCAGAUAUUACAUUUUCAAAGUCAGUUUUACACAGUACGAAUCCUACAAAGUGGCUAAACAUGAUUCACGAAUCAAAACGGGCCUAAAGGAAAAUUUUUAGAAAAUGGGCCAACAUGGCCCAAUUAGCCUAGGUCGUAUGGCAUCAACAGUCUAAUUUUUGACUUUCAAUAGUUCAUUAUUUUUUGAGUUUUUCGAUAUACACCUUACUAUUUUCCGAAGCAAAAUCAUGGCAAGAAUUCCAAAACCUAAAAUCGAUAUUCAACCCACUCAAAUUAGCAAUGAAAUCCAAAACUAAAUCGUUAAACAACCAAAACUGCUACCAAUAAACCUUAUCAAACCAGGAAUCAACCUUUUGGAAUCUGACUACUAACCCAGAAUAGUAGCAGUAGUACUAAAAAUCUCUCAAUUCACCGGAAGACUAUUUGUUACAGAAAUGUCACCUAAACCAAAGAUUUCAGAGUAAUCAAAAUCGCGUCACACAAAGAAGGAAACAAAUUAACCCCAAGAUCGUGAAACUCAACAAAGUACGAAUCUUUUCUCAUAUUCCUUACCACCAACCGUCAAGAUUGCUCAAAAACCACUAAUGACACCGACCUUCGCAAGGUUAAAUUGAAACUAAAAGGUAACUAAAGAUGGAACAAAGGUUGUUAUAAAAAAAAUAUUAACAAAGACUUAUUGGAGCAAAAAUUGCGAAAAAUCAAGAAUAAGGAGAUUGGAAAAAAAACAAUGAAACAACAAAGAGAAGGAGUGGGAAAGUGACGACAGUUUGUGGAGAGAUUUUGGGUAAAUAAAAAGUAACUCACAACUCAACCCAUUAAAUCUCAUUACCCUCUAAACAGAUUCCCUUAGAGUUUAAAUUCAACCCAAAUACCACUACAUGGGCGGCAUAGUGUAAGGAAAUAAAAAUAUUUCUACUUUGCACACACAGGGUCUUAAACACGAAAUCUUAGGGUAAUUUGAAGCCUUACCACUAAAUUAGUAGGCUCAUCCUUGAAAUUAAUUGAAUGAAAAUAUUAUUUAUGUCAAAUGAUUAGGGAUAGAGGUUAAGACCAAAGAUGACAAAAAUUCAAAGGAAAGAUUUAAACCUAGAACCUCACGCACACAAGCAUAACACCUAUUCAUUGAACCAGAUUUACUCCGUUGACAUAAUUUUCAAAAUAUUAACUAAAAAUUUAGAAUAUGGUCACUCUUGGUUUCACUUACCCAAUUUCUUCUAACCCGAUUUUUGUGAUGUGACAACUCAUCCCUCCUUAAAAGAAUUUCAUCCUCGAAAUUCCUACUGCGACACCAUACACUUAACCAUAAAAUUUAAAAUUCCUUAGUCCGAAUCGACCACCAGGCUAUCAUUGUACAACUCUAAUCUCCAUUCAAGUCCGAUCCAGACAAUAUUUCAGAGGAAUUUCCUAUUCACUACCUUGAAUUACCUCAAUAAGUUUUCCACAAAAACAUCACUAAUGAUCUUUUACCCCAGACUCUAAAAAACAUCAUUUACCACAAAAUACAGGUACAAAAAAUUCUUAUCAAUGCACAGUACAUUUGGAACAUAUCAUAAAAGUACCUGUAUCAUUGUCAGAUGCAUCACGACUCGCUUGAUACCUAGUUGCAUAUCCACAUCUCAGAUUUUGUUUCUAUACUGAAGCUUGUAACCGACUAAAAUAGUGUCAUGAGCAAUCCUAAACUCGAUGCUCAACGGACCCACAUCUGAAACAUGCUCCCAUUUUCCUCCAACAAUCGUCCGAAUGGUGCCUAUCAUAAUAAGUACAAAUCAGAACCUCAACCGCAUUCACAAUUACCUCACCUCGCUGAAGCCUGUCUAUUUUAGCCUGUUUCCUUGGUCAUGGAUUCAAGUCAAUAGAAACAUCACUCAUCUUAUUUUGCACUUUAUUCAUUACUUAUUCUCUCCCUCCGAGCAAUUACUCUCUACCGCUAACUUGACUUGAUACGCUUGAGGUCACUCAAUCACAGACUCUUGUCCCAUAUAUCCAAAUUAGGUUCCAUCGACCCUUUGCAAAUCUCUAAACACCUCUUGGAACACUGAAACAUCCCCUACUUCUAAACUGCCCUCAGAUUUGGGCGUCAUAGCAAACUUAUUUAUUUUCAAAUUGGGCUUACGGCCCCAAGAAGAGAACUCAGCUCGAGUCACCCGGCUAUGUCCACCACGCCCUCGCACAUCAUGACCUCGAGUACUCAUUACACAAAUCUCCAGUUUGAGAAAUUUUAUGAAUUAGCUUAGGUUUAUUAAAAAUCAUAAGUCUAGAGUUUUAUCAAAGUUUCUUACAUAAUUACCAUAGUCUUUAGCUAGAGUAGAGUAAUCCUAGCACUUAAGUUUUGCUAGUUUGUCUAGUAUAGCUAAAGUAAAGAUACUUACAGGAUCGACGAUGUAGUUUUGGAUUCUAUUUUAUAGAAUCAAAUAUAAAAAUAAUCAAAAUCUAAAUACCCAUUUUAGAAACCCAAAGUAUCAAAAUUAAUCAGAAAUUCAAUUUAUUUAAUGGAGAUUUUCGAACCCAGAAAUCACAGCCCGAGUUUUGUUACCUUGCUCUGAUACUACUAAAUGUAACACCCCAAACUUGGCCUAGACGUUAUGGCUUACAUCAGUACGAAAAAAAUUAUUUUUCCAAAGUGUGUUUUGUUACGAAAUUGAAAACCAAAAUUUAUGUAAGUUCGUCAUGAUUCCCCGAUAGGGAAAUUUGUAAAUUAUCAAAACGUAAAUGUGAACAUAUUAAUUAUUAACUUAAAAAAAAAAACCUAGCCUUAUACAAUCAAGAUACUAAAAUCAUUUGCUUUGUAAAACUUGUAAUUUUGACUAAAAUUUUUGCAACGAAAAUUCCAAACUAAUAUUCGUAAAUUGUAAUUUCGUCAAGUAAAAACGAUUUAUUUUGCCGAUUGGGCAUAUUUUAAAUUUACGUUAUUAAAUUUUGUAAAAUAUCAAUUCGUAUUUUUGUGCUAAAAAAAUGUUAGCUCAUAUAAUUUUGAAAAUCCAACAUUGAUUGUUGAGUAACACAAAACAUACAGAACAAAAAACUUUAACUAAGCCAAAGAAACCCAAAGCAAAAUUAAAUUUGAGAAAUUAAACCAAAAUCCAAAAGUCCAGUAAAUCCAUUUAUUAACCAGAGUAAACCAUUUAAUUAGAGAAUCAAUUCGAGCUUCCGCACACAGCCCGAUUCUAACUUAUCGAUUAUCUGAAACAUCAGAAAUAAAACAAAUGGGUGAGCUAUAAAGCUUAGUGCAUAACUAAAACUCAAGCCGAGAUCACACACAAUACAUUAUACAAAUCAUAAAAUCAUAGGAAAUUUCAUAACAAUCAGUCAAACAAAAUUAAGCAUACAUGAUUAUGCCAAUGUGGUAGUUUUCAGAAAAUCAUAAUGCAAAUUUUUUCAGAAAACAUCCUACCCAACACCACUACACAGCCGAAUAUAGUUCCCUAAAACUCGUCCAUCUAAAAACACACCAAUUAAGUCAUCUUAGGUUUCCCGAAAACGAUGACCUACCACCUCGAGUUAGUCGGCAGUGAUGACUUAUCAAUAUGCAGUUAAACUACCAAAUCAAAUAUUUGUGGUCAAGCGAUUGUAUUGCAGCUAAGCUGCCAGAUCAAAUGUUCCUAGUAUAGUCCAUAACAUUAUCAGAUGUUCUCGGCUCAGUCCUUUGGACAUUAAAAAAAUAGAUUUGGAUAUCCAAUUAAUCAUAAAUUGCUAGGUGGUAUAUGCUGAAGUCACGAUAACAUCAUCAUCAAGAAAAAAACCAAAAAAUUCUUUAAAAAAUAUCAUAAAAUUCAAAUAAAUUUAUAUAAAAUUAACUACAUUAUAAAUAUAUAAUUGUUCAAAAAUAAAAAUUCUUAAUUUUUUUUAAAAUUUGUAAAAAUAAUAAAAUUAUUAGAAAUUGUUAAAUAUUGUAAAACAUUAUAAAAAUUAUUAGAAUCAUAAAAGACGGUAAAAAAUAAAAAGUUAAAAUACUAGUAAAAAUUGUCUAACUUGAAAUAAAGUAUACAUUUGGUAAUCAAAUUUAAAAUAUUGAAAAUUUGAUAUUAAAGUUGUAUAUAGUAAUACAAUCAAAUUUUAUAAAAAAAAUAUUUUAAAAUAUUUUAAUAAAAAUCAAAUAAAUUUUAUAUCAAUUUUUUGUACUUUACCAAUGUUACUGGCAGCAAGAUUUUUCUACUCGAAUCCCUAUUUAUUGUCUUAAAUAGCUUCCUGCAUCCACCAUUUUGCACAUGGUUUUUCUAUUUUAUACCAAAGCUCUUUAGAAUAGUUAAACAUUCAACAAUAGUUCUAAAGAUAUUAGUUUAGAGACAAAUAAUUAUCUUGAGAUAGUAAAAAAAAUUGAAAUAAUUAAAUAUAUUAUUUACUUGAAAUAAUAUUAUUUUUCAUUAUUUAAAUUAUUUGAAAAAAAAACUUAUUCAAGUUUAUCACGUAAAAAGAUCUACCAAUUAUAAAUUCUGAUUAGUUGAACCAUAAGACAAUUGUUAUAGGUAGUAUCCUUCCAAGAGACAAUUAUCACAUGUUCAAACUCUAGUCAAUAUGAUUUAUAAAAUUUUAAAAAUAUUAAAAUAUCUAAUAUAUAUUUGAAAAUUAUGUAAAUUUUUAUAUUUUACAUAGUUUUUUUUGUAUUUUUCUGAUUUUAGAUUUUUUCUAUUUUUAAAUAAUUUUGAUAAUUUUGUAAUUUUUCUUUUAUAAUUUUUGUCAUUUUUGAAGAUUUUUUAAGGGUUUUUGUUGAUGAUGUCAUUAUGAUAGCAUCAUAUGACAUGUGGUAGUAUAUGAUUUGUUGAAUAUCCCAACGAAUUUUUUAUUGUCCAAUGAACUAAACUGAAAAUUUUUAAUAACAUUAGGGACUGAAGUGGAUAAAAAUAUUUUAAAAACUAAAGUUAAAAAAGUGAUAUACUUCAGGGACACAGCAUUAACAUUUUCUAAAAGAUGGAAGUGUUUUUGUUUUUUAAGUGAAUAUAAUUUUUUUGAGUGAAUAUAGUUUUGUGAGGGAGUAGUAAUAUUAUUAUUAGAGACAAGGCAUUUGAUUUUUAUAUAACUUUUUAAUUAAGUCAAUAUCACUCAUUGAGUAAAACCCAACAUAUUAAGCACAUUACUGUACUAAUUUAGAUUAAUAGGAAUGAUCAAAUUUACAAUUAAGGAUUAUAAAUUUAUUUAAUUCCAAUCUUCUACCUUCCUUUAAAUUAUAAGAAUGGUUUUGCCUUAUAUUUUCUUCAAAUUGAGAUUUAAUUUAUAAUUUUAAAUUUUUGAUAUAAUUUAGUUUCUCAAUUUUAUAAUGCAAUUAAUUAGUUUAAAUACUUUAUUUUAAUCAAAAUAAUUAUGUUAAUUUUAAAGAAUUGUUAUCACCGUUAAAAUUCUUUACUAACAAUUAUUUAAAAUUAAGUUCUAUCAUGCUUUUGUUUUAGCUUACACAUAGAUGUUUACAAUAUAAAAUUCUUUAUAAUUUUCAAUACAUAUUACUUAAAUAAAUAGAAAAUAGAGUUUUAAUAAUGCACAACCAAAUAAUUUUUAUUGAUGUUAUAUUAUUUUGAUUUCUUAGACUUGUACAUAGGGAAAAUAAAGGACUAUUGCCAUUAAUUAAUCGCUUUAAAACAAUUUUAAUGAGCUCUAGUCAUGCAAGAUUACCAUUAAAUUGAAUACUCAUAUAGAAGGAUUUAAUAUUUUUGUUUCUCAAAUCACAACUAAUAAUUAUUCAUAAUUUCUUAUUCAGUGUCAUUUUUAAGAUUGAUUAGAUGACAAAUUUUCAUGCCAAAGUUUUAUUUUUAUUUGAUUUAAAUUUUUACAAUAUUUAAAAAAUUAUAUAUUUUGUAAAUUUGAUAUUCAAUCAAUUUUAGAUUUAAAAAGUAAUGAUGAUUUUAACCCAAGGCCUGAGCUAAGAAUAGUUAUAGUUAAAUAAAAUACUGGUAUGAAAUAGUUUAAUUAUUUGAUCACAUUUUUCCAUGCCAAAAUUUUAUUUUUAUUUUUGAUUUAAAAUUUUACAAUUUUUAUAUUGUGAAUUUGGUGUGCAAUGAAUAUGUGUACUAAAAGAUGUAAAUUUACAGGUAAUUUACCACCCAUCACCAGUGCUCCAAAGCUUGAGAUUCUUUUAUUGUGGGGAAAUAAACUUGGCGGAAACAUUCUCAAUUCUAUCUCCAAUGCUUCCAUGCUUAAGAAACUAGACUUGGCAGAUAACUUAUUCUCUGGCCCAAUCCCUAAAACAUUUGACAACUUAAGACACCUUGAAUGGUUCCAAAUUUCAAACAAUAAUUUGAUCAAAGGACCUGCUACUGAUCAUGAGUGGACCUUUCUUUCUUCUUUGGCAAAUUGCAAGCAUUUGAGAAUAAUAGAUGUUUCAAGAAAUCCAUUGAGUGACGUUCUUCCAACUUAUAUUGGGAACCUUUCAAAAUCCCUUCAAUACUUUUAUGCCUCUAAUUGUGAGAUUACAGACAAUAUUCCUAUGUAAAUAGGUAGCUUAAGCAACCUAUUGCUUUUACAACUUGGCUAUAAUAAAUUAAGCUUUAUUCCGACACCGAUAGGACUGCAAAAUUUGCAAGGUUUACAACUUUCCUCUAAUAAAUUAGAGGGGCCUAUAUCAGAAAGCCUUUGUGGUUUGGAGAGAUUAUACUACUUGUAUUUAAGGCUGAUUAGGUUGCAUGGAUCCAUACCCUCUUGUAUGGGUAAUAUUUCUUCUUUGAGAUAUCUUUACUUAGAUUCCAACACAUUGAGUUCUACAAUACCCUCAACUUUGUGGAAUCUUAAAGAUAUCUUAGAAAUAGAUUUAUCAUCAAAUUAUCUUUACAAUUCACAUGCUAUAUUGAUGUUGGAGAUUUGAGGAGUCUACUAAAACUAAAUUUACCAAGGAAUCUUCUCACGGGCAAUAUCUUAUCCACAUUUAGGGGUCUUCAAACUUUGAUUUCAAUAGAUUUAUUAAAUAAUAUACUACAUGGUCAUAUCCCUGGAUCAUUAGGUGGUUUGAUUAGUUUGGAAUUCUUGAAUUUAUGCAAUAACAAUCUCUCUGGAGCCAUUCCCAAAUCUUUGGAAAAGCUUUUAGAUCUCAAGUAUUUUAUUGUGCCUUUCAAUAGACUUGAAGAGGAAAUUCCCACCGAGGGAUGUUUUUCAAACUUCUCUAGCACAUCAUUCACGAAGAAUUUUGCACUUUGUGGUCCACCUAGAUUGCUACUCCCACCUUGCAAAAACGACAUCCAAGAAAACUCCCAAAUGAAUAUAUUGCAUGCUUUAAGGUAUGGUUUACCAACAAUUGGUAUCGUCGUAGUACUAAUAGUCUUAACUAUUAUGUACAGAAGAUGCCAAAGUAGGAGUACAACUCUACCAAUUAAGGAUGAUUUGUUGUCUUUGAAAACGCUGAGAAGAAUUUCACAUGCUGAACUUUCACAAGAAACUAAUGGAUUUGAGGAAAACAAUAUGCUUGGUUCAAGGAGUUUUGGAUAUGUAUAUAAAGAGAAGCUUUCAGAUGGAAUGGAAGUUGCAAUAAAAAUUUUCAAUUUGCAAACAGAAGAAGCAUUUAGGAGUUUUGACAUUGAAUGCGAUGCUAUGCGUAAUAUAGAUCAUUGUAAUAUUGUGAAGGUCACUACUUGCUGCUCAAGUGUUGACUUCAAAGCCUUGGUGCUUGAUUACAUGUCUAAUGGAAAUAUUGAGAAAUGGUUAUAUUAUUAAAACUAUUUCCUUGAUAUCAUACAAAGGGUUGACAAGAUGAUAGAUGUUGCGUCAGCGAUAGAACAUCUCCACAACGGGCAUCCAACACCUAUAAUUCAUUGUGACUUAAAACCAAGCAAUAUUUUACUAGAUGAAGACAUAGUUGCACAUGUGGGAGAUUUUGGCGUUGCCAAAUUGUUGGGAGAAUGUGAUGUAAUGAAGCAGACCAUGACUAUUGCAACAAUCGGGUAUACGGCACCAGGUGAAUUUUUUUAUUUGUGUAUUAUUAUUUUUCUAAUAUGGAUUUUAUAUUUUGUUUGGAUAUAUAUUUGAAUAAUCAUUUUAGAAACAAUUAAAGAUUAACGAUGCUCUAAUUAUACUUGAAAUGCAAAAUUUGGAUCAACAGGAAUUGUUUCUAUAAAGUGUGACAUCUAUAGUUAUGAGAUUGUCCUUAUACAAACUUUCACAAAGAAAAAGUCAACUGAUAAUUUUUUGCUGAAGAAGUGACUAUAAAGCAUUGGAUGGAAAGUUCAUUGCCAAAGGAGCAUGAAAAUCCCCAAAACCCUAAAUUCUUUCCUUCUAGCAAUGAAGAGAUGGUGAGAGGAAAGGAAAAAAAAUCACGUCAAAUGAAAAGAAAAGAAAAAGAAAUUGAACAAAAUUAAAUUUAUGUGGAAAUUGUUUUAAUACUUUUAAUUUGAGUUGGAAAAGGUUGAUGAUGUGGCAUAAAAUAAUUGGAUAGGACCAUAUUUGAGGUAGUGGGAAAGGUCCAAUAUGGAAUAAUUUUUCUAUGUUAUCAAAUAGAUGAAUGAUAGUAAUUGGGAUCAAACUAAUGAUUUGGAUGAUGUUAAUGGUUAAUUUGGUGCAGAGGGUGGAAAAGAAACAAAUAAUUCAUUAUAUGUAAUAUAUAGUAAGUUUCAUACAUAAAAGUUUCAUACAAGGUUCAAAGGCAACUAAAUGACUUGUAAGUUAGUUGAACUUCUUUGAAAGGCGCAAAGGCAAUUGAACAUUUACAAAAUAGUCUCUAAAUACUGUAGACACAAAUCAAAUCAUGGGAGCAUUACAAUUGGUUAAAUUGAGCACUGGCAGAAAUUCCAUCAUAGGAAAUAUUGGCAAAAUCGUCUAUUGAAUUAGAAAAACAACAUAAUCCAUGAAACAUAGAUAGCCCAAUACAAACAUCAUCGAGAAAAAAAAGUCUUUUUGUUUUAUAGCACAUGAUAGUAAAGCAUGCGAAGUUUCAUUCUUCUUAUUGGCCUCCUUUAGUUUUCCUUGAUCAACAACCACUAGCCAAAAACACAAUUAGAUUAGAUUAUAAAUGAAACAUUCAAUUAUGAUAAUUUAAAUAGAAAACACCCUAAAUAACUCUAAAUAAAUGAAAAGUAGCAAAUUACUUGGUGAGGCAAGCUAGCUCAAUUAAGAGCACCAUUGUGUUAGACUUGUCUAUGCAUUAAACAAUCUAAAAGAAAAUGAAGAAAAAGACUUAGAAAACACUUGAAAAUUGACAAAAUUUUUAUGCCAUUGACUGGUUAAACUAUGAUCACCCAUAACAGAUCUUGUAUUUGAGUUUUUGUUGAGGGAGAUCAAGUCCUUCAAGAAAAGUUUUCUAAGUGCUGUCUGUUAGGUAAUCGCUGCUAUUCUCAACAAAAGAUAUUGUCCCCAUGUCAAGAUUUUAUCCUCAGCCUUCAUGGAAUAAUCAUGGAGAUUACAUGUGCAAGGAUUCAAACCACCAACCAAUACAUAUGUAGCAUUUACCUUGGAACCAUCUCCGUGAAUCCACAAGGUUCUUCACGGAAUCAAGAGACAAAACCCCAACACAAGAAUAAUACCAUCUAUUGAGGGGUCCUUUAACACAACAAAUGAAAUUCAUACAUUUUUUUAAUCAAAGUAAAUAUCAUAUUUAAUUGGGGAAAAGCAACAAAAAAAUCCAACAAAAAAAUCCUUAGCAAAAGAUUAAAACACAUUUACAUCGUAAAUGACAUAAGAAACUCCAAUCUAACAAAGAAAAUAACUUGAUGCUCCAAAGCUACCAUAUACUGUAAUUCAUGGGAAGGUCUGAUGCUCAUUUUAUUGGUUUCCAUCUUGAUUUUGCAAAAGAAGUUUGAAUUCUGAAGAGAGCAAAUGAUUGAGCGAAAGAAAAAAAAUUAGUUUAUUAAUUUUCACAAUUUAUAAGACAAACCUUAUGGAGACAAAUAAUGACAUAUUAGAUAUUUGUGAUUAAAAUUCUAGAAUAGAUUAAAAAUGUUGAAUUAAUGAUAAAAUUAAUAGUGAAUUAAUAACAACAAGCGUACUGAUUACUUAGCUUCUUUGUUAAACAUGUUCGAUGUUGUUUAACAGCCUUCGUUUGAUUUUCUUUAGCUCAACGACAAAAUCUUUCAUAUCUUUUCUUUCUUCUGGUAACUCAGCUGAACAAUUCAAAGCCAACUCCAUGAUGGAUGAAAUACAAUUUGCUUUAACAACAAUGUACUCAUCCUCUCUUCUUAGUAAAUCAACAUCUGCAAUUUCUAUCGCUCCUUUAGGCAAUGAACUUUCCAUCCAAUGCCUUAUAGUCACUUCUUCAGCAAAAAAAAUUAUCAGUUGGCUUUUUCUUUGUAAAAGUUUCUAUAAGGAUGCUCCCAUAACUAUAGACGUCACAUUUUAUACAAACAAUUCCUGUUGAUCCAAAUUCUGCAUUUCAAGUAUAAUUAGAACAUCAUCAAUCCUUAAUUAUUUCUAAAAUGCUUAUUCAAAUAUAUAUCAAUAUACGCAUGAAACAAAAGUAUAAAAUGCAAAUUAGGAAAAUAAUCAUACAAAAAAAAAAUUCACCUGGUGCCAUAUAUCCGAUAGUUGCAAGAGUCAUGGUUUGCUUCAUUACAUCACCUUCUCCCAACAAUUUGGCAACAACAAAAUCUCCCACAUGUGCAACCAUGUCUUUAUCUAGUAAAAUAUUGCUUGGUUUUAAGUCGCAAUGAAUUAUAGAUGUUGGAUGUCCAUUGUGGAAAUGUUCUACAGCUACCGCAACAUCUAUCAUUAUGUCGACCCUUUGUAUGAUAUCAAGGAAACAAAUUUCGGAAUGUAACCAUUUCUCAAGGUUUCCAUUAGACAUGUAAUCAAGCACCAAGGCUUUAAAGUCAACACUUGAGCAGCAAGUAAUGACCUUCACAAUAUUACGAUGAACUAUAUUACGCAUAGCAUCACAUUCAAUGUCAAUACUCCUAAAUGCUCCCUCUGUUUGCAAAUUAAAAACUUUUAUUGCAACUUCCAUUCCAUCUGAAAGCCUCUCUUUAUAUACAUAUCCAAAACUCCUUGAACCAAGCAUAUUGUUUUCCUCAAAUCCAUUAGUUACUUGUGAAAGUUCAGCAUGUGAAAUUCUUCUCAGCGUUUUCAAAGACAACAAAUCAUCCUUAAUUGGUAGAGUUGUACUCCUACUUUGGCAUCUUCUAUACAUAAUAGUUAAGACUAUUGGUAAUACGACAAUACCAAUUGUUGGUAAACCAUACCUUAAAGCAUGCAAUAUAUUCAUUUGGGACUAGCAAUCUCGGUGGACCACAAAGUGCAAAAUUCUUCAUGAAUGAUGUGCUAGAAAAGUUUAAAAAACAUGCUUCGGUGGGAAUUUCCCCUUCAAGGCUAUUGAAAGACACAAUAAAAUACUUUAGAUCUAACAGCUUUUCCAAAGAUUUGGUAAUGGCUCCAGAGAGAUUGUUAUUGCAUAAAUUCAAGAAUUCUAAAUUAACUAAUCAAACCACCUAAUGAUCCAGGGAUAUGACCAUGUAGUUUAGUACUUAAUAAAUCUAAUGAAAUCAAAGUUUGAAGACUCCCAAAUGUGGAUAAGAUAUCGCCUGUGAGAAUAUUCCUUGAUAAAUUUAGUUUCAAUAAACUCCUCAAAUUUCCAACAUCAAUAACAUGUGAAUUGUGAAGAUGGUUUGAUGAUAAAUCUAUUUCUAAGAUAUCUUUAAGAUUCCACAAAGUUGAGGGUGUUGCAAAACUCAAUUUGUUGGAAUUUAAGUAAAGAUAUCUCAAAGAAGUAAUAUAACCCAAACAAGAGGGUAUGGAUCCAUGCAAGUUAUUCAACCCUAAAUACAUCUCGUAUAGUCUUUCCAAAUCACAAAGGCUUUUUGAGAUAGGUCCUCCUAAUUUAUUCGAGUGAAAAGUUAGACUUUGGAGAUUUCUCAUUCCUCUUAUUGAUGCUGGAAUAAAUCCACUUAAUUGAUUAUACCCAAGUUGUAAAAGCAAUAGGUUGUUUAAGUUACCUAUUUCCAUAGGAAUAUUGCCUUUAGGCUCACAAUUAUUGGCAAAAAAGUAUUGAAGGGGUUUUGAAAGGUUCCCGAUAUAAGUAGGAAGAACAUCACUCAAUGGAUUUCCUGAAACAACUAUUCUUCUCAAAUGCCUGCAAUUUGCCAAAGAAGAAAGAAAGGUCCACUCAUGAUCAAUAGCAGAUCCUGUGUGUUAGUCAUAUAGUUUAAUUUAAUUUUAGUUAGUUAGUUAGCAGUUAUGUUUCUAUUAUUUUCUUGCUGUUAUUUCGUUUCCAAUUUGUAUAUAACAACACCUUUACAUCAAAUAUAACUUAAGCAGUUUUCUUUUACUCUUAUUCUACAUGGUAUCAGAUGUAAAAUUCUUCUAUUCUAUUGCAUUUUCUUGCAGUUAUAAUUUUCCUACACUUUUUUGCUUCCCAAACACUCUGUCUCUUUGAUUUUUUUCCCUACGAUGUCACUCCAUGAUCCUAUGCUACCUUCUUGUCCUUAUUAUCUUCAUCCCAAUGAAAAUCCAGCCUUAGUUCUUGUUUCUCCUGUCCUAUCUAGCUCGAAUUAUCAUUCUUGGUCUCGAGCAAUGACAAUGGCGCUUUUAUCCAAGAACAAGCUUCAGGUCGUUGAUGGCACCAUCACAGUUCUGCUCCGAACAGAUCCUCUUUAUUUAGCCUGGGAACGGUGUAAUACUAUGGUGCUUUCUUGGCUGCAUCACUCUAUCUCGCCUUCGAUCAUGAACAGUAUUCUUUGGCUCGAUUUUGCUAUACUGUUUGGUGUGAUCUUCGUGAACGUUUUUCUCAAGGAGAUGUUUUUCGCAUUUCUAAUCUCCAAGAAGAGAUCAAUGCUUUCAAGCAAGAUGAUCACUCGGUCACUGAUUACUUUACUGAGUUGAAGAUUAUCUGGGAUGAGUUGAUGAAUUUUCGACUGAUUCUCGUCUGUUCUUGUCCAACAUCUUGUUCUUGUGGUGUUUUUGCUACUCUUCAAAAAUAUCAUGAUAAUGAUUAUGUUAUUCGAUUUCUUAGAGGCCUUCAUGAUCGUUUUGCUGCUAUCCACUCUCAAAUUAUGCUCAUUGAUCCGUUGCCUCCAAUCAAUAAAGCUUUUUCUUUGGUCAUUCAACAGGAACGCCAUCUUACUACUAGAUCUUCUCAAGUGUUUGUUAGUAGCACACUGCGCCAACACUUUUCUUCCAAGAAAUCUCAGGCAAAAUCGUUUCCUGACUCAUGGUAGUGCACCUUUCGUGGUAAAUCCAGGCAUACUGUUGAUACCUGCUAUGAGGAACAUGGUUAUCCACCUGGUUAUAAGUCUUGAGGUCGGGUUUCUUGUGCACACACAGUGCUUAAUGCAGGUGCUGCACAACCCUUGAACUCUUCACAGUCUAUUGCUAUCUUGCCAUCUGAUUCUUCUGUUACUUUGACACAAGACCAGUUACAACAGCUGCUUGCAUUACUUCCAUCUUCCAACUCUCCCUCCCCACCUCAUGUUACCAACACUGCCUCUUCCUUACAUCAAAUGCCUUCUACAUCCUCAGGUAACCUCUUUUCCUUUCAAUCCCACCAUUGGAUCAUAGACAUUGGUGCGACUGAUCACAUUACACACUCUUUAUCCUUCUUUUCCUCUUUUCAUUCAAUUAAACCUGUAUAUAUCACUCUUCCAAAUGGCACCAAAGUCUGUGCUCGAAUUUUUGAUACAGUCAUUUUCAGUGAUAGCCUUUAUAUUACAAAUGUUCUUUAUGUUCCUUAAUUUACUUUAAACCUCUUAUCUGUCACUAAACUUACUGCUACAUUACCUUGUUCAUUUACUUUUCACAAAACUUGUUGCUCCUUACAGGCCCUUCCCUCUUUGAAGAUGAUUGGUACAGCUAAAUUUUUUCAUGGUCUUUAUAUUUUGGAAUCCCCAGCUCAAACCUUCUCCAUUCCCGUUCCCACUACCUUGUCAGCUACCACCCCUUCAUGUUCCUUUUGGCAUCAUCAUCUCGGUCACCUUUCUGAUUCUAGAUUGAAGCUACUUUCCCCUUACAUUCCUUCUUUGUCCAUGACAAACAAUGCAAAUUGUAUAGCAUGUCAUCUGGCAAAGCAAAAGAAAAUACAUUUUCCUGUAAGCACUUCUGUUUCCAAUAAAAUAUUUGAACUUGUUCAUAUUGAUAUUUGGGGCCCGACUGAAGUUGUUUCUAUCACUGGUCAUCGUUAUUUUUUAACCAUUGUUGAUGAUUUCAGUAAUUUUACUUGGAUCAUUCUAUUGAAAACAAAAUCUGAAGUUCAUACUCAUAUUCAGAAUUUUUUCACACUUAUUGAAACUCAAUUUUCCUCCAAAAUUAAAGUCAUUCGAACUGAUAAUGGCUGUGAGUUUGUUAUUCCAGCUUUUUAUGCUUCUAAAGGAAUUAUUCUUCAAACCUCAUGUGUUGAAACUCCACAACAAAACAGUCUUGUUAAACGUAAGCACCAACACAUUCUUAAUGUGUCACGGGCUCUCUUAUUUCAUUCUGCUCUACUUAAGCAUUUUUGGGGACAUGUUGUUCUUCAUUCUAUUUUUCUUAUUAAUCGCACCCCAACUCCUCUUUCGACAAACUAUGCCAAACUAAACCUAAUUUUCAGCAUGUACGUGUCUUUGGUUGUCUUUGUUUUGCUACAACCCUUACUGCUCAUCGUCACAAAUUUGAUCCUUGAGCACGUGAGUGUGUUUUUCUUGGAUUUCCACCACAUGUUAAAGGUUAUAUUCUUUUUGACCUGUCAUCUCAUGCCAUCUUUGUCUCAAGAAAUGUCAUCUUUCGGGAGCCAGUCUUUCCUUUUUCUCAUCCACCAUCUCCUUCUUCCACCCCACAAUUGACCUUUGACCCCUCCAUUACUUAUGAUUUGCCACCUCAACCACAGGUCCCACCUCUUGCUCCCUUCGUCUUAGGAAACCACCUUCUUAUUUAGACCAAUAUCAUUAUUUUUUAAGCAAGGCUGCUACCAAUCAUCCUCGAUGCCCCACACCCUUUACUCUUGCCAUUAAUGCUUUUUCUAUACCUACUACAUAUUUACAAGCUAGUAAAAUUUCCCAUUGGCGAGAAGCAAUGCAAGCUAAAAUUUCUACUCUUGAACAAAAUAACACCUGGAUCAUUAUGGACUUACCUCCAGGCAAGACUGCAAUCGGUUGUAAAUGGGUUUAUCGAGUGAAAUACCGAGCUAAUGGUUCUAUUGAACGUUACAAGGCUCGUUUGGUUGCUAAGGGGUUCACACAAAUCGAGGGUGUCGAUUAUUUUGAUAAUUUUUCCCUGUCGUAAAGCUUACCACCGUUCGCUUGUUGCUUGCUAUUGCUGCUUCUAAAAAUUGGUUUUUGCACCACCUUGAUGUUAACAAUGUGUUUUUGCAUGGAGAUUUGAUUGAAGAGGUUUAUAUGCUUCUACUUCCUGGUUUUGAUUCAUCAACUCUCAAUAAGGUUUGUAAGUUGCAAAAAUCCUUAUAUGGUCUAAAGCAAGCAAGUUGACAGUGGUUUGAUAAACUCACAUCAGCUCUUACUUCUCUUGGUUAUAUUCAAUCCAGUUCUGAUUUCUCCUUGUUUGUUAAAAAGGAUGACAUUUAUUUUACUGCAUUAUUAGUUUAUGUUGAUGAUGUUCUUCUAGCUGGUGAUCAUUUCGAUGAAAUAUCAAGAGUUAAAGCCUUUUUGGAUUCUACAUUUAGCAUCAAAGACUUGGGUGAUCUAAAGUAUUUUCUUGGCCAUGAGGUUGCUCGCAGCUCUGCUAGUAUUCAUCUUUGUUAACAAAAAUAUGCCAUAGACAUACUGUUUGACUUUGGUUUCUCAGAUUGCAAGCCUGUUAAGACUCCAACGGCCACCAAAAUUCCUCGAGAUGCCUCUGCAGAUUUGCUUCCUAACAACACUCUUUUCAGGAAACUUAUUGGUCGCCUCUUGUAUCUGGUUUCCACUAGACCUGAUCUUGCUUUUGCAAUUCAACAGUUGAGUCAAUUCUUGGACUGACCUACAGUCAUUCAUCUCCAAGCUGCUCAUCGUGUUCUUCGCUAUCUGAAUGUGUGCCUUGAUUUUGGUCUUUUCUUUUCUGCUUCUUCAUCACCUGUACUGAAGGCUUUUAGUGAUUCUGACUGGGCUGGUUGUCCUCUCACACGCCGUUCUGUGACUGGUUAUUGCCUGUUUUAUGGUGAUUCCCUUGUUAGUUGGAAAGCCAAGAAGCAAAGCAGUGUGUCCCGUUCUUCCUUAGAAGCAGAAUAUCGUGCCCUUACCUCUACUGUUUGUGAAAUUCAGUGGCUUCGAUUUCUUUUAUGUGAUUUGCACUUGUCUAUUUCUGGUCCUACUGCCUUGUUUUGUGACAACAAUUCCGCUCUUCAGAUUGCUGCAAAUCCUACGUUUCAUGAAUGUACUAAACAUAUCGAAAUCGACUGUCAUCUUGUUCGUGAGAAGGUGCAGUCCAGUGUCGUUAAACUGCUUCCUUGUUCUUCCAAGGAUCAACUUGCUGAUAUCUUCACUAAAGCUCUUGCUGCUAUUCCUUUUCAGCUUAUAUUGUCCAAGUUGGGAUUGUUUCCCAUACACUCUCCAGCUUGAGGGGGGCUGUUAGUCAUAUAGUUUAAUUUAAUUUUAGUUAGUUAGUUAGCAGUUAUGUUUCUGUUAUUUUCUUGCUGUUAUUUCAUUUCUAAUUUGUAUAUAACAACACCUUGACAUCAAAUAUAAUUUGAGCAAUUUUCUUUUACUCUUAUUCUACAGUGAUCAAAUUAUUAUUUAUGAUUCGGAGCACUUCAAGGUGUCUUAAGUUGCCAAGCGUUUUAGGAAUUGGGCCAGAGAAUAAGUUAUCUUCCAAGGCUAGAUUCUUAAGCAUGGAAGCAUUGGAGAUAGAGCUGGUAAUGUUUCCGCUAAAUUUAUUUCCCCACAAUACAAGAUUCUCAAGUUUUGGAGCAUUGGUAAGGGUGGUAGAGUACCUGUAAAAUAGCAUCUUUUAAUAUACAUAGUUAUUGAAUACCGAAUUCACAAAAUAUAUAAUACAUUAAAAUACAUUUUUAAAAAUAAAAAUUGUAAAACAUUAAAUCAAAUAAAAAUAAAAUUUUGGCAUGGAAAAAUGUGAUCAAAUCAAUUAGUCCCUUUGUGAUUUGUAUAAACAAAAAAUAAAAUAAAACCAUUCCAUACCAGUAUUGUAUUUGAUCUAAUGAUAGGGUUGUAAGUUACUUGUAAAAAUUACAUGCUUUAGUAUAUAAAUUUGUACUCCAAACUAAAAAUGAACUCCUCACUAUUCUUAGCCUAAGCCUUGGGUUGAAAUCAUCAUUACUUUUUAGAUCUAAAAUUGAUUGAAUAUCAAAUUUGUAAAAUAUUGUAAAAUUUUGAAUCAAAUAAAAACAAAACUUUGGCAUGAAAAUGUGGCAUCUAAUCAAUUUUAAAAAUGACACUGACACUGAAUACGAAAUUAUGAAUACAAAUUAGUUAUGAUUUGGGAACCAAAAAUAUUAAAUUAUACUGUAUGAUUUGGUAUUAGUUAUUAUUUUAAAUAAUAUUGUUAAUUUUUAAUUACAUGAAGUAAAACUAUUGUAUGUUAAAUAUGGUUUUAAUUAUGUCUUGAAAUAUUAUUAUUAUAUUUCAACUACUCUAUAAUAUUUUAAUUAUGUUUAGCCAUUUGAAUAACAAACUAAAAAACUAAUUAAAAGCUAAUUACUUCUUUAAGUAUAAUGGAAAUUAAAAAUUUUAAAAAUAAAUCAAUUCAUAUAAAUUUUAAUGUUUAUUAUCAAAUUAAUACAUUUUAAUAGAUGAUAAAAUAUAUGAGCAAAAAAGAAGAAACAAAUUAAAGAGAAUGUUUUUGGAGUUUGGAAAAAAUUAAAGUGAAAAACAUACCUUCUAAUUUGUUGUCAUAUAGAUCUAUUUCUUCGAGCGUAGUUGAAUUAAAAACACUUUCCGUAAUCAGCCCACUGAAUUGAUUUGCUGCUAAGGCUCUGUUUGUUUCACUGAAAAUGGCUUACUUUUCUAAAAAAGCUAAUAUUUUCUGGUGUUUGAAUGAAUCUGUGUAAAAUAUUUUCUUUUGUUUGGCAGGUUCUUUAAAAAUAUUUCAUAAAAGUUGUUUUCAAUUAAACAAACAUACAUUUGAGAUUUUUUUUUAUUUUUCAUUGUUUAAUUGAGUUUAUUUUAUAUCUAUAAUUUUAUAUUUUACAUUGUUUUACAUAUAUUAAAAAUAUUUUGUUAAAUUUAGGUUUAUUGUAAUGAUUAGUUUUUAGUUACAUGACUACCAACUGAGUAUUUUUUUUAUUUAAAAAUGUGACAUUAACAAAAUUGACAAAAAAAAUCAACAAUGUCAGUAGUUGGACUUGAUUUUCAAAUCUGGAAAGUAGAGGGAUUAAAUUUUUGAAAAUAAAAGUACAGAAACUAAAUUGCAAAUUUUUGAAGAGUAUAUAGACUUAUGACAUAUUUUAACAUUUAUACUACAAAACAUUUAUUAUUAAUAUAUUUAUAAUUGUAAUAAAUUUUUGGUAUUAAAAUAUUAAUAUUGAUAUUUUUAUUGAUAUAUGAAUAAUAUUUUUUAAAAUUAUUAUUUUUAAAAUUUACUAUUAAAAUGAAAUUUAAAUAUUAAAUAAUUUAUUAAAAAUAAUAAAUUAGACUAAUUAUAUUAAUAAUUUAUUAUAUGACUAAAUAUAAAUAAUUGAAUACUUAUGUUUAAUAAUAUUAAAAAUAUAAUAUUUUAUAUUAAUAUUUUAAAUAUUUUAAAUAUUUUUAAAAAUAAAAAAUUUAUUAUCAAUACAAUAAUAUUAAACUUGGUUUAAGUUAAUUUUUAUAUAAAAGUAAAAUUAUCUAUUGAGGAGCUCUUUUUCAGAAAAUGACUUACGCUUUUCAAAGGGUAAGUCAUUUUACAAGGAAAAAGGCUUAUUUUCCGUUGACCUGUAAGUCAUUUUCCGUUGACCAAGCUGUUUUCUGUGAAACAAACACAGGAAAAUGCAGAAAAUAUUUUCCGUAAAACCUUUUACAUGAAAACAAACGGACCCUAAAUCCAAAUUCUAAAGCUUGUAACAUUCACUUACACUUGAUGGAAUAUUACCAGAUAAUUCAUUUGUAUCCAAGUAAAGCCCUUCAAACUUGGGAAGAUGUUGACACAUAUCAUUAGGUAAACUACCUAAUAGGCUAUUGCUGGAGAGAUCAAUAGUCUUCAGAGAAGAAACAUUGAAGAUAGAAGACGGAAUUUGACCUGUAAGGUAUUUAAUUACUGUAAUAAUAAGCAUUUUCAAACAUUACUAAUAUAAACAGUUCAUGGAAGUAAGAAAGUUUGCAUAAUAAAACCAAAUUGUUUAAAAAAUUAAAACAAUAUUUUGAUUAAUCGAUAAAUUUAAGAUUUUAUGUAUUGAAGUGGCUUCAAAUCUCACUAUUAUUUUUUUGUUUUGUUUUGUUUUGUUUUUUAAAUAAAAAUACUAAAGUACCUCAAAUAGUAUAACUUAUUUUAAAUACGAAAAGAUAUUUUUGAAAUUUCUCUAAUUGAGUUGGUGCUCAUUGACUCGUAACACCAACUUAAUUAGAUACUUAAAUAACAAUUAGUUAUUCACAUUCACCAAAAAAAGUAAAAAAAAAUGUUACUUUAGUUUCAAAUAACAAAUUUUAAUUAUUUAUAUAACAAAAAACUGUAUAAAUUUGAUAAAUAAUAUAUUUAUAUAAUCUAAUCUAUCAUAUUUAUAUUAAUUAUAUAUCAUUUACAAACUUUUAACAUAAAUUUAUUGACUAUUAAGAAAAGAAAAAAUGAAAUGAAAUAAUGAAUAAUUUAAUUGACAAUAUAUCAAUUUUUAUAUUUUCUACCUAUGCUUUAAUGAUGAUCGAUUUUUUUUUAUUAUCACUAUUUUUGAAUUAAAAGAAUUAUUAAUAUAAUUUAAUUAUAUUUUGAAUAAUGUUACUCUUUUUUAAUUACAUGAUGUAAAAUCAUAUUAUAUAUUAAAGAGGGUACAUAUGCUUUAAUUAUAGCUUGAAAUUUUAUUAUUACAUUUGAGUUAUUAAUAAAUUAAUAUAUUUUAAUUAUAUUCAACUAUUUCAAUAACUAAUUAGAAUAAUUUUAAAAAACAUUAUUUAAAAGCUAUGUAUAUAAAUGUAUAUGUAUAUAAAUAUAUUUUCAAUGUUGGUUUCUUUUCUUCCACACACAAAGUAUUUCUAAUGUUUUUUUUUUUAUAACUUUUACUUAUAUAAAAUAGAUUAGUUAAUACAAUAAAAAAUUAAUUACUCUUUUUUAAGCUUAAUGGAAAUUAAAAUAAAUAAAUUCAUAUAAAUCUUAUUGUUUAUUAUCAAAUUAAUAGAUGGUAAAGUAUAUGGCAAAAAGAAAAGGAAGAAUUAAAUUCAAUAGAAUGUUUUUGGACUUGUGGAAAAUUUUAAAGUGAAAAACAUACCUUCUAAAUUGUUGUCAAAUAGAUAUAUUUCUUCGAGCAUAGUUGAAUUAAAAAGGGUAAACUACAAAAAUAGUCACUUUUGUUUGCCUCAAGUUACAUUUUAGUCACUUACGUUUGAAAUGUUACGUUUUAGUCACUUAUGUUAUUAUUUUGUUACGAAGUGAUCACUCUUCCGUUAAGUUCCGUUAUCUUCCAAACGGUAAUCCUAUGUGGCAAUCCAACUAGAUUUUAAGUGUCAACUUAAAUUUCCUAAUAGAAUGAGAAUAAAUUUUUAAUUAAAUAAAUUUAAUUAAUUAAAAAUUUUAAACCCUAAAUCUUAAUUAAAAAACCCAUCUCCCUUUUUUUAGUUUUUUUUUCAGUUGACUAAGAAAACAGUCACGUCUUUGAGCAGGCCUCAGUAAUCAUCAAUAGCUUGACUCCAUAUAUUUAAGAACAUAAAGCUUCUGCCUAAAGAUAAAAGGAAAAAGAAGGAAAACCCCACACCAAAUUUCUCUGCAUUUUAUUUUUUGCUUCCACUUUACCCCAUUGAAGUGGACAUGUUGGCGACCUUAUGGAUGGAGGAGCUUUCACCAACCAAGAGUAAAUAGCUCUACCAAACAGCAGCAACAACAGUACCACCAGUUGAAGCUUUGUAUGCAUGCGCCAAAGCUAAAAGCUAAGAGCUUUUGGAUUUCAAAAUCUUUUAGAAGCUUGUGUUACAAAGCUAUAGAGUCCAAUGUGUAUUACUCAUAGAGGUUAGAGUAUAGUGGUAUGAUAGUAAAUCACUCUGUGUUUUGUCCUUCACCUAGUCCUUUUGAAGAACAGCAAACUGAAAUGGAGGGUUUGGUUGAGAAAGAAGGACUCUUUAAAGAGAAAAAUGAAAGCUUUAGUGAGAAUGGGGUUCAAAUGGGAACAUUGCCGAGUUGCUUGAAGACAAGGGUAGGGAAAGUAGUUCAAGUUCUGAUUUUUUAACAUCUGAAACAACCGGGCAUGAGGAGGAACACACAGUCACAGUAGUUCCGAGGAAGGGUAUGCUGAAAAAGAAAACUAAAAAAAAAGGGAGAUGAAUGGUUUUUUAAUUAAGAUUUAGGGUUUAAAAUUUUUAAUUAAUUAAAUUUAUUUAAUUAAAAAUCUAUUCUCAUUCUAUUAGGAAAUUUAAGUUGACACUUAAAAUCUAGUUGGACUGCCAUGUAGGAUUACCGUUAGGAAGAUAACGGAACUUAACGGAAGAGUGAUCACUUCGUAACAAAAUAAUAACAUAAGUGACUAAAACGUAGCAUUUCAAACAUAAGUGACUAAAAUGUACUUGAGAUAAACAAAAGUGACUAUUUUUGUAGUUUACCCAAUUAAAAAUACGUUUUGGAAUCAGCCCACUGAAUUGAGUUGUUACUAAAUUCAAAACCUGAAGCUUGUUACAUUCACCUAUGGAAAAAAUACUUUAUGGAAAUCUGACCUGCACACAUACUUAACAUAAGUCAAAGAGGUUUUCUUUUCUAUAAUUUGGAGAUGUUAUAUUUUAAUGUAUUUAAUCAUAUUUUUUCAUCAAAUUAACUAUUUUGAUUUUAAUGAAAUAAAAAGCUCUUACUUUUUUUUAUAAAAAAAAACUUUAAACUAAAGAAGCCAAAGAAAUUUAGUACCUUCUAGAUUAUUAAACCCCACAUAUAAAUGUCUAAGUCGUGUCAGGUUUCCAAUACUUCUUGGAAUGAUCCAUGUGAAUUGAUUAAUGGACAAUGACAAAAUUUGAAGGUUGUUGCAUUUGCCUAUACUUAAUGGAAUGUUACCAGAUAAUUCAUUCAAACUCAAGUGAAGUCCUUCAAGCUUAGGAAUUAUGUUGACACAUAUCAUCAGGUAAACUACCUGAUAGGAUUAAUAGCCUUCAGAGAAGAAAUGUUGAAGAUGGAAGAUGGAACCUGGACAGAUAAUUGAUUGAAUUCCAAGUUCAAGAUCUCUAGAUUGGACAUGUUAACAAGUGUUUGAUGGAUUGUGCCUAUAAAGUUAUUAUUUUUCAUUUCCAGCCUUUGGACUCUGCGUAAGUUCCCAAGCCAUGAUGGAAUUUCCCCAUUAAGACCAUUGUAGCUUAAUUGGAUGAUCCUCAAACGGUGCAAUUGGCCCAAUUCGGUGGGCAGAUGGCCAUAGAAAUUGUUGCUACUCAAGUCGAGAGAGAGUAGGAAUGAAAGUUUUCCAAGUUGUGAAGGGAUAGUACCUCGAAGAUUCAUGUUUGUAAGAUUCAAAGCUACAACUCUUUCAUGGAUGAUGCCACAAGAAACACCAAUCCACCUGCAAACAGAGCUAUAGGCUAUCCAAUUGUUUUCCAAGAUAUUGUGAGGAUCGAUUAUUCGAUCCUUAAACUCGAGGAAUGCAAACUAAUCGGUGGUGAGAUUCCUGGCUGUCAUAGCCAAACAAAGUACGGAACAUGGUACGAAUAGAGCUAAAAGAAGAUGAAAGCAAGUGGUGUAGUUUAUGAUUGCAAGACGGAAUAAGGGAAGAAAAUAAAAGAGUAGGAAAAGGGAAAUUGAAAUGAUAAAAUAGUUGGAUGAUGAAGAAAAGCCCAGAGAGCCUGCUUUAAUAUGUUUCAACCCUCCCACACUUCUCCUAAUUAAAUUCACUCGGGUAGGGUUACAACAUUAAUUUUCAAAAUAAAUGUCAAGUCUUCUUUUAAAACACAUACAAAGAAGCGAAUUUUCUCCAAAAUUUCUUCACAUUACUCCACAUAAUCCAUACAAAAUUAAUAAAAUAUAAUUUUUUAAUUACUAUAUAUUCUUUUAUUUUUUUCACAAUAAUAAGUUGGUUAAAUAUGCUAUUAAUCCCUGUACUUUUCAAAAUUUGAGAUUUAAUCCUUAUACUUUAAAAGUUAAAAAUUAAUUCAAAGAUAUUCUUUUUUCUAAACUGAGUGAAAUAAUAAGCUUUGUUUUCCUUUAACAAUUUUUUUUUGGUAUUUUCGCGGAUAUGAGGAGAUACUGAAAAUUAUUUUACUAUGAACUUUUAAUUCACUCAAAAAAAUAAAUGUUUUAUUUCAAGGGAACACAAUUCAACAUUAGAUUUCCCAUUUUUAUAUUUUAAAUUUUUUUGACAACUGCAUAAUUAACAAAGUAUCAAUUUUGAGCAUUGUGAGAGUUUUAUAACUUUCCAUAUGCGUAAUCGACUUUUGAACCCACUUUUUAUUUUAGAACUCAGGACAUACCUUAAAUUUUUAUUUUUAUAAGUUAUUUAUAAUCUAUUUGUAAAAAGUGAAUUUUUAAGUGACCGAUCACGCUUAACAAAAAUGAUUGGUGACGUUGAGUCCUUUUUGAUAAAAUCUUUUUGUUGGAAAGACCAAAGUUUUCAUUUUUUUUAAGAAGUCUUGAAUUUAAUUUUCUUUUUGAAUUUUUAUUUUUAACCAGAAAAUGGUCCUUACAGUUAUUAUUUAUUUUCCCCAUUUUUAAUGGUUUUUUUCAGGGAGAUGAAUAGUGGAAUGAUAAUUUUUGGUUAAGGUAAACUCAAUUAUGUAGUUGAUUCUAUUUUGAUCCUUCAAUUAUUAAUUUUUCGAUCUAAUUACAUAUUUUUUUAAAAAAAAUUAACACUCUCUUAGUUGCCUCUUAAUUGAGGGACAAAAAACUUAGACAUUUUCUAAUCACAUUUAAUUCAAUUGCGUUUAGGAUCACAUAAUUUUCUUUUAUUCUUUUUAAAUUAUAAACUGUUUCAAAAAUUCGGUCAAUAGCUUAAGUGAAAUUAUCCUUUUCGAAAUAUCAAUUUCACUUAAGCUAUUGACCGAAUUUUCAGCUAUUAGUCUUUUUUCCAAUCAAAUUGACUCUUAGGAGAAAUGCAAACUGCGCAAAAGAGUGUAAACAAAGAGGUUGAAUUUAAUUAGUUUCAAAAGACAUAAUUAAUAAUAAACUUAUUUAUUUAACAUGUUAAGAAACCUUUGCUUCAUUUUCUUGAACUCAACCACAACAUUCUUCCUAACUUUUCUUUUUUGAGGUAAUUCAGUUCAACAUUUCAAAAGAAAUUCCAUAAUCGAUGAAAUACAAUUUGCUUUAAUAAUAAAUCCGCAUCCUCGAAGUCUAGUAGUCCUUCAAACAAUGAGCUUUUCAACCACUGCCUUAUGGUGAUUUACAAUAUUAACUUCUUUUAUUAAAAUGUAGUGUGUGUGUGUGUGUGUUUUUUUAAUUAAAAUUCUUUAUAAACUUUUUUGUUUUCAAACAUAACUUUAUAUUUAUAUGUUGUUCAGUUGUAUAAUUUAAAUUAUGAGAUAUAUUUCUUUAAAAAAUAUUAAUGGAGGUGGGAACAUUUGCACUAUUAACGUUUUCUUUAGGAAGACCAUAAAAUAGAAAAUAAAUAGAAUUUUCUUGAAAAAAGAAAAUAAACAGAUUCUUUUAGUCCCAACUUAAAUGCUUUUCGAAACGAUAUUUAUUUGUUUUUUUUAUUAUUUGGGAGUAAAGCUCGUUCAUUCAGAAUUCAAUUGAGAGUUACGAAAUGAUUGUAAAAAUUUUAGUAAAAGACAAACGUGGAGAAAAUGAGGAUUAAUGCUGUAGCCUGUAAGAGAGAUGAUCUGAUAAAACUAAGACCAUUGGAAUAUUUAUAGGAAUUAUGUAACUAAUGUUGAAGGAAAUUUAAAAAUAAACUAAUGUUAUGUCUUAUGAAAUACCUUAAGUAGGCAAUAUGUAAGAUAUGGCAUUAAAAAAUAGAAAGGAACUAAUGCGCGUUACGAGAUUUAAAAGUCCUAGAAAUAAAUAAGAGGCAAAAAAGAUUAUAUAAUAAAAUGAAAACACAAACCUUAAUUGCAAUUGAGAAGGUAUUGAGUAGUUUAUGAUCUGAUGUGAUAUAUUUAUGUUAUUUGGUCAUUAAUAAAUACAUAUAGUGUUUCAGUAAUUACAAAUGAAAAAUUAUAAGUCACAAAAGUUAUGUUAUUUGGUUAUUAAUAAAUAGUCGUUAUUCAAGUAGAUAUCUAUUGAAUAAUUAUGUUUGUUGCUAAAAAUAUGACCAUCCAUUUCGGUAGUUAUGUCCCUAUGAAGAGACAUGAGGUCUCCUACAAAUAGGAGUGAAGUUUCAUUUGCAUAAAAACCCAAAAAUAUAGAAAAAGGAAGGUUUUUUUUUUCUGAUCUCGCACCAUUUUUUAUACUUCUAGAUUGUCCUAUAAAAAAUUACUGUAGAAAUUCUUUAUAGAAAUUGAUUUCCAUGCUAUGCUCCGCUUAGUGCUUAGCUGAUUGUUUUUGUCAGUGCCAAACGUAGACAUCCAUUGGGCUUUAUUGUAUCCUUGAGGUUCAUUUUCCAGUAACUCUUUUGCACACCAUAAUAUAGGUGGGGGAGACAUGCCUUAAAGCUUUUGUUAAUUUCUCUUAAGUUUAUUUUUAUCCCCACUCACCAACAAUUUCAAGGUUCUAAUUUCGCAAUUUAUGAGAAAUUAAAGAAGGCUUGUUUAUUCACCACGCAUUCACAUGCCGCUACAAGCAUGAUACUAUGAGGAUAGAUAUAGGCAAAUGUGGUUGCAUCAAGGCCAGAGAUCUUGUCAAAUUUUGUUUAAAAGAAAUAUUUAUCACAUUUAUUAUUUUACUCUUAUUGCAUGAUUUAGCUUCAAAUGUUAUGUGUUUAUUGAAUUACAUUAUGCAAAAUAUGUGGGUGUUUCAUGCACCAAUUACUUGACAAAAAAAAAAUCAAAUGCUAGUUCAUUUUAUGCAUAAUUUUUUGAGAUGCAUGAUUCUGAUCAGUAUAGAAUUAUAAUAUAUAUUAUAUAUCAUGCAAGAAAGAAAGAAAGAAGAUGGAAUGAAAAUGCACGUUUGGGAAAGGGUCUAUUAAUGGAUUGAAAAGUUACUUUCAUUUUGAAUGGUGAUGACAUUUUUUUUUCAAAAAUUAAUUGAACAUGCUUUUAUUCAAUAGAAGCAUUAUGAUCAUUCAGGUGAGCCUUCCCAAAUUACAAAGUUGCAUCACUAGGUCCAACAAAUACUUUUAAAAUGUUCGAUGAAUGGUUUCUUGAAACCAAAAAGUACCACUUAAAAAGUGAUAUCUUUUUGAAGAGUCACUUAGGCACCUAUGAAUGCUUUAUAAAUAGAAACUAAGUUAGGAUAAUUACAAUAUAACUCGUUCCAUCUAAUUUGUGAGUGAAACUCUCAUUCUUUCUUCUUAUUGAUACAUAUUGAACUUGUGAUAUGAAAUUAUUUGUUUAUUCAAAUCAUUCUUUCUUCUUAUUGAUACAUAUUGAACUUGUGAUAUGAAAUUAUUUGUUUAUUCAAAUCAUAAUAUUAGUAACUAGCAUUUGGAUGAUAUUGAUGAGGCAUCAUUUUCAUUGCUAAAAAUGAAAGUUUGCAAAUGAUUAUAUAAUAUAAAUGAUUUUGGUUGUUGUUUUUGCUAAAUAACCAUAAGUUAAAUGAGUUUUAUAUAUGAUUGCACAUUUUUUAUUCUAUGUUAUAAAGUUUGGACUAAAUGUGGUUUUGACUAUAAGUCAAAUACAUAUGCAUGGUUAAUUUUUCUAGUCAAUGUAGAAUAGUGAAAACCAUUAGCUUAUAUAAUAAGAUCACUAUCCUAGUAUGAAAUUGUAACAUCUUAAAAUUCGGGGUUAGGAGUUUUGAGGUUUGUGGUCAGGGCCUGUGAGUAGGGUGAGUAAUUGGGUUUGUAGUCGUGCUUUGAUGACAGAAUGAGCCUAUUGGUUCAAUGGUAAAGGGUGUGUUAGUUUAACUUUGGGUCCCGGGUUUUAGUCCUUAUGUGUGUUUUGGGGAAAUAAUUUUACUUUGGUGUUUUUUUAAGUUUUAAAUACUUAUCUAUUAUUUUUAUUUUUAUUUUGGAGAGAGAAAAGAUCCCAAUUUGUUUUUCCACAUUCUCCCCUUUUCGCACGCCUGUUUCUUCUUCAAUUUCUAUUUUCAAUUUUUGUUGCUUCUUCUUCUUCUGCCUUAUUCUUUUGUUAUUCGAGUAUUGAAGCGUUUUCAUUAGAAAAGUUAUUUGCUCAAUUGUUAGGUGUGGAACUGGGUAAGUAUUAGCAUUGUUUUGUUGAUGAUUCUCUGAAUUUUAGAUUAAUUGCUUAAGGUUUUGUGCUGAUUAAUAAGGUUUUGAAAAAUGGUGGAUUUCAGGCGUCGAUUGUUAGGGCAUUUUCAAUCAUGAAUUUAGGUGUGUGUUCUGCAAUUGACUGAUUUCGUUAUCAAUUGCAUGAUUUCGACAACCCCUUUGUGUGUCUCUUAACUAUCUAAAUCAGUUAGCGAAUUGUUGAUGGAUUUUGGGAAAAAUCUAUAGAAGUCUAAUGUGGUUUGAAUUGUUAACAACUGGGGUAUGUUUUGUUGUCAUACAACCUUGAUUUUAGCCUAUUUCGAGGUGGUUUUGUGACCACACAGGCGUGUGCCACACACAGGCGAUCCACACAGCCGUGUGCAAUUGAGAAAUUAGGUUUUAGGCAAUUUUUGGUGUCAUACGGCCGUGUGGCUAAAUUUUGGGAUUUUAGUCAAUAAUCACACAGGCGUGUGUUCUGGACAGACGGCGAUGUCCCAUGGGCACACGGAUGUGUGAGACUUUCACACAGCCGUGUCUGCUCUGCACUUUAUUUUAGCAAUUUCGGACAGAGAGUUACACAGGCUAUUCACACAGCCAUGUCUCUAGGUCACACAGGCGUAUGUCAUAACCAUACGACCAUGUGCCUCUUUUCACAAAGGUGUGUGCUUGUUUACACAGGUGUGUGCCUUCUUCUCAUGGGCAUGUAGGCAACCAUACAACUUAGGCACUUCCACACGGCCGGGGCCCUGUUUCUCAAAUUUUCGUUUGGUGUUGGAUCUUGACUUGUUUGUGGUUUUGUGUGUUUCGGCCCUUGGUUAGGCCCUAGAAAGGGUGGUUGGGACUCUAUUUCAUCUCAGUUUUGCACGUUUGUUUUUAAUUAUGGAAUUAAUAUAAUAGUUUUUUAAAAUGCUAUUGGUACAUACUGCUUGCAUUUAAUUGAUAUUAACUCUAAAAAUGGUCCACCGCUUAUGUAUUCUAUUAUACGAGUCUGUUAGCAUGUUGAGUGCAUUCUGGCAUUUGCAUAUAAAUUUGGGUUUUGGUUGUGAAGAGAAGGAUGUCUGAUCUGAUUUGGUAGUUUUAAUUGCAACACAGCUGUACAGUGGUUUACCGUAAUAUGCUGUACAUAUGAUAGCUCAGCUGCAUAUUGAUAUUUCAAUGGCUUAGUUCCACAUAUGUGGUGUGUAGGGUGGAUGGGACUUUUGACGUCCUAUAUGGUGUGCAUAGUUGGUUAGGCUUGAUUAGCUCAUAUGUGGUGUGCAGGGUGGUCGAAAUGGUGUUCAGUUGGUGGGGUGGGUUCAUUUUUAAUCUAUCUUGCAUCUUAUUUGUAUUCAGUUUGCAUUUUAACAUACAUCGGUUUGUAUGGAUAAAAUGUUAGUGUGUGUUCUAAUCAAUACAUGUGGUUUGUUUGACUUUUGGUUCAAGUUUCCUUUUAGUAUACACAGUCUGUGUACCAUAACUUGAAAUGUUUGUAUUUGAUAUUUUGUCUUUUAAUAUUCACUUACGUUUCGAACUCACACUAAGCUUGUGUAGCUCACCCCUUUAGUUUUCCCUUUUUAGGUAUUCUCAUUUUUUGUAGAUGGACUCGGCACACUGGAGGUCUCGAAGCAUUACGUUUUAAAUCAAGCUAAUAAAGUAUUUCUUUAACUCUAAUUUUAAAUAAAUUUUUUUGGAUUGUAAGUACUGUUUUUGAAAUUGUGGUACGAAUUUUGUGCCAUACACACGUAAAGUGUUAUUAGAACUGAAGUUUCGAAAAAGGGAGAUUUUUUUUUUAUUUUUGAACAUUUUCUGUCGUAUCCUAAUUACCAUUUUGACUUUGGCAUAUUUUGUUAAAUGAUUUAGCGUGAUUUAAGCAAUAGUUUUCUGACAAAGUUUCAAACAAUUGUUUGGUAAAUUUUCUAGAAUCACUUCAGUUGUCAAUGUGACCUCCAAGAUCCAGUCAAAACUUCUAGGCUGGGUUUUGGGGUGUUACAGAAAUCUUCUAGUGAGAAUAUAUAAUGUGAUAAUCAUAUAUUUGAAAUUGAGAUCAUACCAUGCAUAUUUACGAUUAUGCAUAUGGUUUUUUAUAAAUGGCUUGGAUAUGAUCUAUAAUCUCGUGGUUUUAUAAAAUUUUAAGAUGUAGUAACUUUUGAAAUUUACUAUGGAAGCCAUGAAUCAAAGAUCUUGCAAGUAUGAAAAUAGAAAUAUGAAUGCUAUUUGACCCAUUUAGAUGAUCGACAUGAUUUUGAUCAUAGUCAGAAAGUAAUUGAUAAUAUCCAUGGUGAAAGGUGAAUAAAUGUGUGAUUUUGUUGUCUCUCGAUUAGACAGAUAAUGAUCCUUUAAUAUGACAUAUAUGUUACACCCUUGUAUAUAUAAAGUGAUUUUAUUGUCACUAGACUGGACAGUUGAUGGUCCUUUAAUAUGACAUAUAUGUUACAUCCUUGUAUAUAUAAAGUGUGUUGAGAAAAACAAUGUUAUUUGACUAUAAAUGAAUUUUUUUUAAAGACAUGUACUGACUUAGAAAAGAAGCUAUGACAAACAACAAAUAUGUUGUCUAGUUUCACCAAGAGAUUUGAGGCUUCUUCACAACAACAUACUUGGUGAAAAAGACAUGAUGCAUGGUUUCAUAUAUUUGGUGAUUGUGAAAUUAAUUUCUUGGAUAUUAAGAAAUAAAUCAAGUAGACAAAUAUGAAAUCAUCAUGAUAAGAAAAGAUAAAGUGAUUAUUGUAAUUUGACAAUAGUAAAAAGGUUGUCCCUGAUAGCAUUCUUUUUCAAAAGAAUGGGUAAUUUAAAAUGGUAAAGAUGUUGGCCUUGUGAAUUUUCAAGACACAAAUAAAUAUAAAGUUUCACUUGUGGUAUGGAUAAUUAACAUAGCUAUGUUGAAAAUUUAGAAAUUUAGGGAUGAGGUACAUGCCUAUAAUAUUUAAGUCACCCAUGCUGGAAACUCAACUCAACGUUUGAUAUAACAUCAAGUCUUGAGUUCAAUGAGACAAAGUAUAUUAUCAAUAUGUGAUCGCUAACACUAUAAAAUAAUUUAUCAUCCCAAUGUAAAAAAGUUAGGUACCCGUAAUGAUAAGGGGAAGGAUAAGUAUUAUACUCUUAAUAGACCCAUAACAUAAAUAUGUCAGUGUUAUAAUUACAGGAGCACUCUUGAUGGGAUCUGCCUAUGUGAGCGGAAGUGUUGUGUAACUAGAUUUUUGUGCAAAUGUAUAAUUCAUUCAAGUAAUAAGUAAGUAAAAUGAGUUAUUGUCUCCCCAGGGGCUGUGUAAGUUAAUCAAUUAUCUGCAAAAUUAUAAGUUAACAAUUUAGUGAUAAAAACACAAUAAUUUGAGUGAUGAUGAUUAAACUAGAUUAAUUUAACUAAAUGCAAGAUUGAUCCCUGUCGAAACCACUUUUUGAAAACAAAAAUUAGUAGUUGACUUAAAAAUGAAAAUCAGAGUCGCCACCGAUAUUUUAUUGAGGUGUGAUCGGACCACCUUGAAAACAAUUAUAGGUCUACGAACUUUGAAAAAAUAGGUUUGGGAGUCGAUUACGCACGAGGAAAGGUUAGCACCCUCGUAACGCCCAAUAUUGGUACCGAAUGGAUUGUUUAAUGUCUUAGUGUCAAAAAUUUGAAAAGAUUUUAAAAUACGAUCCUUUUAACUUUAACUAAAUUGAAUUAAAUGAUAAGACACACUUAUUUCAAAGAAAUAAAAUGUCACACCCAAUGAGUUAGGGCGCAACAUUUUUAAUCUUCAAGAUUAAGUUUAUCUUUUGACUUUUUAAAACCUAUACAUUUUGAGAAGGAUAUCUAGUUAUUCGGGUCAAAUGAAAAAUCAAAACCCUGUAAGUUAGGGCUCAAUUUCCCAAAAUUUCUAAAUACCGAAUAUUGCCUUUAUUAUUUUUUUUAAAAUCUUUAAUUCGAGGUGGCAAAAAGUCAUAUCCAGUGAGUUAGGAUCCAACAUUUUGAAAUCCCGAAAAACUUUUAUUUAAAAUUUGUAUGGUUUUAUUGCAAAAGAAAUACUUUGCUAUCUAAAUUCAUCGAAAAAAAUUGAAGCCCGGUAAGUUAGGGCACAAUCUUCUCGAGAAUCGUGAAUACCGAGUAUUUUUAAAAAUUUAAGGAAUAGAAUGAUUUUAGUGCUCUAAUGAAACACAAUUUUUAAACAAAUGUAGUAUGAUUGAAUAGUAAUGUAUAAUGUAAAAGAUAUAAUUUAUAAUCUAAAUACACACUAUGGGAUAAUAAACAAGCAAUAGACAACAAUAAUAGCAACAACAAUUUUAAUCACAUUAUGCAAAUAUCAAUAUUAAUAUUCAAAAAACUAAACAAAUCCAUCAUCAAAUUUUUAAAAGAUACACCAAGAUAAUACAAAAAUAUAUCCUAUGUAUAAAAGUUUUAAAAUAAAAAUAUAUAAGAAUAUUCAAAAGGUGAAUUUUAAAACAAAAUAAAAAUAAAACAUCAAAAUAUAUAUAAAUUAUAUCAAAUUUUCAUAAGAAUAUAUAUAUAUAUAUAUUAAUAAAUGAUGAAUUAAAUAAGAAUAUGUAAAGUUUGAAAAUAAAAGUAUAUAAUGGAUUUUAAAAAAUAAUGUAUGAUAAUUUUAAAACAUGUUAGUAAUAAUUUAAAAUAAUAGUAUAUUAUAUCUUAAAAUCAUAAUAAUAAUAAGUUAAAAAUAAUGUCAAGCUAAAUAUUAAAAUAAUAUUAGAAAUAAUAUAUUAAGAUAAGUAUUAAUUUAUUUUAAAAUUAUACUAUUAGAGGCUAAAUUAGACAUGAAAUAUAAUUUAGAAUAUAAAAUAAUAAAAUAAUAAUAAUGGAUUAAAAAUAAAAUUGGAAUUUUAAUAAAAAUUUUAAAAAACACUACAAAUAGAAAUAAAAAGGAAAAUAAAGAUAAACUAAAUUUGUAAUCGACUUGAAAAAUGAGGGACUAAAAUAGCAAAUAAGAGCAAAAAUCUGAAUAUUCAAAGUCAAUCGUAGAAAACGACACCGUUUAAACAUGGAUCCAAAUGUAAUUAGAAUCAAAUAUGCGAUAUAAAUUAAAAAAAUGAAGAAAAUCAAAUUGAAACUAUAGAAAACAAAGGGGGACUUGUUACGCAAAUAGACCAAUAAACCAAAAUGAGCGGAUCCUGCCCUCGGGUCAGGUCACCGCAUGGGUCUGAGCUUCUAAACGGCAUCAUUUUUAAAGCAACUGAAGAAUGUUUAAAACGGGGUUGUUUUCUUCACAAUAUAUAACCUAGAAUAAAAUCUAAACUAACAGCCUCCCAUCAUUUUCUAAAAAACUUUAAAGAACCCUAAUGAUCUCUCUAUGCCCCGCUCCAUGCCUAAGCCAACCAAAGGCACUUUGAUUUCCAUCCAACUCCGAUUGCGACGGAGUAGAAGGAAAGUCGGCCACCAGGUAAGCUUUUAGUCCUUUUAUUUAUCUUUUCUUUCAUUUUAGCACACAAAUCAUCAAAUAGAAAAAAAGAAACCAAAGAAAGAAAAGAAAAAAUAAAUCUGCAAUUACCUUUCAAACAUUUUCUUUUGAUUUCUCUGAAUAUUUUUUGGUUUUUGUAUUCAAUAUGCGUAACCGUUUACAGAUUUGGUUGGCUCUUUUUAUAGUCGAGACAGAGUCAAAAGAAAAAGAAAAAAAGCUUGAACCUUUUUACAUUUUUCUCUAUUUUUUCUAUUAUUUACUGUCACUGUUUUGUUGCUCUGUUGUUGUUGUCUGUUUCUAUUGCAGGAGUGGCCGUACGAUGACGUGGCACAACGCGUGGCGAAUGCACAGAGGGUGGUGCUAGAAGCUGUUAGGCGCGCGACGGCUUAGGCAGAUAGAGCUUUAGGGUUUCUCUCAGGACUUAUUUAGGGUUAUUGGGUUUGUAAUCAGGCCUAGUAUUUGGGCUAGACAUUUAGGGUUUUAGUGAUUAGGCUUCAAUUUGAAUUUGGCCCAUUGUAAUUGACUUUAUUGACAUUGGACUUUUAAUAAUUUUUAUUUAUUUGGUUUUUUAUUGGUCCAGGCAAAAUGGGUAUUACAGCUGCCCCUCUUUGCUCGUUGUCGUGUAACGGGAACGGAGCAAAGACUUUAAAAUGGCCAAUUUUGCCUGGUCGUGCUGGACCUUGGUGCUCCUCUUCUUCAAGUAGCCUCAUUCAUUCUACUGCAUCUUUAGGGGUAUAGGAAUUGGUGCUUCGAUCGACUCCACUGUAACAUCAGGGAGAUAGGAUUUGUAACUCUUCGAAGGAACAUUUGCUAUCAUCAGUCAGCUUCACUACAACUUCGAGGAGACAAGACUUGUAGCUUCAACUUGUUCCACUGAGGUUUGAUGCGAUCUGCUCUACUGUAACUCAUAGAGAUGAGAUCUAUGAUUUUAAUCCGCUCCACUGCAACUUCAGGGAGAUAGGAUCUGUGGUUUUAACCUACUCCACUGCUGCCCAGGGAGAUAGGACUGGCGGCUUAAAUCUGCUUCCCUACUACCUUGGGAAGAUAAGAUUCACUGUUUUUUAUCUGCUCCACUACUGCUUAAGGAGACAGGAUCUACAAUUUUCAACCUAUUCCACUGUUGCCUAGGGAGAUAGGACUUACAAUCUUCAACCUAUUCCACUGCUGUGCAGGGAGAUAAGACUUACAAUCUUCAACCCAUUCCACUGCUGUCUAGGGAGAUAUGACUUACAAUCUUCAACCUAUUCCACUGCUGUCCACUGCUGUCCACUGCUGUCCAGGUCUCUGUUACCUUUGGCAUCCACUCAACAAGUUUAUUAUACUCACACUAGCGAUCUUGAAGAUCAAUCUCGUGUUUCAGAAUACUAGUUGUGACAUCGAUGUCUCGACCAUCCAACUAAACAUGUCUAGAGCGUGGUCUAAUCCUCUUGUAAUAAAAUUAUUCAUGAGAAUCAAGAAUGUUCUUUUUUGUGCUGCCUACCAUGUUGGCAAAAUUCACAAAUUAUUUUUUCUUCAUCAAACAUUGUGUAUCAGAAACUCAGUUUACAGAAACGAGGUUUCGAGGCCACUUUUUUUGACACUACUAAAAAUCGGGUCGUUAAAGAAAAUACAAAGGAAGAAAAAACAUGUUUAGACAAGCCAAGAGCCUUUGGCUUUGCUCCAACAAUAGGAGACAUAAGAGUUGUGUUAUCAAAUAGAUGAAUGCUAAUCAUUGCGAUCAAACCGGUGAUUUUGAUGAUGUUAAUGGUUAUUUUGGUGGAGAGGUAGGAAAUUAAUCAUCAUAUAUAAUAUAAUUAUGCAAUUCAAGCCUAUAUUGUAUGUUCAUACAUAAAAUUUUCAUGGGAGGUCCAAAGGCAAUUAAAUGACUUGUAUGCUUGCUAAAAUUUUUUGAAAGGACCAAAGGCAAUUGAACAUUCAUAAAAUAGUCUCCAAAUACUAUAAAGACAAAUAAAAUCCACAUGAGCAUUAGAGUUGAUUAAGCUGCGCAUUAGCAGAACUUCCAUCAUAGGAAAUAUUACUUGGCACUUGGUAGUAUAUAUGUAGACUUUGACUUUGCAUUCAAUAAUGGCAAAACCACCUCUUGAUUUAGAAAAACAACAUAAUCCAUGAAACAUUGAUAGCCCAAUACAAAUUUCAUGUAGAAAAAAGUCUUUGUUUUGUAGCGCAUAAUAGUAAAGCAUGCGAAGUUUUAUUCUUCUUAUUGGCCUCCUUUAGUUUUCCUUGAUCAACAACCACUAGCCAAAAACACAAUUAGAUUAGAUUAUAAAUGAUACAUUCAAUUAUGAUAAUAUUAAAUAGAACACACCCUAAAUAAAUCUAAAUAAAUGGAGAGUAGCAAAUUACCUGACAAGGCAAGGUAGCUUAGUUAAGACCAAUGUGUUAGACUUGUCCCUGCAUUGAACAAUCUAGAAGAAAAUGAAGAGAAACACUGAGACAACUCUUGAAAACAGAUUAAACUUAUAUGUCAUUGCUUGGAUAAACUAUGAUUACCCAUAACAGACCUUGUAUUUGACUUUUUGUUAAGGGAGAUCAACUCUUCAGGAGAAGUCUUCUGAGUGUUAUCUGCCAGGUAGUCAACAUUGCCCUCAACAACAAAAGGUAUUGUCCCCAUGUCGAGAUUUUAUUCCUAGCCUCUACAGAAAAAUCAUGAAGAAUACGUGCGAAAGGAUUCAAACCACCAACUAACGUAUAUGUAACAUUUACCUCGCAAUCAUCUCCGUAAACCCAUAGAGAUCUUUGCAGAAUCAAGAGACAAAACCCCAACUCAAGAAUAAUACCAUUUGUUGAAGAGUCUGUCAAAAUAACAAAUGAAAUUUAAAUACAUAGUUUUUCAGUGAAAGAAAAUAACAUAUUUAAUUAGAGAAAAACAACAAAAGAUCCAACAAUAAAGUCCGUAGUAAAAGAUUAAAACAAAAUUAUACCGUAAUGAAAUAAGAAACUAAGAAAACCAAAUCUAACAAAGAAAAUAACUUGAUGUCCCAAAGCUACCAUAAACCGUAAUUCAUGGGAAGGCCUGCUACUCAUUUUGAUUUUGCAAAAGAAGUUUGAAUUCCGAAGAGAGCAAAUGAUUGAGCAAAAGAAAGAAAUUAGUUUAUUAAUUUUCACAAUUUAUAAGACAAUCUUCAAGGAGACCGAUACCGACAUAUUUGAUAUCUAUAAUUAAACUGCUAGAAUAGAUUAAAAAUGUUAAUAAAAUUAAGUGUGAAUUAAUAACCACAAGUGUACUCAUUACUUACCAUCUUUGUUAAACAUGUUUGAUGUUGUUUAGCAACCUUUGUUUGAUUUUCUUUAGCUCAGCCACAACAUCUUUCAUAUCUUUUCUUUCUUCUGGUAAUUCAGUUGAACAAUUCAAAGCCAACUCCAUGAUGGAUGAAAUGCAAUUUGCUUUAACAAUAAAGUACUCAUCCUCUCUUUUUAAUAAAUCAACAUCUGCAAUUUCUAUCGCUCCUUUAGGCAAUGAACUUUCCAUCCAAUGCCUUAUAGUCCUUUCUUCAGCAAAAAAAUUAUCAGUUGGCUUCUUCUUUGUGAAAGUUUCUAUGAGGACAAUCCCAUAACUAUAGACGUCACAUUUUACAGAAACAAUUCCUGCAGAUCCAAAUUCUGCAUUUCAAGUAUAAUUAGAGCAUCGUUAAUCCUUAAUUAUUUCUAAAAUGAUUAUUCAAAUAUAUAUCCACCUACACACGAAACAAAAAUAUAAAAUGCAAAUUAGAAAAAUAAUAAUACAAAAAUAAAAAAUUCACCUGGUGCCAUAUACCCAAUAGUUGCAAGAGUCAUGGUAUGCUUCAUUAAGUCACCUUCUCCCAACAAUUUGGCAAUGCCAAAAUCUCCCACAUGUGCAACCAUGUCUUCAUCUAGUAAAAUAUUGUUUGGUUUUAAGUCACAAUGAAUUAUAGGUGUUGGAUGUCCAUUGUGGAGAUGUUCUAUAGCUGAUGCAACAUCAAUCAUUAUGUCAACCCUUUGUAUGAUAUCGAGGAAAUGGUUUUUAGAAUGUAACAAUUUCUCAAGAUUUCCGUUAGACAUGUAACCAAGCACCAAGGCUUUGAAGUCAACACUUGAGCAGCAGGUAAUGACCUUCACAAUAUUACGAUGAACUAUAUUACUCAUAGCAUCACAUUCAAUGUCAAAACUCCUAAAUGCUCCCUCUGUUUGCAAAUUGAAAACUUUUAUUGCAACUUCCAUUCCAUCUGAAAGCCUCCCUUUAUAUACAUAUCCAAAACUCCCUGAACCAAGCAUAUUGCUUUCCUCAAAUCCAUUAGUUGCUCGUGAAAGUUCAGCAUGUGAAAUUCUUCUCGGUGUUUUCAAAGACAACAAAUCAUCUUUAAUUGGUAGAGUUGUACUCCUUCUUUGGCAUCUUCUAUACAUAAUAGUUAACACUAUUAGUAGUACGACAACACCAAUUGUUGGUAAACCAUACCUUAAAGCAUGCAAUAUAAUCUUUUCGGAGUUUUCGUGAAUGUCGUUUUUGCAAGGUGGGACUAGCAAUCUAGGUGGACCACAAAGUGCAUAAUUCUUCAUGAAUGAUGUGCUAGAAAAGUUUGAAAAACUUCCUUCAGUAGGAAUUUCCCCUUCAAGUCUGUUGAAAGACACAUUAAAAUACUUUAGAUGUAAAAGCUUUUCCAACGAUUUAGAAAUGACUCCAGAGAGAUUGUUCUUACAUAAAUCCAGGGAUUCCAAAUUAAUCAAACCACCAAAUGAUUCAGGGAUAUGACCAUGUAGUUUAUUAUUUGAUAAAUCUAAUGUAACCAAAGUUUGAAGACUCCCAAAUGUGGAUAAAAUAUCGCCCAUGAGAAGAUUCCUUGAUAAAUUUAGUUUCCCUAGACUCCUCAAAUUUCCAACAUCAAUAGCAUGAGAAUUGUGAAGAUGGUUUGAUGAUAAAUCUAUUUCUAAGAUAUCUUUAAGAUUCCACAAAGUUGAGGGUAUUGCCGAACUCAAUUUGUUGGAAUUUAAGUAAAGAUAUCCCAAAGAAUAAAUAUUACCCAGACAAGAGGGUAUAGAUCCGUACAGCUUAUUCAACCCUAAAAACAAUUUGUAUAGACUCUCCAAAUCACAAAGGCUCUCUGAGAUAGGCCCUUCUAAUUUAUUAGAGGAAAGAUCUAGACCUUGGAGUUUUUGCAGUCCUCUUAUUGAUGUUGGAAUAAAUCCACUUAACUUAUUAUAGUCAAGUUCUAAACGCAACAUGUUGCUUAAGUUACCUAUUUCCGUAGGAAUAUUGCCCAUAAUCUCACAAUUAGAGGCCACAAAGUCUCGAAGGGAGUUUGAAAGGUUCCCGAUAUAAGUAGGAAGAACACCACUCAAUGGAUUUCCUGAAACAAUUAUUCUUUUCAGAUGCUUGCAAUUCGCCAAAGAAUAAAGAAAGGUCCAGUCAUGAUCAAUAGCAGAUCCUGCAAUCAAUUUAUUGUUUUGGAUAUGAAGGCAUUCAAGGUAUCUUAAGUUGCCAAGCGUUUUAGGGAUUGGGCCAGAAAAUAAGUUAUUUCCCAAGUCUAGUUCCUUAAGCAUGGAAACAUUGGAGAUAGAGUUGGGAAUGUUUCCGCUAAGAUUAUUUCCCCACAAUAAAAGAUUCUCAAGCUUUGGAGCAUUGGUAAUGGGUGGUAAAUUACCUGUAAAAUAGCAUCUUUUAGUAUACAUAUUCACAAAAUAUAUAAUACAUUAAAAAUGAACUCCUAAGUAUUGUUAGCCCAAGCCUUGUGUUGAAAUCAUCUUUACUUUCUAGAUUUAAAAUUGAUUGAAUAUCAAAUUUAAAAAUAUAUAAUACAUUAAUAAUUUUUUUAAAUAUUGUAAAUCUUUAAAUCAAAGAAAAAUAAAAGUUUAAGAUGAGAAUGUGGCAUCUAAUCAAUAUUCCUUUAUUUUCCUUAUAUACAACUUUUCUCUAAUUUUUAAUUAAUAUGUAUUGAAAAUAAAAAAUAAUUUUAUAUUGUGCAGGUCAUUAAAAAAUUAAAAAAUCAGAUUUUUUUAAUAAAAAUGUAGGAAAUGUUUUAAAAAAUUUAAAAAUAAGAAAAAAACAUAAAUUGUAAAAUAAUUAUAAAGAAUACUAAAAAAUGUAAACAAAAAAAAUUCUCAGCUUUAUAAUAAUGCAGUUUUUAGAAAAUAAAAUGCAAAAAGAAAACCCGAAAAAAUAGGGAAAAUCAGAAAAACUUAAAAAGAAUCAACAAACCGCGAAGAAGGUGAGUUGUGGACUGAUAAGAUCAAUUAGAAAAAGGUUUCGGGCUUUCGGCUUAAUUAAAUAAAGUAAAUUAAAAUGCCAAAAAGAAGAGAAAGGAAAACACUAUUCAUUGUUUAAAGUCCAUGUUGGUAUAAUUAAUAUCUACGUUUCGUGUUGGAUUAAUUAAUUAUUUUUAAUUAAAUUAUAUUGUAAAAUUUAAAAGCUGGAAUUUACUUAAAAUUUUUGAACUCUUCAUGUAUUAGAAAUUUAAUUUCUAUACUUCUAUCUUUUAGAAUUUAGUCUCUUUACUCUUUGAAUUUAAAAAAUUAGGUUCAUUUGUUAAUAAUGUUAAAUAGUUUUUGUAUUGGUAUGACAUUUUGAAAAGCUAAAAUGAAAAUAGAAAAAACAAUAUAAAAUAUUUACAAAAUUAUUAAAAUUUGUAAAAAUAGAAAAAAUCUAAAAUUAUAAAAAUUAAAAGAAUAUACUAAAAAAUAAAAAAAUAUAUUAGAUAUUUUAACAUUUUUGAAAUUUUUUAAAUGGCUGAGAGUUUGAACUUGUGAUCAUUGUGUCUUGGAAGGAUACCACCUAUAACAAUUGUUUUUAAAUUCAAUUACUCAAAAUUAAUAAUCGGUACAUCUUAUUAGGUGAUAAAUUUGGAUAAGUCUUUUAUUUUCAAUUUAUUUAAAUAAUAAAUAAAUAAUAUUUUAAAUUAUUCCAAAUAUUUUUUACUAGUUGAAGAUAGAUUGUUUCUCUCUAAACCAAUAUCUUAAGAACCAUUAUUGAAUGCUUGACUAAUCUAAAGAAUUUUGGUACAAAACAGAAAAAGCAUGUACACGAUGAUGGAUGAAGAAAGCUUGCUCUGGAUAUUAAAUAGGGAGUCAAAUCAAAUAAACAUGUUACUAGUAACACUAGUAAAACGCUAAAACUUGAUGUAUUUUAAAAUAUUAAAAUGUUGAUAUAAGAAUUUAUUAAAAUUUUUUUUAUAAAAAUUGGUUGUAUUAUAAUAAAAAAUUAUAAUAUCAAAUUUUUUAAUAUUUUAAAUGUGAUUAACGAAUGUAUACUUUAUUUCAAGAUACAUAAUUUUUACUAGUUUUUAAUUUUUUUAUUUUUUUAUAAUAUUUAACAAUUUCUAAUAAUUUUAUUAUUUUUUACAAUUUUUUUAGAAAAAUUAAAAAAUUUGUAAAUUUUAAAAAAUUAUAGAUUUAUAAUUUAGUUACUUUUUUAUAAUUUUAUUUGAAUUUAUAUAUAUUUAAAAUUUUUAUUUUUUAUUUCUAAAUGAUGAUGCCACCGUGACGUCGGGACGUGUAUCACAUGGCAAUUUAUGAUUGGUUGGAUAUCCCAACUGAAUUUUUUAAGGACCAUAGGAUUGUGUCGGAAACACCUGGUAAUGUUGGGGACUACAUUAGAAACGUUUGAUAACGUUAGGGACUAAAGUGAGUCAAAAGACUUUAAGGAUCAAAGUGAGAAAAGCAGUAUACUUUAGAGACUAAAGUGUGCAUUAAGCCUUUAAAAAUAUAUCUAUAAUAUGUAUAAAUGUAUGAGUUUUGAGAAGCUUUUGAUAUGAUAAUUAUAUAGUCUUUGUUAUUUAUUAUAUUACUGAUAUUUUUAACAUUUUUUUAUUUAUCAAAUUUAUAAAUAAGAAUUUUGGUUUUACUAAAAUAUUUGAUUAAAUAAAUUCAUGAAAAAUUUAGCAUCUUUAUAAAUAAAAAUUUCCAUUCUAUUAAAAAAUUAUUAAAAUAAUUUAUAUAAUAAAAAUUUAAAAUUCAUAUUGAAUUACUUUAUACUUAAAUUAUUACUAGAAACUCUAUCAUAAGUAUAUGCGUGUAGGAACAACGUGUUUAGAAAACAUAUUUGUGUUUUAAAAUAAUAUACAAUAAGUAAUCAAAUCACUGAUUAAUACUAAUAAUAAAUGACAUAUGUAAGAUAUUAAAAUAAAAAAAAUAGAUUAAAUUGCAAGUAAAAUAAAAUUUAAACAUAUGAAUACGUCAUAUUAAUAAUACUAAUUGAAUACAAUUAUUUAUUAUGGUGUUGUUGUCAAUACUAAGUUGGUGUCUAGUUAAUUUGUGACAGAACUUUAAUCAACAACAUUAUUAAUAUAUAUAAUUCAUGGAGGUAAUAAAAUGUAUAAAAAUUUAAAAUAAAAUUUUGGUUUUACGUAUUGAUGUGGGUUCAAACCCCACCAUAAACAUUUUUAUUUUGUUCUUUAAAUAAAAAGACUUAAGUACCCUCAAACAAUAUAACUUAUUUUAAAUAAAAAAUGAUAUUUUUUCAAUUUCUCUAACCCAAUUGAUACUUGAUUGACUUAUGACACCAACUCAAUCAGAAGCUUAAAUAAUAGUAUAGAUGUUCAUUACUUUAAUUUUAAAGAGCAAAUUUUAAUUAUUUAUAUAACAAAUAACUUUAUAAUUCAUAUAUAAAUUUUAUAAGUAAUAUAUUUAUAUAGUUUAAUCUAAUCUAUUAUAUUUAUAUUAAGUAUAUAUCAUCUACAAAUUUUUAAGAUCAAUUUAUUGCCUAUCAAGAAAAGAAAAAAAAUGAAAUUACAAAUAUAUCGAUUUUUAUAUUUUGUCCGGAUGGUUUAAUGAUGAUAAAAAAAAUUAUUAGCACUGGUUUUGAAUUAACAAAAAUAAAUUAUAUUUUUUAACUAUAUUUACCAGUUAUUAUUUUGAAUAAUAUUACUAUUUUUAAUUACAUAAACUAAAAUUAUAUUAGAUAUUAAAUAUGGUGCAUAUGCUUUAAUUAUGGCUUGAAAUUUUAUUAUUAUAUUUGAAAUAUUAAAUAAAUUAAUAUUUUUUAAUUAUGUUCAACCAUUUGAAUAAGAAAUUAAAAAUAAUAAUUAGAAUAAUUUAAAAUUAAUUAAAAAUUAAAUGGUUAAAAUCAAGUGUCAAUCUAUAUAAAUGGGAAUUAAAAAUUUUAAGAUAAAUCAAUUCAUAUAAAACUUAUUGUUUAUUAUGAAAUUAAAAUGAUAAAGUAUAUGACGAAAAAGGCAGAAACAAAUUAAACAGAAUGCAUUUUGGACUUUGGAAAAAGAUAAAGUGAAACACAUACCUUCUAAACUGUUGUCAUUUAGAUAUAUUCCUUGGAGCAUAGUUGAAUUAAAAAUACUUUUUGGAAUCAGCCCACUGAAUUGAUUUGCUGCUAAAUUCAGACUCUGAAGCUUGUAACAUUCACCCAUACUUGAUGGAAUAUCACCAGAUAAUUCAUUAUGUUCCAAGAAAAGCCAUUCAAGCAUGGGACAAUGGUGACACAAAGCAUUAGGUAAACUACUUGAUAGACUAUUGUUGGAGAGAAAAAUAGUCUUCAGAGAAGAAAUGUUGAAGAUAGCAGUCGGAAUCUGACCUGCAGACAUAAUCGAAAAAUCAAGGUGUUAAAACUGCCUAUUUUGUUAGCAUAAAUUAAAGAGGUUUUCUUUUUCUGUUCUACAGUAAUUUGGAGAUGUUAGAUUUUAAUAUAAUUAAGCAUAUUUUUUUAUCAAAUUAACUAUUUUGCUUUGAAUGAAAUAAAAAAUCUCACUUCUGUAAUCCAUUACAAAUCUAACUCUUUUAUAUAUAAAAAAAUACUUUAAACUAAAGAAACCAAAGAAAUUCAGUACCUUCUAGAUUAUUCAUCCUCAAAUAUAAUUCUUCGAGUCGUGUCAGAUUUCCAAUACCUCUUGGAAUGAUUCCCGUAAAUUGAUUAUAGGACAAUGCCAAAAUUUGAAGGUUGUUGCAUUUGCCAAUACUUGAUGGAACGUUUCCAGAUAAUUCAUUCCGACUCAAGUAAAGCACUUCAAGCUUGGGUAAAUGUUGACACAUAUCAUUAGGCAAACUACCUGAUAGGCUAUUGCUGAAGAGACUAAUAAUUUUCAUGGAAGAAAUUCUGAAGAUUGAAUAUGGAACCUGGCCAGAUAAUUGAUUGAAUUGCAAGUUCAAGAUCUCUAGAUUGGACAUGUUAACAAGUGUUUGAGGGAUUGUGCCUGUAAAGCUAUUGUUUUCCAUUUCCAGCCUUUGAACUCUUUGUAAGUUCCCAAGCCAUGCUGGAAUUUCCCCAUUAAGACCGUUGUAGCUUAACUGAAUGAUCCUCAAACGAUGCAAUUGGCCCAAUUCUUUAGGCAGAUGGCCAGAUAAAUUGUUGCUACUCAAGUCGAGAGAAAGUAGAAAUGAAAGAUUUCCAAGGUGUGGAGGGAUAGUACCCCUAAGAUUCAUGCUUGUAAGAUUCAAAGCUAUAACUCUUUUAUGGAGGAUACCACAAGAAACACCAAUCCAAUUGCAAACAGAGGUAGAGGCCGUCCAAUUGUUUGCCAAGACAUUUUGAGGAUCGGCAAUGCGAUCCUUAAACUCGAGAAGCACAAACUGAUCGGAGUUGAGAUUCCUGGUUGUCAUAGCCAAGCAAACUACGGAACAUGGUAUGAAUAAACCUAAAAGAAGAUGGAAGCAAGUGUUGUAAUUCAUUAUUGCAAGACGAAAUGAGCCAAGAAAAUAAAAAAGUAGGGAAAGGGAACUUGAAUUGAUAAAAAGAAAAGUUGGAUGAUGAAGAAAAGCACUAAGAGCAUGCUUUAAUAUGCUUUAAUAUGAUGGAGACAACUACAAGCACUAAUAACAUAUUUUCACCUAAUAAAUUAUAAAAAAAUUAAAAAAAUAAGGUUAAAAUUUUAACAUAUCUGUUAGAUAAAAUUUAAGAUUUAAUUAUUAAACUUGACAACUUAAAUAUUAAAUCUUAUUGUUUGAAUUUUAAAAUUUUAGUCCUAUCAUAAAUAUUGUGAGCCUUUUUUUUUUAAUCAAAUUUUGUCAAGUUGACUUAUUAAUUAGGUUUCCCUCAUAUGAUGUGGUAUAUGAUUGAUAAAAAAUAAACAUGUUAAGUUGAUAUAUUUUGACAAAAAACUACCAAUGAUGAUAAUGAUUGGAUUAAAAUUUUUAAAUUAAAAAUUGUAGGGAUUAAAUUUAUAACUUUUAAAGUAUAAAGACUGAAUCUCAAAUUUUAUAGAAAUACAGGGGCUAACAACAUAUUUUAGCCACCAAAUAAUAUCUACAAUUUUCACUUAAAACUACAUUGGACUUAAUUGGCUAAGGGUUAACAUAUCAAUUGAUUUAUGAGUUUCACACUUUUUUUUAUAAUGUUGUACUUUUGGUUUUUGUGCAAUGUGAUAUACAUAUUUGGUAAAAAGUUAUAUAUUUUAAUACUUAAAAGGAAUUUUAGAGUUGAUUUAAUGAACAUUAAUUGUUAAUAUUAUUUUGAUAUUUAUAUGUAUUUUCAUUUUUAUAAAUACUAUUAAAAAUAUUUUUUUAAAUGAAUGCUAUUUAAAAACAUUAUUAAAAAAUAAAAUAUUAUAUGAAAGUUAAAAUGAUCUAAAAAAAUAUUUUAAAAUUUUAAAUACUUUAUACAAUAUUUAAAACUGUUUAAAAAUUUCUAAACCCUAAAAAUAAAUAAAAUAUAAUUUUGUCUAAAAAUUCAAAAAGAUAUAUAUUUAAAAUUUUAUAUGAAAUUUAAAUGAUUUUAACAGUAAUAUAUUUUAAAAAUGAUAGUAAUGUUAUAAACUUGAAAAAAUUUGUAAUUUAAUUACAUACAUUUUUAUAUAUUUUUUCUAACAUAUCAUUAUUUGCAUCUUGUUACAUUAAAGAAUUGAAGAUAUAUUUGAGUAGUUAGCCUUUUUUAUAAAAAAGAACUAUACUUAGAGCAAUGCUUAUUAUUGAACUGUAUUAUAUCACUUGUUCAAGUAUUUAUUUAUAAAAUAAAAUAAUUAUAGCCUCUUAUAUUAAAUUCAUGUAUCUAUUUUGCAUCUUUUAUUAUAAUAUGAUUUAAUAAUUUUAAUAUUUUUAUAGAAUAAUAUGCUUUAAAAUUUUUUUAUCAUUUAUAAAAAUUAUAAUAAACUUACAAAAUUAUUUAAUGAUAUUUAAUUAUCAACGGAAAAAAAUUAUAUCAUAUAUGUAAUAGGUCAAUUUAGCUCGGGCUCACAAAAAAAAUAAUAAACCCAAAAUAAUAAAACAAAGUCCAAGUCCAAUCCAAAAUUAUAUCAUUUGGCCCAAUCGGGAUGGCCCAUUACUUGAAAAGGUUGAAAGUCUAUCUACAAGCUUGACGCAUAUGGAAACAUAAUCUUCAAGGAUAUGCAAUCUUAGAUAUGAUAUGCAAUCUUAGAAGAUAUGAUUUUGUAAUCUUAGAGAUUUAAUUUGUAGAUACCCUUUAAUCUUAGCCGUUGAUGCAAUUGAUCUAUACUGUUGGAUUUGGGAAGGCUCAACUAUAAAUAGAGGCCUCUCCCUUCAUUGUAAAACACUUCAUUGUAAAACACUUGAGUUUGGAGCAAUAAUAAUUCUUAAGAGCAUUCACUCGAAUUUCUCCCUCUUACGUUCUUAUUUUCUGCGGCUUGUUCUUAUUUUGUUCUUUGUUCAUCUUCUUUUCUUUUUAAGUUGCUUUCAUUUGAGUUGGAUUUUGGUGGAGGAAUUUCGUUGAGUCUUCAUAUUGUGAGAGUUAGGUUGACUUAAGCGCUUUUUUAACCUUUUUUUUAUUUAUCCAUUUAACUUCUUAAUCAUUAAUUAUUCUUUUACUUUUAUUCAUUUAUUUAUCCAUCAACUUUCUUAUUUACAUAUUGUUCAUUCAUUUAAUCAUUCUUAUCAUUCUUUUAUUUUCUUCCAUUAAUUAUAUACUUUAUUUGUUUUUCAUAUUGCCCUUUUUUAUCAAAGUUUUUAUACAUCGUUUUAAUAUUGCGUCAAUUUUCCCCAAUUUUAAAAAAGAAAACUUUUAAAAAUAAGACAAUAUUCGGUACUUUGGAGCUUUGAGAAAAUCGUGCCCUAACUUAUUGGGUUUUAAUUUUUUUCCAAAUAACCGAAUAUCCUUUUUAAACUUUAAUGCAUGAGACAAGCUUAGUUUUGAGGGUUAAAAUGUCGUAUCCUAACUUACUGGAUGUGACAUCUUAUUACUUCGAGACAUGGAGGUCUUAACAUCAAAUUCGAUUUAUUCAGGUUUUUAAAGAGGAUUGUAUUUUAAAAUCUUUUCAAAUUUUUGACAUUAGGACGUUAAUUAAUCAAUUAGGUACCAAUUUUUGGGCGUUACGAGGGUGCUAAUCCUUCCUCGUGCGUAAUCGACUCCCGAGCCCGUUUUCUCGAAUUUUGUAGACCAAAAUUAUUAUUUUAAUAAAUCAAAAUUGUAAGCACUAAAUUUUUUCCGGGUUUUGUAGUGUUUAAUUUUUUUAAUAAUUCAAAAAAUACAAAAAAUAAAAAAUUACAUUUUGACCCCUAAACUUUUUGAAAUUGCAUUUUGGUCCCUAAAUUUUCCUAAAAUUAUAUUUUGACCUCUAAUUUUUUUUAAAAUUACAUUUUGACCCAUCAACUUUUUAAAUUACAUUUUGACCCCUAAAUUUUCUCAAAUUACAUUUUAGCCCCAAAAGUUUUGUUACAAUUGCAUUUUGGUCCUUCUGGCAGCAACUUGCACACCAACCCCUGUGAUUUCCGGCCACCGGCCUAAGGCAUGGCCUCCUUCUCCCCUAGGCACCUAAUCCCUACAAGAAAGAAGAGAAAAAUAACUAUAAAAUGGGUUUAAAACCCCAAAAUCGAACCCCCAUAAAAGAUUUCAGAAAAAAAAAAGAGAAAAGAGAGAAAGCUUUGCUAAAAAGAGAGAAAGAAAGGAGAAAGGAGAAGAAGGAGGAGACGACAGCGGCACCUUGGCGACGGCAGCGCAAGUGAUGGUGGAGGCUAGAUUAUGAAGAAGAAGAAGAAGAAGAAGAAGAAGAAAGAAAAAAAAGAAAAGAAAAAUAAUAAAAAAUAUUUUUUUGAAUAAACGGGCCGACUCGACCCGAUUUGUCUGACCCGCUAACCCGACCCGACAGCAAGCCACCAGCAGCCCCAGGCCCAAAAAAAAGAGAAAAAAAAGGUGUAGCAUGCCAAUAGCAGACCCAUUUGCGCACCAGCCCAGGCCCAGCGCAGCCCAGCAGGCCAGCCCAACAGAAAGAAAAAAAGGGGAAGAAAAAAAAAAGAGAAAGAAAAAAGAGAAAAAAAGGAAAAAAAAGGGAAAAAAGGAAAAAAGAAAACAAAGCAAAAAAAGAAGAAGGAAAAAGCCCAAGUCGUGUAAACUCGUUCAAUCAAGCUCGUAUUUUCGGGCUCUUCAGUAAUUUCUUUUUUAUGCACUUUUAAAUAAAUUUAUAUAUUUAUAUGACAUUUCAUAUUUAAUACUCUUGUUUUUUUAAGCAUUUUUUUAUAUUUCGUAUUAGGUUUUUUUAAGCAUUUUUUAUAUUUCGUAUUUAAUUUAAUUUCAUUAAUUUUAAUUUUCAUAAAUAAGGUGACGAACCGAUUUAACAUUAAGCCUUAUAUUUUCAUCGCUAUGUUGGGUGAAUAUAUUUGGCUCGUGUUUAAUUCUGGAUGCCUUUUAAAAAUUGAAAAAGUUAAAAAUUCUCGUGUUUUGAAAUAAAAUAUGUAUUUUUGUAAUUAUCGAUAAAUUAUCAAAAAUUUGUCUUUAAAAAUGUAUAUAGUACGAUAACAUGUAAUUUAUCAAAAUUUUCAUGUUUUAAAUUUUUUUUCGUGUUUUCAUAUUUUCAAAAAAUUUUCGUGUUUCAAAAAUUUUUGUAUUUUUAAUAAAUUCUUGUGUUUUAAAACUUUUUCGUGUUUUCUUAUUUUCAAAAAUGUUCGUAUUUUCAACAAAUUCUCGUGUUUUAAACAAUUUUCGUGUUAUCUUAUUUUCAAAAAUUUUCGUGUUUCAAAAUUUUUCAUGUUUUCGUAUUUUCAACAAAUUCUCUUGUUUUAAAAAAAUUUUCGUGUUUUCAACAAUUUUCGUGUUUCAAAAAUUUUCAUGUUUUCUAAAAUUAUCGUGUUUCUAAAAUUCUUGUGUUUCAAAAAAAAUUUUCGUGUUUUCAAAAAAAUAUUAUUGUGUUUCAAAAUUCUCACGUUUUCAAAACAAAAAAAUUCUCGUAUUUCAAUCGGAUCAUGAUUAAAUAUUAAAUUGAGCUCGUUUUUUUUAAAAUUAAGACAACGUGUGCUGAACGAGAUACCAAUUUUGGGCGUCGCGAGGGUGCUAAUACCUUCCUCGCGCGUAACCGACUCCCGAACUCUAAUUUUCUCUGGAUUUUGACGUGGACCUAAAAUCGACUAUUUUUUAGAAAAUUUGAAAAAUAAUUUUUCUUUUAAAAAGAGAAUUGAUUAGGCGUCCGAUCACACCUAGAAAAAAGAUCGGUGGCGACUCCUUUUUUCCAAUAAAAUCAAAAUUCUGUUUUUAAAUUUGCAAUAAUCACUUCAAUUAGCACCCGUACUGAAAUUUUUAGGUCGCUACAAAUAUGUUUUAUUAAAAUGAUUAAUCUCAAGGUGACCCAAUCACACCUAGAAAAAAGAUUGGUGGCGACUCCAUUUUCGUUUUAAAAGUCGACCACAUUUUUCAAAAUAAAAAAAUGGUUUCGACAGCUUGGCGACUCCGCUGGGGAUUGGUUUUGAGAGUCAAGCCAUAAAUUGAUUAAUUUUUGUCUUUUUAUUGAAAAAUCAAAUUUUGUUUUAAAUUCAUGAUUUCUCCUUUUGCAUUUUAUCUGUUAUUUUCAUGGUUUUAACCAUAUUGUCAUCUAAAUCUGUCAAUGUGUAUUUGCAUUUUGCAUUGCAUUGGUUGGUCAAUUUUACCCCUCUAAGUGUGAGUGAGAAACUAGUCCUUCUUGAGGUUUUCACCUCCGUGCAGGAUAGUGGAUCGCUUUCGGAAUACAUCUGUACCUAUGUCUUCAUGAGAUUUUCAUCUCCGUGCUGCCAUAGGGAAAUGUAUCCCCCUGAACUGAACUCAGUCUAUAUGAGCCUAUAAUGGGUGAGGAUCAAGGAAUCUGUUGGUUCGGGUACCUUUGCCUUAGAAGCCAAACCUCAUAUAGUGAACUCUAGGAACUCACCUUAGGUAGAAUUACAUUGACCCUUAGUAGCUACCUGAGUAGGUACUUGAUUGUUUUCUGUUUUUUUAUACCUGAUACUGACUUGUUGUGUUUUGUUUUGAUUGCAUGACAUUUUGACUGCACAACAUUUUGACUGCAUGACAUGCUCAUCAUAUGCAUAAAAAAGGUGUCGAUUCACAUUCGAUUACUAAAUAGGGAGCUUGCCAUGAAAAAUGAAUUUCUUGAUAAAAUAGAGGAUAAUAAGACUCCCCUAAUAUGUUUUGAGAAAGCACAACAUGAGAAAGAUGAUAGUCUAACGAAAGAGCAUACGACUUUGGUUUGUUGCGUGAGGAUUCAAGUUGGUAAAAGUCGUUAAUGUCCCGACCCUUUUCUUAUAAGAAGCUAACAAGUAUUACAAUGAUGAGUGAGCAAUUAGUCGUGGCCCAGUUCGAGCAAAAAGAGCCAGUGAAGCAUCCGUUGGAAAAUUCGUAAGAUUUAUUUUAACAUUCGGAUGAAGAAAAAGGAUCAAUGUCCUCGCUUGGAGUAUGAGGGCAAAGCCGUAUAUAUAUAUAUAUAUCUGUUUUAUGUAAAGAAAAUUUUUUUCUAGUAAAGUUUUCUAAAUGGAAUUGAAUCAGAAUUGAUGCCUUUUUGUAUUCAUUUCAUGCAUUUGCAUUACAUGCAUUAAAGUCCACUAAAAGAGCCUAACUGAUCAAAAUUAUCUCAGUUAACCUGGAAACCAACCAACCAACCAAACACUGUUACAGUACUUGAGCAAGAACUAAAGACAUGGACCAGAGAUUGGACAAACUUGAAUAGUUCCCAAAGGAAAUGCAAGACCGACUUCAGCUACAAGUGCAAGAGCGGUUAGAUAAAAUUCAGCAAGAUAUGAUGAAAAAGAUGCUAGAGUCCUAAAGAAACAUGAUGACUCAAUUGACUCAACUGUUAGCUGGGGAAACGAUAAGGGAAAGGGCCCUAUGGCUAAUGCUGAAGAAGGAGACGAUGAUGAAUCUCUCUAUCAUUCAGGCUUUACUCCUCCAUAUGUGCAGACCCAAGCUGAGGUGUACCCACGCAAAUCCUCUGUCACAAUCAGGCCUCAAUAGUUUCAGGCUGGCGCCUCAAUGCCAAUGAACUUCCAAGUCAGAUCAGGCUCUAACCCCAGAGAGAACGCUAAUAAUCCUGCUAUCCCUGAUCUCGAUGAAAUGGCUGAAAAAGAAAAAACAAAGGAGGAAUUACCAAAACAGUUAGAGGAAAUGUGUAAACGGCUUGAGGAAAAAUUCAGGGCAAUGAAAAGCACUGAGAACUACCAUGGGAUUAAUGCUAAAGACCUGAGCUUAGUCCUAGAUUUGGUACUCCCCUACAAGUUUAAAAUGCCAGAAUUUGAAAAGUACAAUGGGACUAAUUGCCCUGAAGUUCAUAUUACCAUGUUUUGUAGGCAGAUGGCUGGAUAUGUUAACAAUGACCAACUACUAAUACAUUGCUUCGAUGAUAGCCUUGCAGGGGCAGCAUCUAAGUGGUACAAUCAAUUGAACCGUACCAGGAUUAGUUCAUGGAGGGAUUUAGCACAAGUAUUCAUGAAGCAGUACAGUCAUGUACAAGAUAUGGGUCCUGGUAAAAUCACCCUACAAAACAUGAAAAAGAAGCCGAACGAAAGUUUUAGGCAAUAUGCACAAAGGUGGAGGGAGGUUGCCGUCCAGGUUCAGCCACCGCUCCUAGAAAAAGAAACUACGAUGCUCUUUAUUAACACACAAAAGUCUCGUUCAUCACACACAUAUUAGGAUGUGCCACAAAAAGUUUCUCAAAUAUAAUCAUGAAUGGCGAAAUGAUUGAAAAUGCCAUCAGAGGUGGAAGAAUAAACGGAGGAGAGAGUAACAAGAAGUCAGCAUCAGAGAGAAAAAGAAAAUAAGGUGAAUAACACAAGUUACUCAAGAUCAGUUACUGUAAGUCAACCAAGAAAGGUGGUUGCUAGUCAGCAAGCUCCAUCAAGGCAAGAUCUCGAGACAAAGACCAAGAAGUUUUAGUUUACACCAAUCUUAAUAUCGUAUAGGGAACUAUAUCAGAGUUUGUUUGAUGCACACGUUGUUUUUCCUUUUCACGUGAAACCUCUACAACCCCCAUACCCCAAAUAGUAUGAUACAAACGCCCAGUGCAAAUACCAUGCAGGAACCACAGGGCACUCGAUAGAAAAUUGCACUGGCUUCAAAAAGUUAGUUGAAAGAUUCAUCAAUAUGGGUAUAGUCAAGUUCGAUGACUCAUCUAAUACAAAAAAUCUGCUACCCAAUCAUAUGGAUAAUGGGGUGAAUGCGAUGUAUGAAGAAAUGUUGGGAAACAUUCACAUCAAUGCCAUAUAUGAAGACACAUUUGAAAAGGGGCCUUGUUAGAUAUUCACCCUUAUAAACUUGGGAAUGUUCUAAAUAAUUGGACUGCAGAAGAAAUUCCUGUAGUAUUUAGAGCUUACUUAGAGUAAUAUUCAAAACACACUUGUUGCUUUAAAGCCUAGAGGCAAUAAGAACCUUUUCAUGAAAUAGGCUUCUGUCUAAAAUCAUUAUUUCAAUAAAAUGCAUCUUUUUGAGCAAACAUUCAUUCAUUCUUUUCAUUUAUAUAUUCUUUUGUUCCUUGGACUCUCUUUUAAAUAUUAUUUUAUUCUUCAUUCAUACAAAUAAUUGUCUUUAGACUUAUUUAUUCUAUAGAAUCCACCUUUGUACCUACAAUAGGUCUUUAGAUAUUAACGACAUGAGCGAUAUUGCUAUUGACUUAAAAUCUCCUUUUGAGUAAGAUAUGUGUCUAGGGGGAUCUCAGGACUUUGAAUAUGACUAAGAUUGUAACCUAUCUCAUGAUUUGUUAAGGAUGAUAGAAAAAGAUGAAAAAUAGAUCCUACCUUACAAAAGUCAGUGGACAGUGAGCGUAGUAGAAGAGAAAGAGAUUAGAGCUUGUCUUACCACUGAAACAAAGCGAAACAUCACUAAAUUACUCCAAGAUUUCAAAGAUAUUUUUGUACGAUCAUAUCAAGAUAUGUCUAGCUUACUAAAAACUAUGGAUGCUGUUAAGGCUAAAAGGUCCACAAGUGUGUCAGAAGGACACAUACUAAUGGUUUUACGAUAGCCAAGUUAAUCACGGGGUUUCAGUACUGCUAGUCCACCAUGGAAGGGGAUCACAUCAGUUAUACCAUAAAUACCAAUUUGAGGAAGAUAAAACCUAUGUGUCUCUUCCAUUUCUUCACAAAUUUUCUAUAUGUGGGGUAUGGAUGUGAUGGGGCUAAUCUCAUCAAAAGUUCUUAGUCAAGAUCAAUUCAUCUUUGUGGUCUUUGAUUAUUUCGCUAAGAGGGUGAAAAUAGCUUCAUAUGGCAAUGUUACAAUGUCGAAGUCAUUAAAUUCCAAUUUUUAAAAAAAAUCUGAUGCCGAUAAAGAAUGCCAAAAAGGACAAUGUCAAAAGUUUGUAGUUUGUUCAAAGAUCAAAUGCCAUAGGCAGCCAAAAAAGAAAAAUAAAACAAGGAUUGUGGGAAAGAUGACCGAGACUUGUAAAUAUUGGCAAAAAGAAGUUACCAUCUACGCUCAUCAAAGUAGGCCAGGACCUUUGCUCGGGCAACACCUAGCCCAUUGGUUUGUGUAAUGUUGAACCCAAUCAAAGAAAAAAGGGUUAAAAGCUAUCCGUUACAGUCAGAUGAUGUGAGCUUACGGCAAAGAGAUUCAUCUUAGAGAAUUCCACGAGGGGGACCUAAUGUUGAAAAAGAUCCUUCUUAUACAAAUGGAUUUUAAAGGAAAGUGGGUUCCAAAUUGUGCAGGUCCUUGUGUUGUAAAGAAGGCCUGUUUUGGAGGACUAUUGAUAUUAACCGAGAUGGAUGCCAAAGACUUGCCCAAUUUGGUGAAUUCAGAUUCAGUCAAGAAGUAUUUUACCUGAAAAGGGGGAAGCCAAUGUGAAAACCCACAAAUGACGCCUUGAGAAAAAAAUAAAAAAUCAAAAAAAGAGAAGAAAGAAAAAGAGGAGAGGCCAAGACGAAAACCCACAAAGGGUACUUUGAGACCAAAGGGGUUUUGAGUUGAAACCCGAAAAGGGCGGCUCAAAUUUUGAUCAAAAGUGGGGCAUGAGGUAGUCUUGCUAUGCCUGAAUUAACAAUGAGGAAGUAUGCUACAUCUUAGGGCAUUGACAAAGUACUCUAGAUCCCCUAAACACAUAUUAAGCUCAAAAUGGUCCUCAAAAAGUUCGUACAGAGAAGCUCAGGCUGCAAUAUGUGCGACACCUAGUUUUCCAUCUUACCCAUUUUUGAAUUUGCUAUCUUUGAUUACCUUGUUCUUUUCAAGAUACGCCCAAAUCAAUUUCUUUUUAUUGCCUUGGCUAUCUUUGAUUAAUUUAAUUAUUUCGAGCUAUGCUCCUUAUUAAUUUCCUUCUUGUCUAUUAUUAUAAUAUUUUUUAAGCAUUUUAUAUUGAAAUAAUGAUUAAUGGACUAAUAAUACUUUCAUAAAAGGAGUUUUGCAUAUUACUUUGGAAGCUUCUAAAUAAUAUGAGAAUCUGAAAUAGGGCUAUUGUUUAGAACUCACCAAGCCUAAGGGUUGGAAAUAUUGAAAGAUGAUUAUCUCUUCAAAUUUUUUUUUUGUUGAACAAAAAGACAAGACAUUUCGUCGGUGAUACCAUCUCGACAAAUAACGAGCAAUGUCAACUCAAGUGUAAAAGGGGAUCAUUCUCGGGAAAAGAAAAAUGAUACUCUGUAUUCAUGCAAAUUUCAAGCAUAUACAUCUGGUCAUUACACCCAAGAAAUGGUGUAACAGAUCAAAUUGAUUGAAAAUGAUACAAAUUCUAUACCUCUGAGUGGCAGCAGGAUCGAUGGAAGAAACCAAAUAUUAUUCCUUUGAAGUUGUAGUGGGAGAUACAAACUUUAUGUCCCAGACGGUAUAGUGGAAGAGACUCUGAAAUUACAACAGGGCAAGCUUGCUGAGCAGAACGUGAUUGUUUCUUCGAGUUUUCUAUUGAAAAAUACCAGUCGAAUAAGAUAGUAGUGCAAUAUGUUAGUGAUAAGACUCCUAAUGAACAACGAAUGAUGACACCCUAAGUAUUAAAAAAAGGGAUCAUUCUCAUUUUGCAUUCAUAUAUCAUCCAUAGCAUAUCUAAUUAGGAGCAUUUGACUCAUUUCAAUCAUGGCAUCCUAAUCAUUCGACAUAAGCACAGACCCAUUCUAUAGGUUAUGUCCUCUAGAGGAUGAUAUAGUAAGGUAGAUUGAAGCUAUCAGUCUUGCCUCCCUGAGUUUGCAGUAGAGCAGAUUGAAAAUAACAGACCUUAUCUUCCUGUACUGGCAGUGAAGCAUGUCAAAAACAUCAGCCUUGCCUCUCUGAGGUUACAGUGGAGUAGGUUAAAGAUUGUAGAUCAUGUCUCCCUAAGCAGUAGUGGAGCAAAUCAAAGACGGCGAAUCUUAUCUUCCCAAGGUAGUAGGGAAGCAUAUUUAAGCCAUCAGUCCUAUCUCUGUGAGUAGUAGUGUAAUAGGUUGAAGAUUGUAAAUCCUGUCUCCCUAAGCAAUAGUAGAGCAGAUAAAAAAUGGAGAAUCUUAUUUUCCCAAUGUAGUAGGGAAGUAGAUUUAAGCCACCAGUCCUAUCUCCCUGAGUAGCAGUGGGGUAGGUUAAAAAUUAUAGAUCCUGUCUCCCUAAGCAGUAGUGGAGCAGAUUGAAGAUGGCGAAUCUUAUCUUCUCGAGAUAGUAGGAAGCAGAUUUAAGCCACCAGUCUUAUCUCCCUAAACAGUAGUGGAGUAGGUUGAAGAUUGUAUAUCCUGUCUCCCUAAGCAGUAGUGGAGCAGAUCAAAGACGGCGAGUCUUAUCUUUCCGAGGUAGUAGGGAAGCAGAUUUAAGCCACCAGCCUUAUCUCCCUGAAGUUGCAGCAGAGCAGAAUGAAGAUAGCAAAUCUUAUUUCCCUGAAGUUGCAGUGGAACAGAUUAAAUCUAUAAUCACAAAUCUUAUCUCUUUGAAAUUGCAGUAGAGUAGAUUAUGGCGAAUCUUAUCCCCCUGAAGUUGCAGUAAAGUAUAUUAAAGCCAAUAAUCCUAUCUCCCUAAAGUUGCAGUGGAGCGGAUUGAAACCACAAAUCUUAUCUCCCUAAAGUUAUAGUGGAGUGGAUUAAAGACACCAGUCUUAUCUCCUUUGCAUUACAGUGGAACAGAUUAAAGAUAAAUGUAGCAAAUCUUGUUUCCCUGGCGUUGUAGCAAUGCAGAUUAAAGCUAAAGGCAGCGAAUCUUAUCUCCCUAGUGUUAAGACUGAAAGAAGCGAAUCUUAUUUCCCUGGCAUUGCAGUGGAACAGAUUAAAGCUAAAGGUAGCGAGUCUUGUUUCCCUGGCAUUGCAGUGGAAUAGAUUAAAGCUGAAAUGAAGCUAAUUAAAGCUGAAGGCAGCAAAUCCUAUCUCUUUGGAGUUACAGUGGAAUAGAUUAAAACUAAAGGUAGUGAAUAUUGUUUCCCUGGUGUUAUAGCGGAGCAUAUUAAAGCUGAAGGUAGCAAAUCUUAUUUCUCUAGCGUUAAAGUUGUAGAAAGCAAGUCUUAUCCCACUGAAGUUGCAGUGGGGCAGACUGAAGAUGGCAAAUCUUAUCCCUCUGAAUUUGCAGUGGAGCAGAUUAAAGCCAAUAAUCCUAUCUCCCUGAAGUUGCAGUGGAGUGGAUUAAAAUUAGGUAUUAUCUCCCUAAAGGUGCAACGAAGCAAACUGAAUAAACCAAUCUUAUCUCCCUGAAGUUGCAGUGGAGCAGAUUGAAGAAACCAAUUCUAUCUCCCUAAAGUUACAGUGGAGUGGAUUAAAAUGAUGGAUCUUAUCUCUCUGAAGUUGCAGUAGAGCAGAUCUCAUCAGGUCUUAUCUCCUUGAAGUUGCAGUGGAGCAUACUGAAUAAAACAAUCUUAUCUCCCUGAAGUUGCAGUGGAGUAGAUUGAAGUUAUAAAUCCUGUCUCCCUGAAGUUGCAGCAGAGCGGAUUAAAAUGAUAGAUCUUAUCUCUCUAAAGUUGCGGUAGAGUAGAUCGCAUCAGACCUUAUUUCCUAGAAAUUACAAUGAAACAAGUUGAAGCUACAAGUUUUAUCUCCUUGAAGUUACAGUGGAGCAGACUGAAGAUAACAAAUGUUCCCUCGAAGAGCUACAAAUCUUAUCUCCCUGACAUUACAGUGGAGUGGUUGAAGCACUGAUUCUUAUGCCCCUAAAGAUGCAAUGGGAUGGAAUGAGAUUACUUGAAGAAGACGAGCACUCAAAGAAGUCAGAACUCGGCAAGACCGAGCAAAAUUGGCCCUUUUAUAGUCUUUGCUCCAUUCUCGUUACACGACAAUGAGCAAAGAGGGACAACUGUAAUAGGCCAAUUUAGCCUGGGCUCACAAAAAAAAAACCCAAAAUAAUAAAACAAAGUCCAAGUGCAGUCCAAAAUUAUAUCAUUUGGCCCGAUCGGGAUGGCCCAUUACUUGAAAAGGUUGAAGGUCUAUCUACAAGCUUGACGCAUAUGGAAACAUAAUCUUCAAGGAUAUGUAAUCUUAGAUAUGAUAUGCAAUCUUAGAAGAUAUGAUUUUGUAAUCUUAGAGAUUUAAUUUGUAGAUACCCUUUAAUCUUAGCCGUUGAUGUAAUUGAUCUGUACCAUUGGAUUUGGGGAGGCUCAACUAUAAAUAGAGGCCUCUCCCUUCAUUGUAAAACACUUGAGUUUGGAGCAAUAAUAAUUCUUAAGAGCAUUCACUCAAAUUUCUCCCUCUCUUGCGUUCUUAUUUUCUGUGGCUUGUUCUUAUUUUGUUCUUUGUCCAUCUUCUUUUCUUUUUAAGUUGCUUUCAUUUGAGUUGGAUUUUGGUGGAGGAAUUUCGUUGGGUCUUUAUAUUGUGAGAGUUAGGCUGACUUAAGCAUUUUUUUAACUUUUUUUUUAUUUAUCCAUUUAAUUUUUGAAUCAUUAAUUAUUCUUUUACUUUUAUUCAUUUAUUUAUCCAUCAACUUUCUUAUUUACAUAUUGUUCAUUCAUUUAACCAUUCUUAUCAUUCUUUUAUUUUCUUCCAUUAAUUAUAUACUUUAUUUGUUUUUCAUAUUGCCCUUUUUUUAUCAAAGUUUUUAUGCAUCGUUUUAAUAUUACGUCAAUUUCCCCAAUUUUAAAAAAGAAAACUUUUAAAAAUAAGGCAAUAUUCGGUACUUUUGAGCUUUGAGAAAAUUGUGCCCUAACUUACUGGGUUUCGAUUUUUUUUCAAAUAACCGAAUAUCCUUUUUAAACUUUAAUGCAUGACACAAGCUUAGUUUCGAGGGUUAAAAUGUCGUAUCCUAACUUACUGGAUGUGACAUCUUAUUACUUCAAGACAAGGAGGUCUUAACAUCAAAUUCGAUUUAUUCAGGUUUUUAAAGUGGAUCGUAUUUUAAAAUCUUUUUAAAAUUUUGAGAUUAGGAUGUUAAUUAAUCAAUUAGGUGCCAAUUUUUUGGUUACGAGGGUGCUAAUCCUUCCUCGUGCGUAACCGACUCUCGAGCCUAUUUUCUCGAAUUUUGUAGACCAAAAUUAUUAUUUUAAUAAAUCAAAAUGUUUUAUUAAAAUGAUUAAUCUCAAGGUGACCUGAUCACACCUCGAAAAAAGAUUGGUGGCGACUCCAUUUUCAUUUUAAAAGUCGACCCCGUUUUUUCAAAAUAAAAAAAAGGUUUCGACAAUAUAUAUUUUGAAUAUUUUAAGAUUCUGAAUCCUUAAUUAUAUAUAUAUAUAUUAUAAUAAUUUUAUAAUAUUAUAAAUAUAUUAUAUCAUAAAUAUUCUUUCAAAUAUUUUUUAAUGUUUAAUAAUAAGUUAAUUUAUAAAAUAUUCUUUCAAUAAAUUAACGUGAUGAGAUCGUUAGGUGCUUGGAUUUGGUGAUGGGGGAUGAAGAGAAAAGGGAUGGAAGUGAAGACAUAUGUUGAGAAAUGGAAAGGGUUAGCGAGGGAAGCCGCCAUGAAAGGUGGCUCUAUGGAUAUGAACCUUCAAGCUUUUGUGGAUGAUGUUACUCAAGGUUGUUGCAAGUAAAUUUAAAAAUGUAUUGUUAAAUUAUUUUUUUGUUAAAAAAUAUUUUUUAUUUUUUAUGUGGCAUGCCACAUUAUCAUACUAUCAUGUGACAACUUCUGGUGAUUUCUGUCCGUAACAUUAGUCAAAUCAACAGAUAAAUUCUUCAACUCACAAUUUUUGUUAAAUGAAGAGGUCAAUUAAUUUUUUUUGGAAUCAUUGAGAACUCAAUUGGUGCAGUUUUUUCAUAAAGGCUAAAUUAUUUUUUUAAAUUUGUUAUUGUUGAGGGCUAUAGCAAUAAAAAUUUUUGAGGUAAAAUGAAAAAAUUGUUAAAACUAAACUUGUGAUUAUGCCUAAAAUGUAAAACCAAAAAAUUUUGAAAAUGAAAAAAAAAAAGAAAAUCACAAAUUCUGUCACUUAUGUUUGCUUAAAAUUAUAGUUUUGGUCACCAAUCUUUUGAAGUAAAUAUAUGGUCACUAAUAUUAUCCAUUUGUUACUUUGUAAUGACAUUGGGAUACAAUAAAACUUGUAUUUUUUUUAUUCAUCUAAUGCUAUUUCAACAUUUUCAUCUAAAAAAUUGACAUAUCAUUUUGAAUUUGAUCUUUUCAAGAUAAAAUUAUUGAAAUAAUAUUAAAUUAUUAGAAAGAGAUACGAGUUUCAUGGUAUCUCAAAUUCAUUUAAUCUUUAUCUCUCUAAGAUAGCUGAUGUGACACAUUAAUGACAUCAUUUCAAACAAAGUUUUAGGUCAAAUUGUUCAUCUAGUCCUUGUAAUUGUUUUUAGGUGAAUUUCAUUAUUAUUCUUUUAUUUUCUUUGGCUUAAAUACACAUUUACCCCUAAUUUUAUCACAUUCUCCUUCAUUGGUAUUUAUGGUUUAGAAAAUUUUACAAAUAUAUUAUUUUUUAAGAAAUUAUAAGAAGAUUACAAAAAUUCCAAAAAUAUAUAAAAAAAAGCUAAGAAAAACCUAGAAAUUAAAAAAAAAAAUCAUGUUUUUACAAAUUGGGAAAUACCUAAAUUUGUUUUCACCAAUUAAAAAAUUGAAAAAAUUGUUGGGAAAUAUCUUUUUAGAAAUAUCAUAAUUGCAUUUAAGACCUCAUGAUUAUCUUUUAUAAUUUCAGGGUUAUCAACUAUUUUGAAAACAAAGAAAUGCCUUACACCAAAAAAAAAAAAACACAAAAACUAAAACGUCAACAUAUCACUUUAGCAUUGACUUGCGUUUCUACUGUUAGUCUUCUCCAACAAGUUAAAUAUUUCAAUUUGUCUUUGGGGUAGGGUCGAGCAAAACUCAAUAGAAACAGAUGAUAUAGGUUGAGUUGGCUCGGUCAAGCCCAUGUCCCUAGCUAUACGCCCCUCGUAAAAUCAAUUUUAAAAUUAAUUAUAAUAGUUUAAGCGAAUUGAUUAUUGAGUAAUGAAAUACUUAAUUCAACCAAUUGAUGUAAUCAAAUUAUAAUAAUUAUAUAUUUACUUUUAUGGUAUCCUUCAUCUCCUUUUUAGAGUUUGUGGCAAUAUUAUUUUUAAGCUCCGAAUUUAUUUUUUAUUUAUGAGUACAAUGUGUCUUACAAUUACAUCUGCAGUUUAUUUUUUUUAUUUGAAAAUAAAUAUUAUAAUAUAUGAAAACCAUAUAUAUAUAUAACCAAAUUUUGUCACACCCAUUUUAUGUUAAAAAUAUUUUCUUUUAAAUUGAGUAUAGGUUGGGUGGUAAAGUACUUAUAUUUUAAUACUAGUAAAUACAUGUUCAAUCUUUAGAUUUAUAAUUUAUAAUUCUUUUAACUAAAGAUGAUAUACAAGUAUGAAAAGACAAAAGUGACAUAGUAAUAAUAUUAAUUAUAAAUUUUAUAAUUUCAUAAUUGAAUUGAUGAUUGAAUUGAUGACGUAGUUGAAGGUGGCACUAACUCUAAAACACUUAAAUAUAGUAAUAGCUUAAAAAUGAGGGGCUUUUGGUAACCUGGUUGAGAGUAACACCAACUCAAUAAAACUCUUACAUAUUGACUACAAAUCCGAUCACACACUUAUGUGUAUGAAAACCACAAAUUUAGAAUGGAAAGAUGUGUUUAAAAAUAACAUACAAUAAAGAAUGAAAUUUAUGGUUUGAAACUAAUUAAUAAUAACACAUGAAAUAUGUACGAUAUCAAAAUGAAAAAAAAUAAAAGAUUAAAUUGUGCAUAAAACAAAAUUUUAUCCUAUUACAUCAAUAAAGUUAUAUUUAUUACCCUCGCCAAUUGUUUGUCAUUAAGAACAUUAAAGUAUCCUUGAAUGAUAUAACUUAUUCUAAAUAGAGUUGAUUGGUUGGCUUGGAUACCAACUCAGUCAGGGGCUUAAAAUUAUUAAAAUAUUAUUAUUUUAAAGAGAAAUUAAUAUUAUUAUAAGUGUAUUUUCACCUUUUCAUACUUUUAUAUAAUCUUCAAGUAAAACGAUUGAAAAAUAUUAUUUGAGAAUCAAACACAAGACUAAAAAAUUCAUAUAGAAAAUGCUUACUACUCCACUAAUAAUCAUUUGUCGAUGUAUUUUUUGUAAAAGACCUCUCCAAUCCCUCUUAAUUUCACAAUUGCACAAAUUAGUCCCUCUCAAAAAAAUUGGAGCAAUUUAAUCCCUAUCAAUUUUGAAAGUGAGUAACUAAGGACAAUUAAUUAUGGUAUUAAAUUCUUCCAUCAAUCGUAGAUAAUUUUGAUUGGUAUAGUUAUAAAUUUAGCCUUCAAUGUUUAUAUAUUUUGUCAUUUUUGCCUUAAUUUUAAAAAAAAAAUUCAAGAAAUUCAAUCUCAACAUUUACAUAUUUACAUAAACAUUGCGGGAAAUUUUUGUUAAACUAAGACCAAAUUGCAAAGUGUGCAAAUUUUGAAGGCUAAAUUUAUUAAUAUACCAACAAAAACCAUGUACAUUUUAUGGAAAAUUAACGUCCUGAUUAAUUAUUCUUAGUUGCUCACUUUCAAAAUUAAUAGGGACUAAAUUGCUCUGAAUUUUUUUAGGGUGACCAAUUUCCUCAAUUUGGAAAUUGAGAGAGACUAUUGAGAUCUUUUACAUAUUUUUUUUAUAAAUAUAUUUUUUAAUAUAAAAUAUAUUUGUUCACCCACAUCGUGUGUAUGGUAAAAUAUUUUUAUUGUUGAUUAAGUUGGUGUCAAAAAUUAACUCGACACCAACUCAAGAUUAAUAAUAACAGUAUGAUAAAUAAUUUCUUUAUUUAAUAUUCUUAAUUUAACAUAUUGAUGUAAAUUUUAAGACAUGCUUGUCUUGUAGAAUUGAGAUUAUACUUAUUGAGUAUUGAGUCAGUUUUCCACAAUUGUGGGUCUCUAUUUGAGCAACACAAUUUCAACAUUUCUUCAUCUCGCUUAAUCCAAAUGCAUUUAGGAUUUUUUUUUAUAUCAUUGUUUCAAAAACGAUAAAAAAAAACGUGGACAUUGAAUUUUCUGUUUCACAUUCAAUUUUUGGAUAAGUAGAAUUUUCUAACUUAUUUUCCAUCAACUUCACUUCAAUUUUCAAUCACAAUCUAUUGCAUUCAAGAGCAUCACAUCUUUUUGGAUGAAACAAACCUCUCAAUUUUAAGAUAAACGGAAUCUAUUGCAUUCAGGAGCACCACAUCUUUUUGGAUGAAACAAAGCUCUCAAUUUUAAGAUAAACGGGUCUUUAGGGUUAUUAAUUGAGGGCAUUUUCCACAAUUGACAUCAUUAUUUGCGGGUGAUUCGGGGAUAAUAACAUCAACAUUUCUGUAUCACAUUUAAUUCAAUUCCACAUUUAACUUUUAAUUUUUAGAGAGAUGAUUGGGUUACAACAAUGGUUUGAAGUGAAGAUAUUUCAAAAGAAGGCAAAUAUAUCAAUUUUUUAAGGGGUCUUUGGAGUUAUAUGUGACUUUAGCAUUAUUGACCGACUUUUUUAUAGUUAAUCUUUUAUAAUAAGGUAAAUAUAUCAAUUUUAAUAACAUUGACAUGUUUUUUAGUAGGGUCGAGCAAAACCCAAUUAAAACCUUUCAUCACUGCAAAAAUGAAAAUAAUAGAAAUGAAAGACUAGCCAUUGUAUGAGAUUUAUAAUUGUAACUGUCAACGAAAUUGGGAGAAAUUUUUAAAUUUUAUGAAAUUUUAAAAUUAAACUGUCAAUAAUAGAAAAUUGCUUGAGUAACUUGGGAUAAGAGGUUGAACAUUUCUGGAUCACAUUACAUUUAAGGUGGGUCUUUAAGGUUAUACUUUAGUUAUUGAGAACAUUUUCCACAAUUUGCCUUCUUUAUUUGUGGGGUAAGUGGUUGAACACUUCUGGAUCACAUUGCAUUUAGGACGGGUAUCAUUCAUAAACUGACUUUACUAUAAUUAGUCCUUGCUUUACUUUAGGUGGAUUCUUCCAACUAGUCCAAGAAUUAUUGUACAGUUACAAUUAAUCUUUUUAAAUGAGACAAACAUUUCAAAUUUGUUGGUGUAAAAAAUUAACUCAACACCAACUCAAGAUUAAUGAUAAUAAUAUGAUAAAUAAUUUAUUUGUUUAAUAUUCUUAAUUUAACAUAUUGAUGUAAAUUUUAAGACGUGCAUGUCUGGUAGAAUUGUGAUUAUACUUUUUUGAGUAUUGACUUAGUUUUCCACAAUUGUGGGUCUAUAUUUGAGCAAAACAGUUUCAACAUUUCUUCAUCUCGCUUAAUCCAAAUGCAUUUAGAAUUUUCUUAUUUCAUUGUUUCAAAAACAUUAUAAAAAAAACGUGGACAUUGAAUUUGUUGUUUCACAUUCAAUUUUUGGAUAAGUAGAAUUUUCUAACUUAUUUUCCAUCAACUUCACUUCAAUUUUCAAUCACAAUCAAUUGCAUUCAAGAGCACCACAUCUUUUUGGAUGAAACAAACCUCUCAAUUUUAAGAUAAACGGGUCUUUAAGGUUAUUAAUUGAGGACCUUUUCCACAAUUGCCAUCGUUAAGCAUUUUUCAAUCUUGUCAAUUGUUACGAUCUUUUUUAAGCAUUUUUCAUUAAAAUAACGAUUAAUGGAAAAAUAAUAUUCAAGUAAAAGGAUUUCAACAUAUUGCUUUGAAAGGUUUUCUAAAUAGUACAAGGACCUAAAAGAGAACCACUAGACAGAACUAACCAAAUCUAAGAGUUGGAAAUGUUUGGGAACGAAUAGUUUAAAUUGUGAUUAUUUCUUCGGGUUUCCUGUCAAAGGUACCAGCUGAGCAAGAAGGCAGGGUAAUGCGUCAAUGAUACAACCCUGAUGAACAAUGAGCAAUGUCAACCUAAGCAUUAAAAGGGGAUCAUUAUUAAAAAAUAACAUUUUGCAUUCAUGCAAAUAUCUUUCAUAUACAUCUAGUUAAGAGCAUUUGAUUCAUUCUGAUCAUAACAUCCUAAUCACUUGGCACAGAUAUAAGCCCAUAAAAUGGAUUCUACAAGUCAUGUUCCCUAAAGAACGGUGUAGCAGAUCAGUGAAACCACAAAUCUUAUACCCCUAAAGUUGUAGUGGGACGGAUUGAAGUUAUCGUGGCAAAUCUUAUCUCCCUAAAGUUGCAGUGGAGUAGAUUAAAGCCACAAAUCUUAUCUCCCUGAAGUUAUAGUGGAGCAAAUUGAAUAUAGCAAAUCUUAUCUCUCUAAAAUUGCAGUAGAGAAGAUUAAAGCUACAAACCUUAUCUCCCUAAAGUUGCAGUGGAGCAGGUUAAAGAUAACAAAUCUUAUUUCCCUUAAGUUGCAGUGGAGCAGAUUAAAGCGACAAAUCCUAUACCUCUGAAGUUAUAGUAGGUCAGAUUAAAUCAGGUUACAAUUCUUAUCUCCCUGAAGUUGCAGUGGACCAAAUUGAAGAUAACAAAUCUUAUCUCUCUGAAGUUGCAGUAGAGCAGAUUAAAACCAUAAAUCUUAUCUCCCUGAAGUUACAGAAGAGCAGAUUAAAACCACAAAUCUUAUCUCCCCGAAAUUGCAGUGGAGUAGAUUGAAGUUACAAAUCUCAUCUCCCUGAAGUUGCAAUGGAGUUGAUUGAAGAUACAAGUUUCAUCGCCCUAAAGUUAUAGUGGAGCAGAUUAAAGCUACAAGUCUAAUCUCCUCGAAGUUGCAGUGGAGUAGAUUGAAGCAACAAAUCUUAUACCUUUGAAGUUGUAGUGGGUUAGAAUGAAGCUACUUGAAAAGAGGAGCACCAAAGAGGUCGAGAUUCUACAAGACCAGGAAAAAUUAGCCCUUUUUAAAGUCUUUGAUCCAUUCCCGUUGCACGACAAUGAGCAAAGAGAGGCACCUGUAACAGGCCAAUUUAGCCCGAGCUUAAAAAAACCAAACCAAAAAAUAAUAAUAAUAAUAGUCCAAAGUCCAUCAGGCCCAUUUUACAAUUACAAAGCCCAAAUUAAACAAAAAAAAACCCUAGUGGCCCAACAAGCCCAAAACCUAAACAAUUUUCAGAAAAAAAAGAGGGAAUAAAACCCUAGCCACCACUCCCCAUUUCGCCACAUCAACGCCGCACCCUAGUGCUUGCCACCACCAACUGCCCACCAUCGCCACCGUCACUGCCUGUAAGGAAAAAAGGAAGAAAAGAUAGAAACCAAACAAGAGCAGUUGAAAUAGGAGAAAAUAGAUAAAAAAAUAUUUUGUGAAUCGACUAUAAAAGCCAAAGAAAAAAAUGUAUUUAGGGGAUUUUUUUUUAAAUGAGGAGAAUCGAAAAAAAUAAAUCAAAUACAAAAGGUGAUUUCAUUUUUUGUUUAUUUAUUUUCUGAAAGCAAAAAAAUAAAUAAAAACACACACAUAUAUCUAUAUAUAAAGAGGCAAACAGAAAAAAGAAAAAAAAAUGAAGCUUUCUUUUUUACCUUUUUAGGCUCUUAGUCCUCAGAUCUGGGCUUUGGAAGUCAAAAGGCCAAAAAAAGGCACUUUUUUCAUUUUUCAACCAUCAUGGAUAACGGAGCUAUCACCAGCGACCAGCGGUCGAUGCGGCGGAGCUCGGCAGCUCCCUUGGCAGGACAUGGGGCUCCCUUAGAGAAAAAAAAAGAGAGAAUGAAAACUUUUUCUUUUGAAAAUAGUUAAAAGCGAUUUUUUUUCUAAUUUUUUACUUAUAUAAGCCCUCAAAACGGCAUCAUUUUGGGCUUAUGCUUCAGAUGCCAAAACGGCAUCGCUUUGGACCCGAACCGAUCUGACCCGACCCAACCCAACAAGGAUCUGCGUGUUUUUUAAAUGGGGGUAUAAUUGACACCCUAAUUCUUCUGCUUUUUAGCCUUUUUUGAAUUUAGUCCUAGGUUUUUUUCUAUUUUUUUAGAUUGCACCAUUAAUUUCAAAUAUUUUUCAAUUUGGUCCUCUGACCGUUGACCCCUCGGGGAAGGACACGUGUCUAGGAGCUUUGGGAUAAUUUCCCAUUUAGUCCCUAUUUAUUUUAGCACCUUUCAUUUUGGUCCCUAUUCUGUUUUUUAUUUUUUUUACAAUUUAUGCCUUUAAAUUUCAUUUAUAUUUCGAUCUAGCCCUUGUGUGUUUAUUUUAUUACAAUUAGGCCCCUUUAUUUUAUUACGAUUUACCCUUUUAAUUUCAUUUAAGUUAUGAUUAAGUCCUUUAUUUAUUUUAAUUCUUUUAUUUAUUUAUUUACUUAUUUGCUUAUUUAUUAUGCCUUCAUUUUUUUUAUUUAAAAUUGGUUUUUUUAUUUUCUUUUCAUUGAGCAUUAUUUAUUUGUUUUUUAUUAUUUUAUUAUUUAUGUAUUACUUCUUUUUAUAUAUAUUUAAAAAUUAGAUUGUUUAUACUAUUCUAUUUGUGCAAUUUUUUUAUUUAUUAUUUAUUAUUUCUCGUUAUUUUAUUAUUUCUUAUUAUUUUGGAUAUCUUCAUGUCAUGUUUAUAUAUCUUUUAAUCAUGCAUAUUCCAUUUUUUUAUUUAUCUUAAAUUACAUCAUUUAUUUAUUAUUACCAUGAUAUGAUUGUUAAUAUUAAUAUUAAUAUUAAUAUUAUUAUAAUGAUGAUGAUUAUUAUCAUAAUAUUCCUUCAUUUACUUAUUAUUUAUCAUUCUACGUAUAUAGUCAUUUUAAAUUAUUUUGUUAUCACUAUACCAUACAUUAGGUUUAAACAUUUAUUCAUUUGCAUAUCACGCCCGAGUAAAUUAAAUGCAUAUCACCUUAAAUGUUACGUUAGUUUUUUUUGCUCGAUGCAUAAAAAAUGAAAUUUUUGAACCAAGGUAAAUGUUCAUUAUUUUGGAAUUUGAAAAGUCGUGCUCCUAACUUACGAGAUAUGACUUCUUUCUAAAACUGAGAUAGUCGGAUAUCUACUUUAAAAUAAAGAAAAAUAAUAAGAUUUUAGCGUUUGUUAUCAUUUUCGAGGAUUUAAGGUAUUGUGUUCUAACUUACGGGACAUAAUUUCUUCUUCUUGAUUAACUUGAAAUAAGCCCCUUUUUGUGCAAAUUAAUUUAGUUAAGUAAUGUCUUAAUAAGGGAUCAUAUUUUAAGUUCUCUUCAAAUUUUUAAUUUUCGACACUAAAGACAUCAAGUAAUCAAUUAGGUACUAAUUUUGGGCACAACGAGGGUGCUAAUCCUUCCUCGUGCGUAACCAAAUCCCGAACUCAUUUUUUGGACUUUGUAGACCGAAGCACAUUGUUUUUGUGAAUCAAAUAUCUUAUUAAAACGAUCAAAUUACGAGGCGACCCGAUCACAACUCAUGAAAGUGAUUGGUGGCGACUUCCAUUUUCAUUUUAAAAUAAAAAGUUGAUUUCAAAAAAAAAAAGGUCACGACGCAUACCAUAAAUUUAUUUUUCAAAAAGAAUUUUAAAAUAUCUUUAUAUAUAUAUAAGUCCAAAUUGUACUCGAGUAACCUACUGUAUAAAAAAUGUCUUAAAAAAUAUUAUUUUUUCAAUUCCAAAAGAGUUAUUCCAUUUAUAGAACCAUAGAACUUUAAAAAUAUAAGCUCUAUUAAAUAAAAUUAAUAAUAUUUUGAAACAAUAAAUGUUGACUUUAUUUUAAAUUGACAUUAUCUAAUUCUUUUUAAUAUAUAUUGCUAAGCUUUACAUUAAUAUACAUGAUUUAUUUGUUUGUUGUUAUUAUUAUUAUGACUAUUAUUAUUAUUAUUAUUAUUUCUAUGAUUAUAAUAUUAUACUUAUCAGGCUCCAAUCAUUCGAUAAGAAAAAAUAAGUGUUGGGUGUAAUGACAAAGCACGUUACACUCUUAAGGGGAGAUCAGGGUUUGGACAAGGGAAGAAUAUGAUUCGAAUUUUGGAGACGACAUUCUUGAAAUGAGCAACCACGAAUCCAGAUUAUGAACCAUAAAACGAACAUAAAAAGUACCAAAAAAACACGUUUAUUAUCAAAAUAGUAAUCCAUCCCAAGGCAUAAAUUAACAAAAUUCACCAUCCAACCGUGUAGACUAUUUUAUAUAUAUAUAUAUAUAUAUAUAUAUAUAUAUAUACACUAUAUUUGUUCUUCCUGCAAAUGUUUAUUAUAUUUAAAAAUUAGAAUAUAUGGUUAUUGAGCUUUAGUUGAAUUAAUAUUGAUAUUAUUUUCAGUGCAAAAGAACGUCAGUUCAAUCAUGUUUAAAUGCGUUUUAUCCUCCCAUUUAGGAGUUGGAGAGGAUUCUCAAUAGUUAAAUUAUAUCAGUUUUUGUCUAUUUCAAAAUGAUUUAUAAAUAAUAUAAGUAGAAAAUUUAAAGAAAAUACAUAUUCAUAUUCAUCGGCUUUUUCAUUAUUUGAGUUUUUUCCCCACAAGUAAACCGAAAAACUUAAUUUUUUAUUCAAGUUGAUCCGAAUAACUUAAUUAACUCAAAUAACUCGAACUAUUUAAUUCAAAAUUUAAAUUUUUUAUCGAAUUAUUCAAAUUGAAUUGGAUUUUGCUCACCCCUAAAAAUGCUAAUUAAGCAAAGUAUUGAGGGAUUAUUUUUGCUUCCAUUGAGACGAACUUUAUAGUUUUCAAUAGCUAAAGUCUUUGGAAGUAAGGAACUGAUGUAAACAAUAAUUAUUGUUUAUUUACCUUCUAAAAAAAUCUAGAUGAUGCAUGUUUCGGAACAUAGUUUUCAUAUCAUUAAUUAAUUACUAUCUAGUCAAUAAAUUUGUGUUUUAUUUAGGAUUAAUGUGUUUUUCUAAUGAGUGUUUUCAAAAAUAAAAUUCUAACUAAACUAUAUUAAACAUCAAGAGCUCCAACUUGUAUAAAAUCUAAUCUAUUAAUGGAUGUUUCAAACAAUUUUAAAAUAUACAUGUUGUGCAUCUUCUUGACUCUGUCAAGUCUUUCCAAUUUUUUCUUUUCCAAGAUGAUAUAAUAAUCAAAGUUGCAACAUGUAAAUUGUAGUUUUGUGUGGAAAAAAUUUCCUAAAAAAUAAUUGCCAUGGAAAUUUCAUGAGUUCUUCCCUCUUGUUUUAUAUUUCUUUUAACAAUGCAUUUGAAAUUUUCACCCUAUAAUAUGAUUUAAUUGUAUAUGUCAAUUGUCAAGCUUUGAAAAUUUUGCUACUUUUUACAAUCACAACACACAUGGAUUGCCCUAUAAAUAGUAGCCUAAAAUGGAGAUUAUGCUGCACUCAUCCUAUAAAUUUUAUCUAAUAUAUAUUGUCCAAAAUGAAAGCAAUAUUUCUCAUAUUAUGCAUUCUCUUGGCUUCCAUUCUUGCGUUUCCCACUUCCACAAUGGCUCGAGAACUGGCUGAGAAGGGUAAGAACAAUCAUAUUUUGUGACUAAUACCCAUAUAUUUCCUUUAAUUUCUGGUUUAUUUUAUUGUUUGUUAAUUCUGCAGAGGCAAUCCCAUCUCCAACUCAAUGUGCGCUAGAUCCUACUCGGAGCUGUACUCCGAAGACUCCUCCUAACUGCCCAAUUUACAGUCGAAACUGCCAUUAAUAUUAUGUUCUGGAAUAUUAUGUUUAAUAAAUUUGCCAACUUUUGUGUUUUAUUGGCAAAGGAAAUUAGAAUCUAAAGUUUCAUGCAUGGUUUGUGUUUGAUUGAUGUGAUUGUGAUGUUAUUUCUACUGCUUGAGAUAACAAAAUAAUAAAGAAAAGAUUGCAUUUCUCAUAUUUUUUAUAUUUUCUCAAUGCUCCAUAUGAUAAAUUUGGAUGGAUGGCAUGAUAUAAAUAUAAUGAAAAUUUUCUUUUGAAAUCUCUGAGAUGUCUCUAUUUAAAUCAUCAAUAUUUAUAGUCUGACGUUUAUUUUGUUAUGUAAAGACAAGCCAUUGUAUGAAAUUUAUAAUUGAACUGUCAACAAAAUUGGGAGAAAAUUUUAAAUUGUAUGAAAUUUUAAAAAUUAAACUGUCAGUAAUAGGAAAUUGCCCGAGUGACUUGGGAUAAGUGGUUAACCAUAUCUGGAUCACAUUGCAUUUAAGAGGGGUCUUUGGAGUUAUAUGAUACUUUAACAUAGACUUUUCUAUAAUUAGUCACUGCUCUACUUUGGGUGAAUUCUUCCAACUAGCAUGAUAGUUGAUGUUACUCUCCAAGAAUAAUUGUAGCGUCCUCUUCCAACUAGCGUAGAGUUAUCUUUAUUCCUACCCCACGCGGGCAACAAACCACUGAUCAAAUUAUUUUGAAGAUAUCACUUUUUGAAUCCAUGAGUUUUGUUUUCCUUUUUGUAAAACAGAUAUCAAGAGAUACCAAAAAUUAUUUUACUAAGAAAUUUUAAUUCACUCAAAAAGUAAGUGUUUUAUUUUAAGGGAUCACAAUUAAACAUUAAAUUUUUCAUUUUUAAUUUUUUUAUUUUUUUAACAACUACGUAAUUAACGAGUACCAAUUUUUGGUGUUGUAGGGCUGCUAUAACUUUCCCUAUAUGUAAUCGACUCUUGAACCCACUUUUUCCUCUACAAUUCAAUGCAAACCUUAAAUUUAUCUUUUCAAAAGAAUUUUAAAAUCUCUUUUGUACAGCCCAAAUUUUCCCGGGCCUCCAAACCAAACAGUUAACCUAAUUUUGAAGCCCAACUACAAUACCCGGCCCAAGGCCCAAAAUCUAAAACGGCCCAUUGGGGCCCAAAAACUAAACAACAUAGGGAACCCUAGGGUUCCCUGCCCUUGCCUCGCGCCGCUGCUACCCAUGUGCGUCUUCAGCGCGCACCACGCCCGAGGUCUGCCACCGCCAGCUGCGCCUUGCAUCAAAAUGGAAGCUUUCCGUCUCCGUUGACUUCAUCAGGUCCUGCAAACGAAACAAAAAGACGAAAAUAAGGCAGAGACAGAACACAAGAAACAGUAACAGAAGUGAAAUAGAACGGUAUCAUUAUUUUCGGCUAUAAAAAGCCGAAUCAAACAAAUGUAAUCUGGGGGAUUCGAUUGAAAAAAAAACAUUGCCGAAUCAAUAAAAAAUCGAAAAUCUUUGAAGAAAUGUUCUGAUUUCUUUUUUUCAUUCGGUCUCCGAAUUUAUUUAUUUCUUUUUGUGUUCUUUUUCUGUUCUUUUAAAGCAUAUAUAUGUAUAUAAGGUUAUAUAUAUAUAAUAAAAAAGGAAAGGACGAAGUUCUUACCUCGGUGCCGUCGAAGCUCUUCUUCAUUCCGUCCAAAUCGGAGCUGAAGAAGAGAGGCUUCUAGUUUUUGAAGCGGUAGAGACGAAAAGAGGGAGGCUAGGGUUUCAUAUUUUUGCUUUGUUUUCUUAAAGAACGGCAGAUUAGAGUAAUUUGGGAAGUUUUUUUUAUUUUUUUAUUUUUUUAUUUUAUUAUUUUUUUAUUUUUAAAUACGAAACGACGCCGUUUAAUGGCCUAUGCUCGCUCUGUGACCCGACCCAGGGAAGGAUCCGCGCGUUUUGUGUUAUUGGGUAAUUGGCGCGUAAGGUCCCUUUUCUUUCGCGCCGUCGUGCAAUGGGGUCCUUUUUGUUUUUUUAAAUUCAUUCAGCCCGCUUAAUUUUUCUGCUUUUCAUUUUAGCCCGCGCCAAAACGCUGUGCAUAAUAAUGGGAACAUUUUCUCAAUCAGCCCUCUGUUCUUUGGGGCGCAUUGUAAUUUGGUCCCUGGGGAUCUUAUUUUUGUUUAUUUGCGUUUUGAACCCCGAACUUUGUUACAAGAUUUGAUUUAACCUGCUUGUUUUAUUUAUUUUAGUUAUUUUGUAAGCAAAUUAGAUUAUUAUUAUUAUUAUUAUUAUUAGUUGCUCAUUUAUACUUUUUUAAUUUUAGAUCUAAUUAUAUAUAUGUACAUAUAUAUACAUGUACGUGUACAUAUUUUUAUAGCUUAUCUAUAUAUAUGUAUAUAUAUAUAUAUAUAUACAUACAUACUUAUUUUUAUAUUUUAUAAUUUAUAUACACAUCUAUAUAUCUAUAUACAUAUGUUAUUUUCAUAAAUAUAUAUGUAUACCUAUAUAUAUUCUUUAUAUGUUUAAAAUGCAUCCCUUUUUUACAUAUAUAGUUUGUAUAUUUUAUAGCGCAUAUACAUACAUAUUUUUUCAUAUUUUAAAACAUAUAUAGGCAUUUUUUAAUACAUUUGCGUACAUAAAUUUUUUAUUAUUAUAUAUAUAUAUACACAUACUUGUAUAUUAUUUAUAUUUUAUACUUUAUACUUUACAUAUAUAUAUAUAUAUAUUCCUAUAACUUUUUUAUAUUUAUAUGCAUAUAUACAUACUUAUGUUUUUCUUAUAUUUUUUAACUUACAUACAUACCUGUCUAUAUCUAUAUACUUAUUUUUAUAAACACAUACAUAUUUAUCCUUUUUACAUUCUCUUUAUUUAUUUAUUUACGUUUUCAUUGGCAUUUUAAAGGAAUGCUUUAACUUUACUUGCUUAUAUACUUGUUAUUUUGCAUGUUAUUAAUUUGUCUCUUUUAUUCAUUCAUUUUUAUUAUUGUUGCUCGUAUUAUUUUUUAUACUAUCACAUUCAAUAUUGCUUUGUACGCAUAUUAACCUUAUAUUUCAUUUUAACUAUUUCGAGUUAGAUUAAUUUAUCUCGAUGCAUAAGUUUCGAUUUUCAAAUAAGCAAAAUCUCGUGUUUAGAUUCAAGAAGGUCGUACCCUAACUUACUGGGUUUCGAUUUUCACAAUAAAUCUAAAUACAUGAAUCUUUUCAAACUCAAGUUUUAAAUGAUCUCGGGAAUUAAGAAAAGAUCGUGUCCUAACUUACUAGGCACGACCCCUUUUUUAAUCCGAGAUAGCUGAAUAUCUUUUAAAUAAGUGAAUUUUCAGUAUUCAUUCGCGCAUCGGGAAUUCAAGACAUUGUGUCCUAACUUACUGGAUAUAAUUCUCUUUCUCGAUUAACGUGAAAUAUGUCCUUUUCCCAUAAAUUUUCAACAUAUCAAUAAAGGAUCGUAUUCUAAAUUUCUUUAAAGAUUUUAAUCUUCGACACUAAGACAUUAAUUAAUCAACUAGGUACCAAUUUUGGGCGUUAUGAGGGUGCUAAUCCUUCCUCGUACGUAACCGACUCCCGAACCCGUUUUCUGAAUUUCGUGGAUCAAACUUGUUGUUUUAAUAAAAUUAAAUUGUUAAUUAAAAACAACCACUUUUCGAGGUGAUCCGAUCACACCUCAUCAAAAAGGAUCGGUGGCGACUCCAGUUUUCGUUUUCAUUUUUCAAAACCUAAGUCGACCCCGUUUUCAUCAAAAAAUGGUGUCAACAGCUUGGCGACUCCACUGGGGACUAGAUCCAAAAAUAAGAGAGUCAAGCCACGAGUUGAUUAUUUCUUGUCUUUUUGUCGAAAAUUGAUAAUUUGGAUUAAAUUUACGAUCCUUUCAUUGUAUUUCAUUUUUAUAGUUUGUCAUUUCGCUAUAUUUGCUUUAUUUGUUCAACUCUCUCGACAUAGUUUUGCAUAUUGCAUUGCAUGACCGUGGGUCACACCCUUUUAAGUGGGAGUGAGAAACUACGCCUUCGUGAGGUUUUCACCUCUGCACGGGAUAGUGAAUCGCUUUCGGGAUACAUCCGUACCUAUGUCUUCAUGAGAUUUUCAUCUCCGCAUGGCCAUAGGGAAAUGUAUUCCCCUGAACUGAACUUGGUCCAUAUGAGCCUAUAAUGGGUGAGGAUCGAGGAAUCUGCUGGUUCAGGUACCCUUUUUUUAGAACUGAAUCGCAUAUAGAAGCCUUUAGAAACCCAUCCUAGGUAGAGCCACUCCAAACCCCUAGUGGUCACCCGAUUAGGUACUUUUGUUUUCCUUGUUUGCUUCUGUUUUUUACUAACCCAUCUUGUUUUGUCUUGAUUAUGAUUGCAUUCAUUUGCAUCUUAGGAAAGAGAUAUUGAUUCAAAUCCAAUUACUAAAUUAGAAAGCUUGUCAUGGAAUUCGGAUUCCUUGAUAAAGGGGAAAACAAUACGGUUGCUUGAAUAUAUUCUAAGAAACACAAGAAGAGCGAUGGAAGAGUUCGUGACAUUGCUUCGUGGCCUGAGGAUUCAAGGCGAUUGUCUAAGAGCCUUCGAAGUUCCAACCCCUUAAAGAAGCUGACAAGCCUUAUAAAGACGGGUAGAUGGUGGAUCGCGACCAAGAUUAAGAAAAGGAGCUAGCAAUGGCAUCUAUUAGCGAGAUUACCUCAAACAUGCAGAUAAAGAAAAAGAUCGAUAUUGUCUCUUGGAAUAUAAGGGCGAAGCCGUACAUGCCUCUACUUUAUGUAAACGAAUUUGCUUUCUAGAAAAGUUUCCUAAAUGUAAUUGAAUUAGAAUCAACGUCUCUUUAGGCAUUCAUUUCAUGCAUCUACAUAUCAUCAUAUGCAUUAAAGUUUUAAAAAGGGAGCCUAAUUAAUUUAAAAUUAUGACAGAAUCACCCUGGAAACUAACAAAAAUUCGCCAACCGUUUAUCACUAUGGUACCCGUCGCAAGACAAAAGCCAUGGAUCAAAUAUUCGAAAGACUCGAACAACUCCAAAAGAAGAUGCAAGAACAAAUGCAAGAGCGGUUAGAGAAGAUUCAAGAACAUAUGAGGAACGAAAUGACAGAGUCUCAAAAAAGCAUGAUAGCUGAAUUGACGCAGUUGUUGAAAGGGGGAAACGACAAAGGAAAAGACCCCGUGGUUAAUACAGAAGAAGGAAAUAAUGAUAGCCCUCUCUAUCCCCCAGGUUUCAGGAUCGGUGGCGACUCCCGUUUUCGUUUUCAUUUUUCAAAACCUAAGUCGACCCCGUUUUCAUCAAAAAAAUGGUGUCAACAUGUUUAUAAAAGACGAUUUUUUUAGGUGACCAAUCACACUUAACAAAAAAAAUCGAUGGCAACCCCUUCCUAAUAAAUGUAAAAAACUUUUUAAACAAAAUAUAACAGACAUGUCUAUGUUUCCUAGGUUAUCUCAUAUUAAAAUCCAAAGAAAAUAAAAAGAUUCUAACAAUUAUUGCUUUUUAGUGUUGCUUUUGGGAAUUUAAAUGUAUUUAGUCAGAUUCUAAACCUACCCGUAGAUUCUUUCCUAUCCCAAGAUUAUUACGUACAUUGAAAAUCAACAUUCAUUAUAUUACUAAAGUAGUGAUUAUAGUGAGUAAAGUCUGAUUCCAUUCGAAAAAAUGGAAAAGAAAUUCAAAAUUCGAGUUAAUUGAUUUAGUUAUUUGAUUCAACUCGAAUAAGUAAUUGGAGUUUUUGACACCAAUUUUUAGAUAAAAUGGGAUCGACUUGGAUUUUGAAAAUGAAAACGAAAAAAACAGGAGUCGCCACCAAUCCUUUUUUGAUAAGGUGUGAUCAUAUCACCUUGAAAAGUGGUUGUUUUUAAUAAACGAUUUGAUUUUAUUAAAACAACGAUUUUGUUUCACGAAAUUCAAAAAAAUGGGUUCGGAAGUCGGUUACGUACUAGGAAGGAUUAGCACCCUCGUAACGCCCAAAAAUUGGUACCUAGUUGAUUAGUUAAUGCCUUAAUGUCGAAGAUUGAAAACUUUAAAGAGAUUUAGAGUACGAUCCUAAAAAAACUCGAACGACAUGGAUUGAGAUUUAAGAAGAUAUUAGGCUAUUUGGUUCAACGAGAAAUCGAAACCCAGCACGUUAGGGCACGUUUUCUUGAAUUUUCAAAUGCAAAAUAUCGCUUUAUUUUGAAAUUUAAAAGAAUAUUUUAGCUAUUUGGUCGAACGAAAAAUCGAAACCCAGCACGUUAGGGCAAAUUUUCUCAAAUUUCCAAAUGCAAAAUAUUGCCUUAUUUUGAAAUUUUAAAAGGAUAUUUUAGCUAUUUGGUCGAAUGAAAAAUCGAAACCCAGCACGUUAGGGCACGUUUUCUCGAAUUUCUAAACGCAAAAUAUUGCCUUACUUUGAAUUUUUAAAAGGAUAUUUUAGCUAUUUGGUCGAACGAAAAAUCGAAACCCAGCACGUUAGGGCACAUUUUCUCGAAUUUCCAAAUGUAAAAUAUUGCCUUAUUUUGAAAUUUUAAAAGGAUAUUUUAGCUAUUUGGUCAAACAAGAAAUCGAAACCCAAUAAGUUAGGGUGCAAUUUUUCGAAUAUCGAAAUACGAAAUAUAUUGAAUAAAGUAAAAUAUAAUGUCGUGAAAAAUGCGAAAACAAAUUAUAUUAGAUACGCAUAACAAAAAAAUAAUAAAUACGAUGGUGUAAAAAUAAUACGAGCGAUAAUAACGAAAAAAUAAGAUAAAUAAAGAGACAAAUUAAUAGCAUAAAAAAUAAAAAUGAAAUGAAACAUUCUUUUUUUUUUAAAUAAUAAUGAAAGCGUAAAUAAAUAAGUAAAUAAAGAAAAUGAAUAUAUAUAAAAGAAGAAGAUAUAUAAGUAUGUAUAUGUAUAUAUGUAUAUUAAAAUUAUAAAGUAUAUAAAAAAUAUAUAAGUAUGUCUAUAUAUAUAUAUGAAAAUUUAAAAAAUGUGCACGUAUGUAUAUAUAUGACAAAAUGUAAGUAUGUACAUAUACAACAAAAUUUGAAACUAAAAAUGACAUAAAUAAGUAAAUCAUAACAAUAAUAAUAAUAAUGUAAUAUAAUAGUAAUAAUAAUAUUAAAAUAGUUAAUUUAAUGCUAAAAUAACUCUAAUAACACAUAUGGGAUUAAAUAAAAACAGUUUAAUAAUAAUAAUAAUAAUAAUAAUAAUAAUAACAGACCCAGGACUGAAUUGGAAAAUAAAUAAAAUCAAAGGGGAAAAUUUAAAAGAGAAAAAAAAUCUGGACCCGAACAAAACGCGUGCGAAGAAAUGGGGACCGAUUGGGAAAAUACCCCCAGCCUUGCGCGCAGCGUUUUAACGGAUUAAAAAGAAAUAAAUAAAAAGAUAUAGGGCCAAAUUAAAAGAAAAGAAAAAAACAGAAAAGGACCAAAUUGCAACACUUCGCGAAGGAGGAAGGACUGCGCGCAUAAUUAUACCAUUUAGGUAAACAUGCGAAUCAUUUGCCUGGAGCGGGUCGGGUCACGAGUCGGCCUCCCCAAAACGAUGUCGUUUUAUGUCUGGGGAGGCCACCCAAAACGCUGUCGUUUCAGCUUUCCAUUUAAGCCCUCUUUUUAUUUUUUUGUUCAUUUAUUCCCCCAUUAGAAAAAAUCCAUGCCUUCCGGUCGUUGGGCUUCCCACCGCCGUUCACCGUCCGGCGCACCGCCACUAAACCGACGGCCGACGAAGCGUGAUGAAGGGAUUUUAAAGGCCGACUCUAGGCGGGCUAUGAGGUCGGGCUUCGACUGGAGGAGACGAAGAGCCUUGCACCCCAUUUUUAAACCCAAUUCCGAUGACGACGAGAGGACAUCCGUCGACGGAGCUACAGAAAGAUUCAGGUGCGCUCCUUUUCUUUUUUUGUUAUUAUUUCUAUAUUUUUCUUAUUAAAAUGAAGUUGUAAAAAGAAAAAAAAAGAUAACAAAAUAAAAUGAAAUAAACGAAUCGAAAAUAGUAAAGGUUUAACCUUUUUGAACUUCUAUUUUUGCUGUUUUGAUUUCUAAUGUGCGUAAAAAAAUAAAAAGAUGAUGUUCGGGCUCUUAUAGUCAGAUUAAACAACUCUUAGGUUCUAUUUUUUUGUCGUUCUGCCAUUGUUUCUUCCACUGUUGUGUGUGGGUCUUCAUUUUGCAGGCAUCAGACCGUCGGUGGUGGCAAAGGGCCUGCGUGAGGAGGCUGGCGGCACGGGUCAGAGGCAAUGCAGGCAGAGGCCUAGGGCGCGGCGCACAUAAGGCUGGGGAUUAGGGUUUUUUUGCUGAAAUGUUUUAGGUUUUUGGGCUUGUUGGGCUAGGUUUUAAUUUGGGCUAGUUUGGGUUUGAUUUGGGCCAUGUAUCUGGACUUGUUAAUUAUAUUGGUUAUUGGGUUAUUUUUGGUUUGGGCUCGGGCAAAAAUGGCCUAUUACAGUUGCCCCUCUUUGCUCAUUGUCGUGUAAUGAGAAUAAAGCAAAGACUUCAAAAGGGCCAAUUUUGCCCAGUCUUGCCAAGUCUCAACUUGUGUUGGCGCUUCUCUUCUUCUAGUAGCCUCAUUCUAGUCCACUGUGUCUUAUCGCUUUGAUCCACUUCACGGCAUUUUAAAGAGAUGACUUCAAUCUACUCUGCUGCAACUCCAUGGGGAUGAGGUUUGUGGUCUUCAACCUGUUCCACUGCAACUUCAAGGAGAUAAUGUUUGAUAUGAUAAGUUCUAAUUCGACCUACUGCAAUUUCAGAGGUAUAUGAUUCAUCAUUUUAAUCCGCUCUACUGCAACUUUAGGGAGAUAGGAUUAGUAGCUUCAGUCUGCUCCACUGUAACUUCAGGGAGAUAAGACUCGCUAUCUUCAGUCUGCCCAACUGCAACUUCAGGAGGAUAAGACUGGAUAUGAUCUGCUCUACUGCAACUUCAGAGAGAUAAGAUCGGUGGUUUUAAUUCGCUCCACUACAACUUUAGGGAGAUAGGAUUCGUUUCUUUUGCCUGCUCCGCUGCAACUUCAGGGAGAUAAGACUGGUUGCGAUCUACUCUACUGCAACUUCAGAGAGAUAAGAUCUGUGGUUUUAAUCUACUCCAUUGCAACUUCAGGGAGAUAGGAUUAGUUUCUUUUGUCAACUCCACUACUGCUUAGGGAGAUAAGAUUGGAUGUGAUCUGCUCUACUGCAACUUCAGAGAGAUAAGGUUUGUGGUUUUAAUCCGCUCCACUGCAACUUCAGGGAGAUAGGAUUGGCUUCUGUCUGCUCCACUGCAACUUCAGGGAGAUAAGACUGGAUGUGAUCUGCACUACUGCAACUUCAGAGAGAUAAGAUCUGUGGUUUUAAUCCGCUCCACUACAACUUUAGGGAGAUAGGAUUCACCGUCUUUAGUUUAAUUAACUGCAAUGUUGGGGAAGUAAGAUUCACCGUCGUGGCUUUAAUCUUUUUAAUUGUAAUUUCGGGGAAGCAAGAUUCGCCGUUGUAGCUUCAAUCUUUUUAAUUGCAACGUCGGGGAAACAAGAUUCGCCAUUGUAGCUUCAAUCUGUUCCACUGCAACACCAGGGAAGUAAGAUUCACCGUUGUGGCUUCAAUCUUUUUAAUUGCAACGUCGGGGAAACAAGAUUCGCCAUUGUAGCUUCAAUCUGUUCCACUGCAACACCAGGGAAGUAAGAUUCUCCGUUGCGGCUUCAAUCUUUUUUAUUGCAAUGUCGGGGAAACAAGAUUCACCGUUGUAGCUUUAAUCUGUUCCACUGCACCGCUUGGAAAGUAAGAUUCACCGUUGCGGCUUCAAUCUAUUCCACCGUACCUCUAGGAAAGUAAGAUUCGCCGUUGCAGCUUCAAUCUUUUAAAUUGCAAUGCUGGGGAAUCAAGAUUCGUCAUCGUAGCUUUAAUCUACUCUAUUGCACCACUAGGGAAGUAAGAUUCACCGUUGUAGCUUUAAUCUUUUUAAUUACAAUGUCGGGGAAACAAGAUUCACCGUUGUAGCUUCAAUUUGUUCCACUGCACUGCUAGGGAAGUAAGAUUCGCCGUUAUGGCUUUAAUAUUUGCAAUGUCGAGGAAACAAGAUUCGUCGUUGUAGCUUCAAUCUGUUCCACUACAAUGCCAAAUAGAUAGGACUAGUGUCUUCAAUCUGCUUCACUGCCAGUACAGAAAUACAAGAUCUGCUAUCUUCAGUCUACUCUGCUGCAACUUCAGGGAGAUGAGACUUGAUAUGAUGAUUUCAAUCCAUCCCACUGCAACUUCAGGGGUAUGGGUAAUUUCAUUGAUCUGUUCUUCGGGGAACAUGAACUGUAAAAUCCAUUUCAUAGACCUAUUUAUGCCUAGUGUUUAGGAUGUCAUAAUUAGAAUGAAUCAAAUGCUCCUAACUAGAUGUGUAUGUAUGAUAUUUGUAGAAUGUCAUGAGAAUGAUCCCUUUUUAAUGCUUAGGUUGUCAUUACUCGUUGUUCAUCAAGGUUCUAUCACUGAUGCCUUCUUGUUCAGCCGGUAUCUUUGACAAAAAAACCAAAGAAAUAGUCGCAAUUUAGACUAUUCUUUCUCCAAUGCUUCAGGUCCUCAUACUAUUUAGAAACUUUCAGAGUAAUAUGCAGAACUCCUUCUACUUGAAUAUCAUCAAUCCAUUAUCGUUAUUUCAAUGAAAAAUGCUUGAAAAAGAUUAUCAAAAUGGGCAAGAUGAAACUUUGUCGAGAGCAAAGCUUGAAAUGAAUGAAUCAAUCAAGAUAACAAAUUUUGCUAGAAUACAAAAUGAGAAUAAAUUAAUCAAGAUAGCGUAUUUUGUUAAAAAUACAAAAAAUGAAUAAAAUGGAAAUAGGUGCCUCAGAUAUCGUAUCAUGAGCUUUUCUGCCCCAAACUUCUUGAGGACCCUUUUGAACUUGAUAUGUGUUUAGAAGUCCUAGAAGACUUUGUUGAUGCCCCAAGAUGUAGCAUCUCUCCUUCUUAUUAAUUCGGAGAGGACAAGACUACCGCAUGCCCCACCUUCGAUCAAAAUUUGAACUGCCCAUUUCUGGGUUUUCAAUUCAAAACCCCUUUGGUCUCAAGGCGCCCUUUGCGGGUUUUCACCUUAGCCCCUCUUUUUUCUUUUUUAUUCUUCUUUUCUUUUCUUUUUUCUUUUGGUUUCUUUUUUUUCCAGUGAAGCAUUUAUUGCUUGAAUCAGAAUUCUCAAGAUUAGACGGGUUCUUGCCAUCCAUCUUGGUCAAUAUCGACAUUUUUUCAGAUAAGGCCUUCCACAUAAGGUCCUUUCCAAUUUGGCAUCCACUUUCCUCUGAAGUCCUUUUGUAUGGGAAGGAUCUUCUUCGAUAUCAGGUCCCCCUCAUGGAAUUCUCUAGGGUGAACCUUUUUUGGUAAGCUCACAUCAUUCACUUUUGGUACAUUUGACCAUGACAGAUAGCUUUCAACCCUUCCUCUUCGAUCAAAUUUAACUGAUCAUAUCGGGCUUAAAUCCAUUCUGCUUCAUCCAACUUCAACUCUGACAAGACUCGAAGGGAAGAAAUAUCACCUUUGAUGGGUAAGACUGCCUCUAUUCCAAUACCAAUGAGAAAUGAGUUGCCCUGGUAGAGGUUUUUUUUGUUGUUUCUUUUGUUUUUAUUUUUUUUGUUUUGUUUUGUUUUCUGGCCUUCACUGAACCAUUCAUUUUGGGGUGACAUGGUGUUAAUCUUGAACAGACUGCAAACUUCUGAUAUCGUGCUGUUGUUCAAAUUUAGUGCAUUGUCAGAUAUGAUCCUUUUUGGCAUUCCAUAUUGACAUAUGAUUCUUCAAGAAAUUUGCUGAUUGUCAGCUUUGUGAUAUUGGCAUAUGAAACAGCUUCCACCCACCUAGUGAAGUAAUCAAUGACCACAAAGAUGACUUGAUGAUCACCAUGAGCUUUUGGCGAGAUCAGCUCAAUGACCUCCAUGCCCCACAUAGAGAAAGACCAUGGAAAAGUCAUAACAUGAAGAGAUAAAGGAGCCACAUAAAUCUUGUCUCCACAAAUUUGGCACUUAUGGCAUUUCUUGGUAUAACUGAUGCAAUCCUCUUCCAUGCUGGACCAGCAGUACCUAUAUCUCAUGAUUUACUUGGCCAUUGCAAAAUCAACGCAUGUGUUCCUCGACACCUUCAUGGACCUUUUCCAAUAUUUCUUAGUCUCAACAACGUCCACACGCCUUAGCAGCUCAUGCAUAUCUUGAUCAUGCAAAAACAUCUUUAAAUUCUUGAAGUAACUUAAUGACAUCUCGCUUUAUCUCUAUGGUAAUACAGGCUCCGAUCUUCACCUCUUUCUCUUCUCCUAAACUCACAAUUUCCACAAUUUUUUUUGUAAGUUAGGAUAUGUUUCUCGACUUAUUCUACCAUCCUUAACAAUCAGAAGAUAAGCUACAGUCUCGGUCAUCUUCAAAGUCCUGAGGCUCAUCUGGACACAUAUCUUGCUCAAAAGGAGAUUCUGAGUCAAUAGCAUUGUCACUCAUAUCAUUGAUAACUAGAGACCUAUUAUAGGAACAAAAGAAGACUCAAAGAACCAAUGAAUCAAAGGGAAAUUAUUUGUGUGGUAUGAGUAUGAAUGAAAUGAAAGGAACAAAAGAAUGUUUGCCAAAACAAGACACAAAGAUGCAUUUCGUUGAAAUAAAGAAUAGUGGACAUGUGGCUUUUUCACAAAAGGAUUUUCUAUUGCUCCCAGGCUUAGAGCAAUAAGAGCGUUCCAAAUGUUACUCCGAAAUGGUCCCAAAAAUUACAAGAAUCUCCUCCACAGUCCAGUUGUUUAGAACGCCUCUAGGGAUGUAGAAACAAAUUCCUGAUAGUUUUUUUUGUUCCUUUUCUAGGCACAAACAUCUUUCCUUUCCAUACCAUCGAUACUUUCAAAGAAUUCCAAUUCUUUAUCAUCCAUCUGGCUACGCACUAAAGUUCUAAAUACGACGUACUUUUAGAUUUUAGGAAAUUUAGUGUAUGCAAUGAAAUGUAAUGUUGAUGCAUGAAUGCAAAAAAAACGUUGAUUCUUGGUUCAAUUCUAUUAGAACAACUUUAUUAGAAAACAAAUCUCUUCACAUAAAGUGGAUAUAUAUACAGUUUUGCCCUCAUAUGCGGAGACAUUCGAUCCUCUUCUUCAUUCGAGCGUUAAGAUAAAUUUCACGAACUCUUCAAAAGGGAUGUCUCUUCUAUUUUCUUUUUCCUUGAUCUGGGUCGCGACUCGUUGCUCACUCAUCCUCGUGAUGCUCGUUGGCUUUAAAAAAGUUCAAUGGCUCUCGAAUAACCUUUGUCAUCUUGAAUCCUCGGGCAACAAAGCAAAGUCGUGUAAUCCUCCAUUAAACUAUCAUCCUUCUCUUAUCACGUUUUCUUGGACCAUAUUCGGACAACCGUAUUGUCAUCCACUUUAUCAAGAAACCCAUUUUCUUAUGACAAGCUCUCUAUUUAGCAACUGACUGUGAAUCAACACCUCUUUUUUAUUAUGAAAAUGUAAUGCAAUCAUAACCAAAACAAAGAAAACAGGUUAGUACAAAGCAAAAACAAGCAAGAAUAAGUAGAACAUCUAUUCGGGUGACCACUAAGGGUUUGAAGUGGUUCUACCUAGGGUAAGCUCUUAGGUUCACUAUAUACGGUUUGGCUCUAAAGUAAGGGUACUUGAACCGGCAGAUUUCUCGAUCCUCACCCAUUAUAGACUCAUACGGACCAAGUUCGGUUCAGGGGAAUACAUUUCCUUAUGGCUACACGGAGAUGAAAAUCUCCCGAAGACAUAAGUACGGAUGUAUCCUGGAAGCGAUCCACUAUCCUACACGGAGGUGAAAACCUCACGAAGGACUAGUUUUUCACUCCCACUUAGAAGGGUGUGACCCACGGUCAUGUAAUAUAAUGCAGCAGUAUACCAAACUUAAACUACCACAGCAAUCAAAUUAUGAUAAUAAAAAUUGAAAUAAAGACAAAUGAAAUGCAAUGAAAGGAUCAUAAAUUUAAACCAAAUCUUCAAUUUUCGAUGAAAAGGCAAAAAGUAAUCAACUCGUGGCUUGACUUUCGUAAAUCUCGUCCUAGCGGAGUCGCCAAGCUGUUGACACCAUUUUUUUGAUAAAACGGGGUCGACUUGGAUUUUGAAAAUGAAAACGAAAAAAACAGGAGUCGCCACCAAUCCUUUUUUUAUAAGGUGUGAUCGGAUCACCUUGAAAAGUGGUUAUUUUUAAUAAACGAUUUGAUUUUAUUAAAACAACGAUUUUGGUCCACGAAAUUCAGAAAAACGGGUUCGGAAGUCGGUUACGUACGAGGAAGGAUUAGCACACUCGUAACGCCCAAAAAUUGGUACCUAGUUGAUUAGUUAAUGCCUUAAUGUCGAAGAUUGAAAACUUUAAAGAGAUUUAGAGUACGAUCCUAAAAAAACUCGAACGACAUGGAUUGAGAUUUAAGAGGAUAUUAGGCUAUUUGGUUCAACGAGAAAUCGAAACCCAGCACGUCAGGGCACGUUUUCUCGAAUUUUCAAACGCAAAAUAUCGCUUUAUUUUGAAAUUUUAAAAGGAUAUUUUAGCUAUUUGGUCGAACGAAAAAUCAAAACCCAGCACGUUAGGGCACAUUUUCUCGAAUUUCCAAAUGCAAAAUAUUGCCUUAUUUUGAAAUUUUAAAAAUAUAUUUUAGCUAUUUGGUCGAACGAAAAAUCGAAACCCAGCACGUUAGGGCACGUUUUCUUGAAUUUCCAAACGUGAAAUAUUGCCUUAGUUUGAAAUUUUAAAAGGAUAUUUUAACUAUUUGGUCGAAUAAAAAAUCAAAACCCAGCACGUUAGGGCACAUUUUCUCGAAUUUCCAAAUGUAAAAUAUUGCCUUAUUUUGAAAUUUUAAAAGGAUAUUUUAGCUAUUUGGUCAAACGAGAAAUCAAAACCCAGUAAGUUAGGGUGCGAUUUUUCGAAUAUCGAAAUACAAAAUAUAUUGAAUAAAGUAAAAUAUGAUGUCGUGAAAAAUGCGAAAACAAAUUAUAUUGGAUACGCAUAACAAAACAAUAAUAAAUACGAUGGUUAAAAAUAAUAGGAGCGAUAAUAACGAAAAAAUAAGAUAAAUAAAGAGACAAAUUAAUAGCAUAAAAAAUAAAAAUGAAAUGAAACAUUCUUUUUUUUUAAAUAAUAAUGAAAGCGUAAAUAAAUAAGUAAAUAAAGAAAAUGAAUAUAUAUAAAAGAAGAAGAUAUAUAAGUAUGUAUAUGUAUAUAUGUAUAUUAAAAUUAUAAAGUAUAUAAAAAUAUAUAUAAUUAUGUAUAUAUAUAUAUAUAUGAAAAUUUAAAAAAUGUGUACGUAUGUAUAUAUAUGACAAAAUGUAAGUAUGUACAUAUACAACAAAAUUUGAAACUAAAAAUGACAUAAAUAAGUAAAUCAUAACAAUAAUAAUAAUAAUGAAAUAUAAUAGUAAUAAUAAUAUUAAAAUAAUUAAUUCAAUGCUAAAAUAACUCUAAUAACACAUAUGGGAUUCAAUAAAAAAUAGUUUAAAAAUAAUAAUAAAAAUAACAGACCCAGGACUGAAUUGGAAAAUAAAUAAAAUAAAAGGGGAAAAUUUUAAAGAGAAAAAAAAUCUGGACCCGAACAAAACGUGCGCAAAGAAAUGGGGACCGAUUGGGAAAAUACCCCUAGCCUUGCACACAGCGUUUUAACGGAUUAAAAAGAAAUAAGUAAAAAGAUAUAGGGCCAAAUUAAAUGAAAAGAAAAAACAGAAAAGGACCAAAUUGCAACACUUCGCGAAGGAGGAAGGACUGCGCGCAUAAUUAUACCAUUUAGGUAAACACGCGGAUCCUUUGCCUGGAGCGGGUCGGGUUGCGGGUCGGCCUCCCCAAAACGAUGUCGUUUUAUGUCUGUGGAGGCCACCCAAAACGCUGCCGUUUCAGCUCUCCAUUUAAGCCCUCUGUUUAUUUUUUUGUUCAUUUAUUCCCCCCAUUAGAAAAAAAUCCAUGCCUUCCGGCGGUUGGGCUUCUCACCGCCGUUCAUCGUCCGGCGCACCGCCACUAAACCGACGGCCGACAAAGCGUGAUGAAGGGAUUUUAAAGCCCGACUCUAGGCGAGCUAUGAGGUCGGGCUUCGACUGGAGGAGACGAAGAGCCUUGCACCCCAUUUUCAAACCCGAUUUCGAUGACGGCGAGAGGACAUCCGUCGACGGAGCUACAAAAAGAUUCAGGUGCGCUCCUUUUCUUUUUUUGUUAUUAUUUCUAUACUUUUCUUAUUAAAAUGAAGUUGUAAAAAGAAAAAAAGAUAACAAAAUAAAAUGAAAUAAACGAAUCGAAAACAGUAAAUGUUUAACCAUUUUGAACUUUUAUUUUUGCUAUUUUGAUUUCUAAUGUGCGUAAAAAAAUACGAAGAUGAUGUUCGGGCUCUUAUAGCCGGAUUAAACAACUCUUAGGUUCUAUUUUUUUGUCGUUUUGCCAUUGUUUCUUCCACUGUUGCGUGCGGGUCUUCAUUUUGCAGGCGUCAGACCGUCGGCAGUGGCAGAAGGCGUGCGUAAGGAGGCUGGGAGUGCAGGUAGAGGACUAGGGCGCGGCGCACAUAAGGCUGGGUGUAAUACCCAAUUUAUGCCCGGCCCAUUUUGUUAAACCAAAUAAAAAAGAAAAGAAAAACAAAAUAUUUAAGUUUAGCCCAAAUGUCCAUUUACACAGACCAAUUACAAUUACAAUUAAAAAAAAAACUAAAACUAAACCCGAUCCUAAGCAUCAGCCCGAAUUCGACCCAUGCCAAAAACGAAUUCAGAUGCAGAAACCCUAGCCCAGCCUCAACGCAAGCAAAAGUUGGAAGCCCUAAUGGUUGGUGUGCCGCUCCUGCCUUCAGCACGCGUCGAGCCUCCACGCCACGCACGCCCCAACUAGCCUCUGUACUUGCCACGUCCCCUAACACCAUAUGCCGUACCUGCGAACGCAAACAAAACACAGCAGAGAGAACAAAUAUUAUUAUUAUUUACUUUUUAUAUUCGGCUAUAAGAGGAGAUAGAAGAGGAUUGUAAGUUUUUUUUACGGAGAUUUGAAAUAGAAAUCAGAGAAAAAUUUAGAAUACGAAAGGUGAUUCAAACUUUUGUUUUGUUUUUUGGUUUUCGUCUGUUAAUCCCUUUUUUUUUGUGUUUCAGGUGACUGAUUGUUCAGCAAAGGUUAAGGAAAAAACAAUAAAAAGAAAAGAGAGAACGUACCUGGCUCCGACUUGCCUUCUACUUCGUCGUAAUCGGAGCCGGAAGGAGGUUAUAGGCGACACGGCCCACCAACGGAGCUCCGUUCACUCCGUCUGAAAUCGGAGAUGAAUGGGGAUUUCGGGAUUGCGGCGCAUAGGGUAGAAGAAACCAUUUUUUAGGGUUUCUUAGUUUUUUUGAAAAAGAGAUUGAAAAUCUGUUGGUUUUAGGCUUAGUUUAGCCUUUAUUUACUGAAAGAAAUGACGCCGUUUAGGGGUUUAUGGCCAUAACCCGAUGACCCGACCCGAGCGUGGUAAGACCCGCGCGUUUUGGUCUUGAAGGGGACAUUUGCGCCAUCAGUCCCUCUGAUUUGUUUCGUAGUUUCAAUCUGAUCUUUCUUUAUUUUCUAAAUUGGUCCCAUAUGUUCGACUUGAUUAUGCUUUGGUCCCUGUUGAAACAAAGCGUUUUGGAGCUGAGGAUAUUUUCAUCUUUAGCCCCCAUGUUAUUCGCGCGUGCCCUUUUUGGUCCUCAAUUCUGCUUUAUUUUCAUUUUUUCCUUUUCAUUUCGAAUUUAAUACAAUUUUGUCCAUACUUAUUUAAUUUAAUGUACUUGGUUUUUAUGCUGUUUACAUUUUUAUUUUUUUUCUUUUUAUUUUUUUGAUAUAUUUAUUUUAAAAUUUAACUCUUUUUUGUUUAAGUUUAAUAUAUUUUUAAUUUUAUUAAUACUAUUUCAAUAUUAUAAUAUAUUAUUAUUGUGAAUCUAUCAUUAUUAUAUUAUAAAUUUACCAUGUUUUAUUGUUCAAAAUUUAUUAUAUAUCAUUAUUUACAGUUCCACAUUUUUAUAUAUAUUUUCAUGUAAAUCCAAUAUGUUUUAUAUACAUUUCAUAUUUUAUUCUAUAAUAUAUUUCCUCUAAAUUCACUAAUUACAUAUCUUUAGAUUUGUAAAUAAUUUUUAUAAUGCUAUUAUACAAUAAUAUUAUAUGCGUACAUAUUUCAUAUUAAAUUAUUUUCAUUAUCCAUACAUACAUAAUCUAUUAUUAAUUUCAUAUUAUUAUAUAGAUAUUUUAUCCCUUUCAAAUAUUUUCACAUUUUUAAUUUAUUUCAACUUAUUUCAAUAUUGUUACUUUAUUUAAAUUAUUUUAACAUUUUAAUUCAUAUAUUAUACUUAUUUCUUAAAUUGUGUUUAAAUUUGUAUAUUUCAUUAGUGUUUAUGUAAAUUUACUUGGCUUCAAUUAGUCUUCUAUUACUUGCCAAUGUUGGUAUUCGUAUGAUAUAUGGUUGAGAUAAUUAUUGCCAUGCUUCUUUGAAUUUAUUUAUUGAUUAUUGAUUAUUCAUUAAAGUACAUUCUAAUUUACAAAUCACCAUUUAGCGUUGUACAUUACUAUUUCAUUGUUAUUUGUUCAAAAGAUUACGUUCAAUAUCAUUCAAAUACCAAGAGCAUUUUUAUUCAAAAAGUAUUCAAAAAUCUUCAAAAUACUCGAAGUUUGGAAUCCUCGAGAGAAUUGAGCCCUAACGUAUUAGGUUCCAAUUUUCCCCGUCGAAUCUAAAUAAUCAAAAAUUUUCAAACAUACAAAUCUCAAAUAAAAACUCAUUCUUGGGAAUUCGACACGUUGUGUCCUAACGCAUUGGAUAUGACAUGUUAUUUUCUCGAGACGAGGAUUUUAAAAAUAAAGGCAAUGUUCGAUAUUUAGGAAUUUUGUGAAAUCGAACCCUAACUUACUGGGUUUUGAUUUUCUCAUUUGACCCAAAUAAUCUGAUAUCCUUCUCAAAAUGCAUAGGUUUUAAAAGUCAAAGGGUAAACUUAACUUUGAAGAUUUGAAAUAUUGCACUCUAACUUAUUGAGUGUGACAAUUUAUUUCUUUGGAAUAAGUGAACCUUAUCAUCCAAUUAAGUUUAUUCAAGAUAAAAGGAUCGAAUUUAAAAAUCUUUUCAAAAUUUCGACAUUAAGACAUUAAACAAUCAAUUCGGUACCAAUUUUGGGCGUCACGAUGGUGCUAACCCUUCCUCGUGCGUAACCGACUCCCGAACCCAUUUUCUCAAAUUUUGCAGACCAAAAUCAUUUUCAAGGUGAGUCGAUCACACCUCAAUAAAGGAUCGGUGGCGACUCCUAUUUUCCUUUUCAAGUCGAUUCCCGUUUUUUCGAAUUUGAAAAUUGGUUUCGACAGCUUGGGGACUCCACUGGGGACUUUAGAGAGCCAAGCCAUAAAAUUGAUUGUUUUCUGUCUUAUUAUCGAGAUUUGAUUUGAAAAAUUACGACCUGUUCUUUGCACUUGCUUGCAUGAUUAUUGUAAAUUGACUCGUAUAUUUUGGCAUCAUAUUGCAUAAGACUGUUUAGUCUUGUCCUUUUAAUUGGAAGUGAGAAGCUAAUCUUUCGUGAGGUUUUCACCUCCGUGCAGGAUAGUGAAUCACUUUAAGGAUACAUCCGUACCUAUGUCUUCGUGAGAUUUUCAUCUCCAUGUAGCCAUAGGGAAAUGUAUUCCCCUAAACCGAACUCGGUCUGUAUGAGCCUAUAAUGGAUGAGGAUCGAGGAAUCUACUGGUUCGGGUACCUUGACUUUAGAACCAAACCUCAUAUAGUGGACUUAGGAACUCAACCUAGGUAGAGCCACUCCAAAUCCCUAGUGGUUACCUGAUUAGGUACUUUCUGUUUUCCUUAUUUACUUCUGUUUUGUACUAACCCCUUUUAUUGUGUUUUGAUUGUGAUUGCAUUGCAUUUGCAUCUUAGGAAAGAGAUAUUGAUUCAAGUCCAACUACUAAAUUAGAAAGCUUGUCAUGGGAUACAGAUUCCUUGAUAAAGUGGAAAUCAAUACAGCUACCUUAAUAUAUUCUGAAAAACAUAUGGAAGAGUUCGUGACCUUGCUUCGUAGCCAGAGGAUUCAAGGUGAUUGUCUAAGAGCCUUCGACGUUCCAACUAUCUUAAAGAAGCUGACGAGCUUUAUAAAGAUGGGCAGGUGAUGGAUCGCAACUAAGAUCAAGAAAAGGAGCUAGCAGUGGCAUCUAUUGGAAAUUGGUGAGAUUAUCUCAAACAUGCAGAUGAAGAAAAGAUCGAUGUUGUUUCUUGGACUAUGAGGGUGAGGCCGUACAUGUAUCUGUUUUGUGUAAAGGAAUUUGCUUUCUAGAAAAGUUUCCUAAAUGUAAUUGAAUUAGAAUCAACGUCUCUGUAGGCAUGCAUUUCAAACAUCUGCAUCGUAUGCAUUAAAACCCAUUGAAAGAGUCUAAACGAGUAAAUUUGUUUCAGCUAAUCUGGAAAACCAAUCAACCAAACAUCCUUACGGUACUCAUCGCAAAGCCAAAGAAAUGGAUCAAAGAUUAGAGAAAUUGGAGCAAAUGCAAAAAGAAAUACAAGAUCAGCUAUAGAAACAAAUGAAAGAGCAAUUGGAAAAAAUUCAACAGGACAUGACAAAAAGGAUGCGGGAGUCUCAAAAGGACAUGAUAACUGAGCUGACACAAUUACUAAAAGGAAUAAAUAAGGGGAAAGGCCCUAUGGUAAAUGAUGAAGGAGAAGACAAGGAUAGACCUAUCUAUCCUCUAGGCCUUACGCCUUUGCAUGCGUAGAUUCAGACCUAGGUACCUCGGCGCAGAUCCUCUGUUGCAAUUGAGCCUCAGCGGUUUCAAACCGAUGUUUCAAUGCCGAUGAACUUUCAGGCUGGAUCAGGUUCUAAUCCUAGAGGUAACCCAGUGAAUCUUGUUAUUCCUGAUUUCGAUGAAAUGGCUGAAAAAGAGAAGGCAAAGGUCGAACUGUCGAAACAAUGGGAGGAUAGGUGUAAAUGGUUGGAGGAAAAAUUCAAAGCCCUGGAAAGUGCUGACAGUCACCAUAGAAUCGAUGCAAAAGAUCUGAGCUUGGUUCCAGACUUAGUACUCCCUCACAAGUUUAAGAUGCCUGAAUUUGAGAAAUAUAGUGGGACCAAUUGCCCAGAAGCCCAUAUCACCAUGUUCUGUAGGAGAAUCACUGGGUAUAUUAACAAUGAUCAGCUCUUAAUACGUUGUUUUCAGGAUAGCCUCAUUGGAGCAGCAUCGAAAUGGUACAAUCAGUUGAGCCGUACCGAUAUUGGUUCAUAGAGGGACCUAGCACAGGCCUUCAUAAAAUAAUACGGUCAUGUAAUGGAUAUGGUUCCUGACAGAAUCACCUUGCAAAAUUUGGAAAAUAAAUCAAAUGAAAGCUUUAGACAGUAUGCAUAGAGGUGGAGAGAGGUUGCAGUCCAAGUCUAGCCGCCACUCCUAGAGAAAAAAAUUAUGAUGCUCUUUAUCAACACUUUGAAGGCCCCGUUCAUCACUUACAUGUUGGGAAACGCUUCGAAGAGUUUUUCAGAUAUAAUCAUGAAUGGCGAAAUGAUUGAAAAUGCCAUAAAAAUGGAAGAAUAAAUACUAGAGAGAGUAACAAAAAAUCAGUGGCAAGGAGAAAAGGGGAUGACAUGAAUAACAUAAGUUACUCAAGGUCAGUAAGUCAUCCAGGUAAAGGGGUCACUAGUCAACAAGGUUCAUUGAGACAAGAAUCUGGAGUGAAACCAAGUACUGAGAAGCUCCAGUUUACACCAAUUCCGAUGACGUAUAAUGAGCUGUAUCAACGCUUAUUCGAUGUGCGCGUUGUUGCCCCUUUUUACUCAAAACCCCUGCAACCUCCGUACCCCAAGUGGUAUGAUGCAAAUGCACAGUGCAAUUAUCAUGCGAGAAUUGGGGGACAUUCGAUAGAAAAUUACACUGUCUUUAAAAAGCUUAUUGAAAGGCUCAUUAACAUGGAUGUUGUCAAGCUUGAUGACUCUAGUGUAGAAAAUCCGUUACCCAAUCAUAUUUGAUAAUGGAGUGAAUGCAAUGCAUGAAGAAGAGUGGGAAAUGUUACAUCAACGAAAAGCAACUGAAGAAGGGACCUUGUAAAUUUGGGAGUGUUCUAAGCAAUUGGGCUGCGGAAGAAAGCCCUGUAGUUUUUAGAACUUAUUUAGAGCAAUGUUCAGAAAAUUUUUGUUAUUUUUAGCCUAAAAAUGAUAGAAAUUCCUUUGUGAAAUAGGCUAAUGUCUGAACGUCAUUAUUCUAAUAAAAUACAUCUUUGCAUUCAUUUUUGAGCUAAUUCUUUCCUUCUUUUUGAAUAAUUACUCAUUUAUUGUUUUAAAUUAUCUUCCACAUCAUUCUUUCAUUCAUAAUUAUAUGGUACAAAUAAUUAUUCAUGAAUUUAUACAUUCUUUUGUACAUUCUUCGGUACUUAUUAUGGGUUCCCAGAUAUCAAUUACGUGAAUGACUCUGCUACAGACCCAGAUUUUCCUUUUGAACGAGGCAUAUGUUUAGAGGGAUUUCGUGACUUUGAAAAUGACAUGGAUUGUAACCUAUCUUCUGACUUGUUGAGGAUGGUAGAGAGGAAAUUUUACCCUACAAGGAGAUAAUAGAGAUUGCGACCUCAAAGAAACGUGCAUGGCCGGAGAAACAAAGUAGGGCCUCGUCGAGUCACCUCUAGAGUUCAAAGAGGCCUUUGUAUGGUCAUACCAGGAUACGUCCGGGUUAACCGUUGAUAAUGAAAUCUGCACAACAGCACGAUGGCAGAACUUUACAGUAUGAACGAUGCAAUUCUUUGUCGGGGCAAUGCCUUUCUCGUUGGCUCAGCAUAGCUUCGCCCAUUUACAGUCGAGUUUUCAUCUCUUCAAGUUUUGUUGGAUCUUAUCCUGAUGGAAGAGGAAGAUCAAAAGUUUUCAGUCACAGUGUCACCCCAAAAGGCUCUAUGAAGGAAAUCUGAUAUCAAAGAAGAUUCUUAGAAAGGGAUAAUGAGGACUUGCCUAACCCUAUGAGCUCAAAAAAAAAUCAAAAAACAAAGAAGAACAAGAAAAAUCAAAAUCAAGCUCAAAAUGAAAAUGAGAGAAAAAUAAAGAAGAACGAAAAAGAAAAAAUCUAGAUGAAAAAAAUCAAAAUAAAAAUGAGAAAAAGAAAAGAAAAGGAGAGGCUAAGGCGAAAACCCGCAAAGAGCACUUUGUGACCAAAUCUGGUUUUGAGUUGAAAACCUGAAAAGGGCGACUUAAAUUUUGAGCAAAAUAGGGCAUGGACAUCUCCAUCAUUGAAGGCUUUUAAUGGGCAUUGCUUCACUGUUGAGGUCAUUAAUUACUUCAUCAAAGGGAUAGAGGCUGCUUCGUACGCUAAUGUCGUCAUAUGCUUAUUCCAGAGAAGAUGAUAUUGGAAAAUGUAUUGAACUUGAACAAUAGCAUGAUAGUUGAGGCCUGCAAUCAAUUCAGAAGCAGACACCACGUUUCGUCACUAAAUUGCUUAGAGAUGAACAAUGACUGGCAUGAGAAAUUACCAUUUGCCCUCAUUGUUUGUCGAACAUCUGUUCUGGGGCAACACCUCUCCUUGGUUUACAGGAUUGAUGUAGUUUUACCUAUUGAAAUCCCCUCUCUCCGGGUAUUAGAGUUGGAGGGAUCCAAUCACGAUGUGAUCAGUUGGACCUAGGAAAAAGGUUAAAAGCUAUUCAUCAGGGUCGCAUGUACCAAAAACAAAUGAUACGAGCCCAUAAUAAGCAGGGUCGUCUCAAAGAAUUCCAUGAGAGGGCUGGAUGUUGAAAAGAUCCUUCCUCAACAAAAGGAUUAUAGAGGGAAAUGAAUGCCAAAUCGGGAAUGUCCCUAUGUUGUAAAAAAGAAUUUUUUCAGAAGAGCACAGAUUCUGAGUGAGAUUACUAAUCCUAUAAACUCAGAUCCAGUCAAGAAAUACUUCGUUUAAAGAAGAAAAAAGUGACCAAGGUGAAGACUCGCAGAGGGCACUUUGAGUAAAAAAAAAGAACAAAAAAGAGAAGAAGAAUGAAAAUUGAAAAAAUGAAAAAUAAAAAAGUAAAAAUGGAGAGGCUAAUGUGAAAACCUGCAAAGGGUGCCUUGAGACCAAAGGGGAUUUGAGCUGAAACCCGAAAAGGGCGGCUCAAAUAUUGAUUAGAAUGGGGCAUGAAGCGAUUAGAGCAACUCGUAUCUUGAUCAGAUUAGGGCAUGUGGUAAUCUUGUUAUAUCUGAAUCAACAGGAAAUGGUAGGCGACAUCUUGGGGCAUCGACAAAGCACUGUAGAUCUCUCAAACACAUAUCAAACUCAAAAGGUUCAGAAAGUUUGUACAGAGAAGUUCAAGCUGCAAUAUCUAGGGCACCCAAUUCUCAUAUUAUUAUUUGUUGUUCUUGGAAUAUUUUUUUCUUUUCCAAGAUAUACAUUCCCAAUUAAUUCCUUUGUCAUCCUUCUUUACCAUUUUCGAUAAUUCGUUCUUUCGAGCUAUGCUCAGAACCAACUUUAUUCUUAUCCAUUGUUAUGACCUUUUUUGCAAACAUGUUGCGUUGGAAUAAUGAUUAAUGGACUAAUAAAAAUUUCACAAAGGAAGUUUUGCAUAUUACUCUGAAAAGUUUCUAAAUAAUAUAGGAGCCUGAAACAGGACUAUUGUUUAGAGCACACCAAAUUUAAAGAUUGGAAAUUUGAGAAGGAAGAGUCUAAAUUUGGACUUUCUCUUUGGAUUUUGUUGUCAAAUGCAUUGAUUGGCAAGAUGCCAUGUUGGUGACAAAGCUUAAGUAAACAAGCAAGCAAUGAUCACCAGGCAAGAGGAAGAGGUUACCUCAGAGAAAAGAGCCUUCAUCUGCACAUAAGUCUUUGGUACGGCACCUUGUGAAUGGUGCAAGGAACUCAAACGAUUUAGAUUCUAUAUCCUUGAAUUGUGAUAAGAGAUGAUUGAGGAAAAGCCACCUAUUUCUACCCUUGGAUUGCAGUGGGAGAAUGAUGGCACAAAUUGUGCGCCCUAAUGGAUUAAACUUUAAGGUUUACAGUGGAGGCAACCUGGCUAAAUGUUUUUCAGAAAAGCCGGUCAAGCGAGAAGGCGUUGUAACACGUCAGUGUUAAAACCUUGAUAAAUUUCGAGUAAUGACAACCUAAGCGGGAUCAUUCUCAGAAAAAUAAAAUUCUGCAUUCAUGCAAACACUAUUCAUAUGUCUAGUUAGGAGCAUUUGAUUCAAUUUGAUCAUGCCAUCCUAAUCAUUAGGCAUAAUUAGGUUCAUUAUACAGGUCAUGUUCCCCAGAGAACAAAUCUGGGAAAUUACAGAUCUUGUCUCCCUAAGCAAUAGCGGAGCAGAUCGAAGACGGCAAAUCUUAUCUCUCUAAUGUUACAGCGGAGCAGAUUGAAGCUAGUAUUCCUAUCUCCCUGAGAUUAUUGUGGAGCGGAUUAAAAUAAAGGAUCUUAUCUCUCUGAAGUUACAGUAGAAUAGAUCGCAUCAGAUUGAAGCCAGAAAUCUUAUCUCCCUAAGAUUACAGCGGAGCAGAUUGAAGCUAGUAAUCUUGUCUCCCUGAGAUUAAAGUGGAGCGGAUUAAAAUAAAGGAUCUUAUCUCUCUGAAGUUACAGUAGAGUAGAUCGCAUCAGGUUUUAUCUCCUUGAGAUUAUGGUGGAAUAGACCGAAGAAUUACAGAUCUUAUCUCCCAAGUGAUGUAGUGGAACAGAUUAAAGCCACAUCGGUGAAUCUUGCUUCCCCGACAUUGCAGUUAAAAAGAUUAAAGCCACAGCGGCAAAUCUUACUUCUCUAGCGAUGCAGUGGAGCAAAUUAAAGCUACAUCGGUGAAUCUCACUUCUCCGACAUUGCAGAUUAAAGCCACAGCGGCGAAUCCUACUUCCUUGGCGAUGUCGUGGAACAGAUUAAAGCCACAACGGUGAAUCUUGCUUCCCCGACAUUGCAGUUAAAAGGAUUAAAGCUACAACAGCGAAUCUUACCUCCCAAGCAAUGCAGUGGAACAGAUUAAAGCCACAACGGUGAAUCUUGCCUCCAUGACAUUGCAGUUAAAAAGACUAAAGCUACAACGGCGAGUGUUACUUCCCUGGCAAUGCAGUGAAGCAGAUUAAAGCCACAACGGUGAAUCUUGCUUUCCCGACAUUGCAGUUAAAAAGAUCAAAGUCACAAUGACAAAUCUCACUCUCUCAGCCAGUGCAGUAGAGCAGAUUAAAGCCACAACGGUGAAUCUUGCCUUUCCGACAUUACAGCUAAAAGGAUUAAAGUCACAACGACGAAUCUUACCUCCCAGGAGGUGCAGUGGAACGAAUUAAAGCCACAAUAGUGAAUCUGGCCUCCCUGACAUUGCGGUUAAAAAGAUUAAAGCUACAGUAGUGAAUCUUACAUUCCAAGGCAGUGCAGUGAAGCAGAUUAAAGCCACAACGAUGAAUCUUGCUUCCCCGAUAUUUCAGUUAAAAAGAUUAAAGCCACGAUGGCGAAUCUUACUUUCCAAAAGUUACGAGUUACAAAUCCUAUCUCCCUGAUAUUACAGUGGAGUGGAUCGAAGCACUAAUUCCUAUACCUCUGAAGAUGCAGUAGGAUGGAAUGAGGCAACUCGAAGAAGAAGAGCACCAAGGUCUAUCACGACCGGGCAAAAUUGGCCCUUUUUAGUCUUUGUGUCAUUCCUGUUACACAACAAUGAGCAAAGAGGGGCAACUGUAAUACCCAAUUUAUGCCCGGGCCAUUUUGUUAAACCAAAUAAAAAAGAAAAGAAAAGCAAAAUAUUUAAGUUUAGCCCAAAUGUCAAUUUACACAGCCCAAUUACAAUUACAAUUAAAAAAAAACUAAAACUAAACCCGAUCCUAAGCAUCAGCCCGAAUUCGACCCAUGUCGAAAACGAAUUCAAAUGCAAAAACCCUAGCCCAGCCUCAACGCAAGCAAAAGUCGAAAGCCCUAAUGGUUGGUGCGCCGCUCCUGCCUUCAGCACACGUCGAGCCUCCGUGCCACGCACGCCCCAGCUAGCCUCUGUACUUGCCACGUCCCCUAACACCAUACGCCGUACCUGCGAACGCAAACAAAACACAGCAGAGAGAACAAAUAUUAUUAUUUUUAUUUACUUUUUAUAUUCGGCUAUAAGAGGAGAUAAAAGAGGAUUGUAAGUUUUAUUAUGGAGAUUUGAAAUAGAAAUCAGAGAAAAAUUUAGAAUACGAAAGCUGAUUCAAACUUUUGUUUUGUUUUUUGGUUUUCGUCUGUUAAUCCCUUUUUUUGUGUGUUUCGGGUGACUGAUUGCUCAACAAAGGUUAAGGAAAAAAUAAUAAAAAGAAAAGAGAGAACAUACCUGGCUCCGACUUGCCUUCUACUCCGUCGCAAUCGGAGCCGGAAGGAGGUUAAAGGCGAAACGGCGCACCAACGGAGCUCCGUUCACUCCGUCCGAAAUCGAAGAUGAAUGGGGAUUUCAGGAUUGCGGCGCAUAGGGGAGAAGAGACCAUUUUUUAGGGUUUCUUAUUUUUUUUGAAAAAGAGAUUGAAAAUCUGUUGGUUUUAGGCUUAGUUUAGCCUUUAUUUACUGAAAGAAACGACGCCGUUUAGGGGUUUAUGGCCAUAACCCGAUGACCCUACCCGAGCAUGGUAAAACCCGCGCGUUUUGGUCUUGGAGGGGACAUUUGCGCAAUCAGUCCCUCUGAUUUGUUUCGUAGUUUCAAUCUGAUCUUUCUUUAUUUUCUAAAUUGGUCCCAUAUGUUCGACUUGAUUAUGCUUUGGUCCCUGUUGAAACGCAUCGUUUUGGAGCUAAGGAUAUUUUCCUUUUUAGCCCCCAUGUUAUUCGCGCGUGCCCUUUUUGGUCCUCAAUUCUGCUUUAUUUUCAUUUUUUUCCUUUUUAUUUCGAAUUUAAUACAAUUUUGUCCAUACUUAUUUAAUUUAAUGUACUUGGUUUUUUAUGCUGUUUACAUUUUUAUUUUUUUUCUUUUUAUUUUUUUGAUAUAUUUAUUUUAAAAUUUAACUCUUUUUUGUUUAAGUUUAAUAUAUUUUAAUUUUAUUAAUACUAUUUCAAUAUUAUAAUAUAUUAUUAUUUUGAAUCUAUCAUUAGUUUAUUAUAAAUUUNNNNNNNNNNNNNNNNNNNNNNNNNNNNNNNNNNNNNNNNNNNNNNNNNNNNNNNNNNNNNNNNNNNNNNNNNNNNNNNNNNNNNNNNNNNNNNNNNNNNNNNNNNNNNNNNNNNNNNNNNNNNNNNNNNNNNNNNNNNNNNNNNNNNNNNNNNNNNNNNNNNNNNNNNNNNAAUGCUAUUAUAUAAUAAUAUUAUAUGCGUACAUAUUUCAUAUUAAAUUAUUUUCAUUAUCCAUACAUACAUAAUCUAUUAUUAAUUUCAUAUUAUUAUAUAGAUAUUUUAUCCCUUUCAAAUAUUUUCACAUUUUUAAUUUAUUUCAAUAAUUUUAAUUUAUUUAAAUUUAUUUUAACAUUUCAAUUCAUAUAUUAUACUUAUUUCUUAAAUUGUGUUUAAAUUUGUAUAUUUCAUUAGUGUUUUUGUAAAUUUACUUGGCUUCAAUUAGCCUUCUAUUACUUGCCAAUGUUGGUAUUCGUAUGAUAUAUGGUUGAGAUAAUUAUUGCCAUGCUUCUUUGAAUUUAUUUAUUGAUUAUUGAUUAUUCAUUAAUGUACAUUCUAAUUUACGAAUCACCAUUUAGCGUUGUACAUUAUUAUUUCAUUGUUCUUUGUUCAAAAGAUUACGUUCAAUAUCAUUCAAAUACCAAGAGCAUUUUUAUUCAAAAAGUAUUCAAAAAUCUUCAAAAUACUCGAAGUUUGGAAUCCUCGAGAGAAUUGAGCCCUAACGUAUUGGGUUCCAAUUUUCCUCGUUGAAUCUAAAUAAUCAAAAAUUUUCAAACAUACAAAUUUCAAAUAAAAACUCAUCCUCGGGAAUUCGACACGUUGUGUCCUAACGCAUUGGAUAUGACAUGUUAUUUUCUCGAGACGAGGAUUUUAAAAAUAAAGGCAAUGUUCGAUAUUUAGGAAUUUUGUGAAAUCGAACCCUAACUUACUGGGUUUUGAUUUUCUCAUUUGACCCAAAUAAUCCGAUAUCCUUCUCAAAAUGCAUAGGUUUCAAAAGUCAAAGGAUAAACUUAACUUUGAAGAUUUGAAAUAUUGCACUCUAACUUACUGAGUGUGACAAUUUAUUUCUUUGGAAUAAGUGAACCUUAUCAUCCAAUUCAGUUUAUUCAAGAUAAAAUGAUCGAAUUUAAAAAUCUUUUCAAAAUUUCGACAUUAAGACAUUAAACAAUCAAUUCGGUACCAAUUUUGGGCGUCACGAGGGUGCUAACCCUUCCUCGUGCGUAACUGACUCCCGAACCCAUUUUCUCAAAUUUCGCAGACCAAAAUCAUUUUCAAGGUGAGCCGAUCACACCUCAAUAAAGGAUCGGUGGCGACUCCCAUUUUCCUUUUUAAGUCGAUUCCCAUUUUUUCGAAUUUUAAAAUUGGUUUCGACACUGGGGAUUAGGGUUUUUUUGCUAAAAUGUUUUAGGUUUUUGGGCUUGUUGGGCUAGGUUUUAAUUUGGGCUAGUUUGGGUUUGAUUUGGGCAAUGUAUCUGGACUUGUUAGUUAUUUUGGUUAUUGGGUUAUUUUUCGUUUGGGCCCGGGCAAAAAUGGCCUAUUACAGGAGUUUUGAGUUCAAGUUGAGUAGAAUUUUACGAUUCAAAUAAUAGAUUGGUGUAAAUAUCCUUUCGGUCCCUGUCAAUUUUGAAAUUGAGUAAAUUGAUCUCUCUCAACAAAAAUUACAAAAAAAAAAAUCAAAAUAAUUUAUAAAUUAUUGAAAACCAUGUAUAUUGAAAACAAUGUCCAUGUUAAUUGAGUUAAUACUCAAUUGACAAUUAGAAUUUGUAAAUUUAACUUUUAAUAUUUUAGACACAUAUAGUAAAUCUCAAUGUAUAUUUUAGCGUAAUGAAUUUCUAUUUGUUUAAAGAUGCUUACGGCUCUCAACUGAGAUGCCUGAUUUCCCAACAUAUAUUUUACCUUGGUUCCAGCCUUGUAAAAUGCGGCAAAAUUUAACCUUUUGUGACACGUUCGGCAUCUUCUUACGAUACUUUUGAUAAAAUUAUGGCUAUAUAAACCCACCAUUUUCAUGUUCUUUGCACUAAGAAAUAGUAUAAUUACAAGGAUUAGUUAACAAAAGUAUAUGAAUAUGAAGGGUUUUCCCACUAUUUUUCUUUUUAUUUGCUUCGUUUUAGUUUUUACAAAUUGUUUCAUGGUGGAAGCAGAUACAUGCAAACCUAGCGGUAAGCUUAGAGGGAAAAAGCCUCCUCCAGGUAAAUGUAACAAAGGCCAUGAUUCUGAUUGUUGCCAAGAAGGCAAGUUUUAUAACACGUAUACAUGUUCGCCGCCGGUUUCAAGUCAUACCAAGGCAACCCUAACUCUAAACGGAUUCGGUCCGAAGGAGGACGGUGGCGGUCCAUGUGAAUGCGACAACAACUAUCAUAAAGAUUCAGAAUUGAUCGUGGCACUUUUGACGGGAUGGUUCAACAAGAAAAAACGGUGUAUGAAUUAUAUUAACAUUCACGGUAAUAGAAAAACUGUUAAAGCUAAGGUAGUCGAUGAAUGUGACUCCACGGUGGGGUGUGAUGAUGAACACGUUUACCAGCCUCCGUGUGCCAACAACAUCGUUGAUGCCUCAGAUGCAGUUUGGGAUGCCUUGGGAGUGUAUGGAGAUAAACGUGGCGAAAUGGAGAUAUACUGGUCUGAUGCUUGAUUAUAUUUUUCUGCCUCUCUGUAUUUGCCUUUGUUUCAAGCAAGGGUUGUGGUUCUUUACUCUUUAGCUAUAUGAUAUGUUGUCCUUAAUUAUAUCUAAGGCCUGAAAAUAAAGUUUUAAUUUUAACUAUUUGGUCCUUAAUCUAGGACCUUGUCCCCUUGCUUAAAUGGUCUAAUUCUAUUUAUGCGCUAUUAAAAUACAUUACUUUAAUUUAGUUCAUUUUAACACUUGUAUGAAAAUUUUUAUCUUUUGCCCUUUCUAAAAUUUUAAUUAUUCGAUUUAAAUCAUUCUAGGACCAAAUUUUUAAUUUGACCCUUAAAUUUUUAUUAUCAAUCAUAUGCAACAUUAUAUGAAGGCUAUCUACUCAGCAUAUAUCCAAGUUUACAGAUUUUAAUAGAAAAUACUUAACAAUCCUAAUGGUAAGACUAAGUUUUUUAAACUAGAAAAGUAAGAAGACUUAAUUUUUAACUUUUUAAGUACAAGGAUUAAAUUUUAAAUGUUGUCAAAGUACAAGCGCUAACAAAAUAUUUUGAUCUAAUAAAUGUAAAGAACUUUUUAAACAAAAUAAGGUUGAAAUAAUCUAUUUGUCCUUGUACUUUGAUAAAUUUUGAGAUUUAGCCUUUAUAUUUAAAAGGUUAAAAAUUAAGUCUUCUUGUUUUUAUUUAAAAAUCUUCGUCCUAUCGUUAAUAUUGUUUUUUUUUUUGUGUGUGUCAAAAUUUGCCAACUUUACAUAUUAAUUAGGUUUCCUUUAUAUGUCGUGAUAUAUGACUAACACAAAAUAAGCAAGUUGACAAAUUCUGACAAAAAAUAUCAAAGAUGAUAAUAAUUGGAUUAAAAUUUUUAAAUUGAAUUAAAAACCUUUAACGUAUAAGGAAUGGAUAUCAAAUAUUUAUAGGAAUAAAGGGACUAACAACAUAUUUUAACCAUAAAAUAAUAUGAGUGAUUAGAAUGAAUUAAUCUAAAAUUUUAUAGAAAUAAAAGAGACUAACAACAUAGUUAUAACUUUGAGAUCUCCUUCGAUCAUUCUUUUUCUACGUAGAAAAAGAAAAUUAAUUAGCAUCUAAAGUGUCAAUUAAUGAAACCUUCAAAAGAAAUGUGAAAGUGAUUUAUCAAACAAUAAUAUUCUAACUUAUAAUAUAUUUAAUUACAUUUAGUAAUUUAUUUUUACAUUUAGUUAUAACUUAUAAUGUGAGAUAUCUUUUUCUAAACGAGUUUUGUUUUCUUUUUAAAAUAUUUUUAAUAUUUUUGUGGAUAUCAAGAGAAACCAAAAAUUAUUUCACUAAGAAAUUUUAAUUCACUCGAAAAGUUAAUAUUUUAUUUUUGUGGAUAUCAAAAAUUAUUUCACUAAGGAAUUAAUUAGUGUUUUAUUUUAAGGGUUCACAAUUAAACAUUAGAUUUUUCAUUUUUAUAUUUUAAAAUUAUAUGAAAUUUUCUUCACAUUACUCCACAUAAUCCAUUAAAAAAACUUAAAAAAUAUAUUUUAUUAAUUACUAUAUAUUCUUUUAUUUUUAGAAUAAUAAAUUGUUUAAAAUAUGCUAAUAGUCCCUACAAUUUAAAAAUUAAAAGUAAUUGGGAUCUGAGUGCAUCAAAUUCCUCCUUUUAUUAUUAAAUGUUUUAUUUGAGUUACUCUAAUUAUAUAUAUCCAAAUUGUAAUAGAGGGAAGCCCCCAUAAAAGGUGGUUCUAUGGGUAUGAACCUUCAAGCUUUUGUGGAUGAUGUCACUCAAGGUUGUUGCAAGUAAAUUUAAUUUUUUUAAUUAUUUUUUGUUAAAAAAUAUUUUUUUUAUUUUUUUUAUGUGGCAUGCCACAUUAUCAUAUUAUCAUGUGACAACUUUUGGUAAUUUCUGUUUGUAACAUUAGUCAAAUCAAUUAUUAAAUCGUUCAACUCACAAUUUUUAUUACAUGAAGAGGUCAAUUGAUUUUUUUUUUGGAAUCACUGAGUACUCAAUUGGUGCACUUUUUUCAUAAAGGUUAAAUUAAUUUUUUAAUUUGUUACUGUUGAGGGCUAUAGCAAUAAACUAAAAAAAAUUGAGAUAAAAUGAAAAAAAUGUUAGAGCUAAAUUUGUCAUUAUGCCUAAAAUGUAAAACCAAAAUUUUUUGAAAAUGAAAAUAAUGGAAAAUCACAAAUUCUGUCACUUAUGUUUGCUUAAAAUUAUAGUUUUGGUCACCAAUCUUUUGAAAACGCAAGAAAGGAUUAAAUGACAUUGGGAUACCAUCAAACUUGUAUCUUUUUUUAUUCAUCUAAUGCCAUUUCAACAUUUAUAUUUAAAAAAAUUGACAUACCAUUUUGAAUUUGAUCUUUGUCAAGAUGAAAAUAUUAAAAUAAUGUUAAAUUAUUGGAAAGAGAUACAAGUUUCAUGGUAUCUCAAAUUCAUUUAAUCUUUUAUCUCUCUAAGAAAGCUGAUGUAACACAUUAAUGACAUCAUUUCAAACAAAGUUUUAGGUCAAAUUGUUCAUCUAGUCCUUGUAAUUGUUUUCAGGUGAAUUUCAUUAUUAUUCUUUUAUUUUCUUUGGCUUAAAUACACAUUUACCCCUAAUUUUAUCACAUUCUCCUUCAUUGGUAUUUAUGGUUUAGAAAAUUUUACAAAUAUAUUAUUUUUUAAGAAAUUAUAAGAAGAUUACAAAAAUUCCAAAAUAAUAUAAAAAAAAGCUAAGAAAAACCUAGAAAUACAAAAAAAAAAAUCAUGUUUUUACAAAUUGGGAAAUACCUAAAUUUGUUUUCAUCAAUUAAGAAAUUAAAAAAAUUGUUGAGAAAUAUCUUUUUAGAGAUUCUUAGCUUUGAGUCGUAUCAUUAUUUUAUUAAGUUUUGGGUAAUAUUAUUUUUGGGCACCCCUAUUUAAUUGCAAUUUCUUUUAUGGACCCUAUUAUAUUCCAUUUCAUAUAAGUUUUUAUUGUUUCAGUUUGGUGCACCAUUAUUUGUUAUUAUUUGCUCCUUCAACAGUAUCAGUAUAACCAACCUAAGAAAGAUAAACUAACGUAGAAAUAGGAUGAGUGACGGAUCACGUAGUUUGGACCCAUAAUAUUUCCCUUGAUUUGAUUAUAAAACUUUUGACUUAAACAUGCCAAAAAGACAAUUCCAGAGCGUGGAAACCUGGAGGAAGAUCGCUUUUUUCCCCUGCAUAAAAUGAAGAAGACAAAUGAAGAUUAACAAUUUGUGUUGGGAAAUUAACGUAGAGUUCGUGUGAUGUGGGUUAAUGUUCUGGUUUUUCUUCUCACCCAUUUGCUCACAGGCAUGAGUAUAAUCUUUAACCAAGACUAUGUAUGCAUAACAGAGUCUGGUAGUUUCACAACCAACAGUACAUAUGGUAAAAACCUUGACCAUAUUCUCAAUUCUCUCCCAGAUAAUGUCUCUAAAAGUGGUGGUUUCUUUACUGCCACCGCUGGCCAAGACUCCAACAAAGCUUACGCUCUUGGGCUGUGCAGUGGAGACUUAAAUCCACACGAUUGUUAUGGCCUUGUGAAAUCCGCGGUUCCUGAUCUCAGAGAUAAAUGUCCCGAUCAGAAAGAAGCCAUUUCAUGGUCAGGUGAUCCCGCAUGUAUUGUACGCUAUGCAAAUCGCCCCUUUUUUGGAAUCCUGGAGCUAGAGCCUACUACUGCUGGCACUAUCACGCACGACAUCGGCUCCAACUUACGACGAUUUGAUACGAUUUGGGAGAGUUUAACGGACGGUUUGGUGAGAAACGCUUCCAACGGCUCUUCUAGUCGUAAAUAUGCAACUGCCGAAGCAUAUUUUACAGUAUCUCAAAACAUAGAUGCACAAAUGCAGUGCACUCCAGACAUAUCACAGGAGGAAUGUGAUUCCUGCCUACGGGCCGCCAAGAGUUCCUUUAAAGAAUGUUGCCAUGGGAAGCAAGGAGGUUAUGUCCAGAAGCCUAACUGUAUGUUUACAUUCGACUUGAUUCCCACAAGUACACAAGGUUAGUACGCAUCUGAUUAAAGUAAAUGAAAAAUCUACUACUACUCUUAUCUCUUUUUAACAUCCUCUAGUUGUCAAAUAUUAUACUUAUAGAAUGCAAAAUUAAAAAUUUGAAAUAUAGAAACCAAGUAUUCAUCCAAUCUUUAAUAUGGUUUGAGAGCCUUCUUUUCUAUUCCUUCGUACCCUCAUUAUCUCUGAUUGCAUUUGGAUCAAACAAAAAACUGCAGGCUUUCCUUCUCCUUUUCAUUUGUUAGAACAAAAGAAAUGACAAUUCCACAGUUGACUGAUUAAGUGGGUUAGCCAGUCAAUUUCUCUUGUAUUCAUCCAAUGUGGAGAUGGGUUGUCAGCACACUUAGCAUCUAGUCUAUACAAUGUCCUAGGAAAUGAGUUGCAAGUUGUGAUUUGUUGUUUCGUAAGGGUAGUUGAGUAGUUGUGUUUCUUGUUAAUUACAUGUAGUUUCCAAGAUUUUGAUAAGAUCUGUUUAUCUUGGAAAGACCAAAAACCAGAGGAGAACCAGAACAAAUCAAUCUGGGUUCCACUUGGUGAAAGUUUAUCGGCGAUUCUUGGUCUAGCUUUGGUUUCUGCUUGCGGUAUCUUCCUAUGGAAAAGGACAAACAUUCAAGGUAUGCACUAUUAGAUCAUGUUGACAUUUUUCCAAUUUUGGCUAUAAUCUUACGCCAAUCACAUUAUAUCUUAUUACAGGGGAUAAAGAAGAUAGCCAAGAAGUUCAAUUACUUGACUUAGUAAUCGGAAGCAGGAAUCAUAAGAACUCGAGCGAAAAUGUUGAAACAUCUCAAGAGUUUCCUUCAAUUAAAUUGGAUAUUUUACAAGCAGCGACCACUAAUUUUUGUGAUGAAAUUAAGCUCGGUCAAGGUGGAUUUGGCCCUGUGUACAAGGUAAUUAUGAUUAGAAUUUUCUUUAUGAUGAAGCCUACAAAGUAUAUAUGUUAAUAUGUUAAUUUCCAGGGCACACUAGCAGAUGGAAACGAAAUUGCAGUUAAAAGGCUUUCAAGAGCUUCUAGUCAAGGGCUGCUUGAGUUCAAAAAUGAAGUCAUGUUAAUUGCCAAACUACAACAUAGAAAUCUUGUGAGGCUCUUAGGAUGUUGCUUAGAGAAAAAUGAAAAGUUACUUGUAUAUGAAUUCCUGCCCAAUAGAAGUCUUGACCUGUUCCUAUUUGGUUUGAGCCUUAAACCUUUAAAUAACGACAUUUUUCUUUAUACAUAAACAAAAUGAAUUUGAAUAUUUAACUAGUGUUUUUUUUUGGAACGUUUAUUAGAUUUUAGUUUGGCUACACAAUUGUCGGCAAAAGCGAUUCAAUAUUAUUAAUGGAAUUGCCCAAGGUAUCAUGUAUCUGCAUGAGGAUUCUCAUAUUAGGGUUAUCCACAGAGACCUUAAAGCAAGUAAUGUUUUACUUGAUCAUGAGAUGAAUCCGAAAAUUUCAGACAUUGGCAUGGCAAAAUUUUUUUGUAGAGAUCAAAAUGAAGCAAAUACAAAUAGAGUAGUCAGAACAUAGUAAGUCCUAUGGAUUCUUCCCAACUUGUUCUCUCAAAAUGUGUCUUUUGUAAUUUGACAUUUUAUUCUUCAUUGUUUCCAAUUUCAACUUAAUGAGAUAUAUAAAACAUUUAACUUGUUAAAAGGAAAAAAAGAUUUAUCCUCUACUUCAAAGUCAUGCAAGUUAGAAGGAUCCCGUGCAAUUAAUGAUUUAUUGUAUGUUUCCAUGGUUAGUAGUAGGGGUGAGCAAAACUCGAUUCGACUCGAAAAAAUUGCAAAAAAUUCGAAUUUCGAGUUAAACGAAUCGAGUUAUUCGAGUUAAUCGAGUUAUUCGAAUCAACUCGAAUAUUUUUUUCGAAUUUCGAGUUCGAAUCGAGUUGAGUUUUCAAAUUCGAAUAACUCGAAUAAUUCGAAUAAUUCGAAUAUCAAACUAUAAUAUUUUACAUUUUUACCCCAAACUCCCAAACCUUUUUACUUUUCCCUCAAAACUUUUACUCCUUCCCACUUUCCCCCCAAAACUUUUACUCCCCUCCCCUCCCAACCCCCCAAUCUACCCAAAAUCCAUUUCCCACCAAAAUUUUACUCUCCCAUUUAUUUUUUCUCAAAAUUUUACUCCCAAAAACCCUCAAAACCUUUUAUUUUCCCCCAAAAUUUUUACUCCCUCCCACUUUUCCCCUAAAACUUUUGUUCCCUUCCCAUCCCACCUCCCAUCUAUCCCAAACUCUCCCCCCUCCAAAUUUUUUUUAAUAUUUUUUCUCCAAAAUUUUACUCCCCCUAUUUACUUUCCCUCAAACUUUUAUUCCCCAAAACUUUUUAUUUUUCCCCUAAACUUUUACUUCUCACCCUUCACUCUCAAAUAAAAAAUCAAAAUUAUCCAAAAAAAAUCACUAAACUUAAAUAGUAAUAAUUUUAUUUAUAUCUACUAUUUAUAUUAUUAAAUUAAAUUUCACAUUUUAUAUUAUUUAUAUUAUUGAAUUGUUUAGUCAUAUUGAAUAUUUAUAUUAAAAUUGAAUUAUUAAUUAUGCUAUAAAAUAUUCGUGUUAAAAUUUUAUAUUGGUAUCAAUUUCACAUUUUAUUUUUAAAAUAAAUUUUAUUAAAAAAAUCAUAUUUUUACAUUUAAUAUAUUUUUUAAUUCUAAAAUACAUAGUGACAAGAAUCUGAAGAUAAUUGAAACAACUAAGCAAGCAAAGAAGCUAACCAAUAUAUAAAAAAUUAAUAAAUAAAUUAUGAAGUGAUGAAAGUUAAUAAAAAAUUUGAUUAAGGUGGACAAAUUUUAUUACGAUGGGUGACAAUGGUUACAAGGACCCAAAAUUAUUUUUUAAAAUUUAACUCGAACAAAUAUAUUCGAUUCGAUUCGAUUCGAAUUCCAUCUCACUCGACUCGAUUCGAGAAAAAUUCAAAUAAAGUUAGGAUGAUAAAAUGAGAUUCGAAAACUCGAUUAACUCGAAAAUUUUCGAUUCGAUUCGAUUCGAUUCGAUCGAAUGCUCACCCCUAGUUAGUAGUUAACAAAACUAAGAUGGGUUGUUAUUGAAAAACCUUACCAAAAUCUUCACAUUUCAAACUUGGAAGAUUGUGCGUCGUCAUUUUCCUCCACAACCUCUCUUUUUCUUUCUUCUUAUUUUAAAAGUUUAUAAUUUGGUAUUAUUUUGUUUUUGUUAAUGCAGUUUUCAAAAAUUAUGGAAAUGAAGCAUUUAUCUUCAGUUGGAGUCAACCCUAAUUAAACUAUACCACCGUUUUCCUUUCAAAUGGAACUCAAGAGUGUGAGUUUUUAAGUGUUUUCUAAUGUUUAGAGUGACGGUUCUCUCUGUUGUUGAGAGCAGUUUUACCACAAUCGACUCCGAUCUUGAAUAAGGGUUAUUCCUAAGGCAAAGUGUUUAGAGUGUGAGUUUUUAAGUGUUUUCUAAUGUCUCAUGCUAGUUUCAAUUUCUAGUGCAUGAUUAUAUGUAGAUUAUUCCUAAGGCAUUGUCGGUGAAAACAAUAAAUUGAGGGAGAUUAACUUGAAUAAGGGUUGAGAAUUUUGCUUAAGGACAAACAAAUGCUUAAGUGUGGGGAUAUUUGAUAAGUGCUAAAACUGAUAUGUUUUAACAUCAUUCUUAAUGUGUUUUUGGUUGAUUAUUCGAUGUUAAUUAUGCUCCUAAUCCUUACAAUUCAUGUUUUUAUGCUUAAUAGAACAUUUGGGAGUAAAAUGAGAGAAAAAUGAACGAAAACCUGAAAAUGGGGGCAAAGUAUAGGACACGGGCUGACCUAUUCCACAUGAUGGUAGGUUGUGUCGAUUUCGUAGAUUUGCACUCUGAACUGUAAAAAAAUACAAAUUUUAGAUUUUUUUCGAGCAUUUUAAUACGUAUAUAUGAAAAAAAUAAGAAGAUAGGAGAGAACCUUCCUAGAAUAUUUAAGAAAACAACUCCAAAGACACUAUUGAAGUCGACUCUGAAGCAAAUUUUCAUCAAGAUUGAAGAUUCCCAGUUGAUUUCUUAAGAGAUUAUCAUGAGUUUCUUUAUUUCUUUCGGUUAUACUGCCCUUUGGAUGUUUGUAUUUUUAAGCAUGAACUAAUUUUCUAAAUACCUAAGAGAGAUGAACCCUAUGAUAGAUUGUGACACCCCAAACCCAACCGGGAUAGACCAGCCCGAAUUCGAAGCAUUACAUUAGCCACCUAAGUGACUCUCCAGCUAACGACCACCCAAGACACACCUCGACCUUAUAAAACCUCAAUCUUAUCUAAUUACUAGUUAUUUAUUAAUGCAUAAGUGAAUUAUGAGCCAAUUUUAAACUUUUCCUAGGUAAUUUAACCUAAGGGCAAUUUUGUCAUUUUACCACCUAAUGUAAAACUAACCCGAUUUUAGAUCUAAGUGUUUACCAACCUUCUUUUAGUCAAUUUAUACAAGCCUAAAAUUUUCAGCUUAAUUUGAGUCCGUUUACUAUGUCUAAUUCAAGUUUUAUUAUUAAGGACUAAAUUGUAACUUAAAACAAAUUAAAAUACCAAUUUAAAGAGACAAAAAUUCAAAACCCCAAAACUCACACGGGCGUGUGGAGACUAGAGCUAUCACACACGGGCGUGUGGGAUUGAAAAAUAUUAAAUAAAUUAAUCCACUCAAAUUUCCAACAACCAUGCUAUACUAUCAAACAAAAAAACGCUUGAAGUUUUGAAUAGGGGCGAAUCUAAAAAAAAAUUAGAAGAAUUAGAAAUAAAUUAUAAAAUUUUGAGAAGUUAAAAUAUAAUUUUAUCAUGUAUUAAUUUAUUAUUUUUUAAAGGGUCCUAAUAUAAUUUUUUUUCCCAUUUUGGUUAGGCCAAUACCCCUGCCUGCGUCUUUAAAUUUGCUCCAACCCUAAACCCAAUAUUCGAUUUGGAUUAACAACAAUAUAUAGGUUAGUAUUUGUGGGAGUUUGACGAAUAAAAAUUUCUUUUUUAGAGGUUUAAAUUAUCAAUUUUUGAAAGAUUAAAAUAAAUUUGUAUUUUUUUAUUAACAAAAUAUAAAAGAAAAAAAAAACAUGUUUAGCCAAGCCAAGAGACCUUUGGAUCAUACGGGUGAUUUUGAGAUGUUAAUGGUUAUUUUGGUGGAGAGGGUAAAAAAGAAACAAAUAAUUCAUUAUAUAUAAUAUAAUUAUGAAAUUCAAGCCAUAUAUUGUAUGUUUCAUACAUAAAAAUUUCAUGGGAGGUCCAAAGGUAAUUAAAUGACUUGUAGGCUUGCUGAAUUUCUUUGAAAGGCCCAAAGGCAAUUUGACAUUCACAAAAUAAUCUGUAAAUACUGUAAAGACAAAUCAAAUCCACAGUAACAUUAGAGUUGAUUAAGCUAAGCAUUGACAAAUAUUACUUUGAUUUUGCAUGCAAUAUUGGCAAAACCCCCUCUUACAUUAGAAAAACAACAUAAUCCAUGAAACAUUGAUAGCCCAAUACAAAUUUCAUCGAGAAAAAAGUCUCUUUGUUUUGUAGAACAUGAUAGUAAAGAUGUGGAGUUUCGUUCUUCUUAUUGGCCUCCUUUAGUGUUCCUUGAUCAACAACCACUAGCUAAAAACACAAUUAGAUUAAAUUAUCAAUGAUACUUUUAACUAUGACAAUAUUAAAUACAAAACACUCUAAAUAACUCUAAAUAAAUGGAAAGCAGCAAAUUACUUGACGAGACAAUCUAGCUCAAUUAAGACCAUUGUGUUAUACUUCUCUGAAUUGAAAAUUUUAGAAGGAAAUAAAGAGAGAGACAUAGAAAAUACUUGAAAACAGAUAAAACUUAUAUGUCAUUUAAAAAAAAAAUUUCUAUUUAACCCAUUUAAAAUUUUUAAGAUUUUUAAAAUUUUAAAAUGAUAAAGGUAAAAUUGUACUUUGGCACCCAAAAAUGAUAAAACUUUGAUUUAAUUCUUUAGAAAUUAUAAAAAUAUAUGCUAUUAAAAUGGUGAAAUUAUAUUUUUACUAUAGUAAAAAAUUACAAUUUAAUUUCACCCCUAAAAGGAUUUUCUGGCUUCGCCCCUAAUAAAAUCUUUGGCAAAGAUUAAAAUAAAAUUAUACCGUGAAUGGAAAAAGAAACUAAGAAAAUCCAAUCUAACAAAGAAAAUAACUUGUUGUCCAAAAGCUACCAUAAACCGUAAUUCAUGGGAAGGCUUGUUGCUUAUUUUAUUGGUUUCCAUUUUGAUUUUGCAAAAGAAGUUUGAAUUUUGAAGAGAGCCUACUACGUGAGAGCAAAAGAAAAAUAUAGUUUAUAUGAUUAAAAUUCUAGAAUAGAUUAAAAAUGUUGAAUUAAAGAUAAAAUUAAGUGUGAAUUAAUAACCACAAGUGUACUCUUUACUCACCAUCUCUGUUAAAAAUGUUGGAUGCUGUUUAGCAACCUUUGUUUGAUUUUCUUCAGCUCAACCACAACAUCUUUCAUAUCUUUUCUUUCUUCUGGUAACUCAGCUGAACAAUUCAAAGCCAACUCCAUGAUAGAUGAAAUACAAUUUGCUUUAACAACAAUGUACUCAUCCUCUCUUCUUAAUAAAUCAACAUCUGCAAUUUCUAUCGCUCCUUUAGGCAAUGAUCUUUCCAUCCAAUGCCUCAUAGUCUCUUCUUCAACAAAAACAUUAUCAGUUGGCUUUUUCUUUGUGAAAGUUUCUAUAAGGACAAUCCCAUAACUAUAGACGUCAGAUUUUAUAGAAACAAUUUCUGCUGAUCCAAAUUCUGCAUUUCAAGUAUAAUUAGAACAUCAUUCAUCCUCAAUUAUUUUUAAAAUGCUUAUUCAAAUAUAUAUCCACAUCCACAUGAAACAAAAAUAUAAAAUGNNNNNNNNNNNNNNNNNNNNNNNNNNNNNNNNNNNNNNNNNNNNNNNNNNNNNNNNNNNNNNNNNNNNNNNNNNNNNNNNNNNNNNNNNNNNNNNNNNNNGGUUUGCUUCAUUACUUCACCUUCCCCCAACAAUUUGGCAACGCCAAAAUCUCCAACAUGUGCAACCAUGUCUUCAUCUAGUAAAAUAUUGCUUGGUUUUAUGUCGCAAUGAGUUAUAGGUGUUGGAUGUCCAUUGUGGAGGUGUUCUAUAGCUAGCGCAACAUCUAUCAUUAUGUCGACCCUUUGUAUGAUAUCAAGGAAACAAUUUUCAGAAUGUAACCAUUUCUCAAGGUUUCCAUUAGACAUGUAAUCAAGCACCAAGGCUUUGAAGUCAACACUUGAGCAGCAAGUAAUGACCUUCACAAUAUUACGAUGAACUAUAUUACGCAUAGCAUCACAUUCAAUGUCAAAACUCCUAAAUGCUCCCUCUGUUUGCAAAUUGAAAACUUUUAUUGCAACUUCCAUUCCAUCUGAAAGCCUCCCUUUAUAUACAUAUCCAAAACUCCCUGAACCAAGCAUAUUGCUUUCCUCAAAUCCAUUAGUUGCUCGGGAAAGUUCAUCAUGUGAAAUUCUUUUCAAAGACAACAAAUCAUCUUUAAUUGGUAGAGUUGUACUCCUUCUUUGGCAUCUUCUAUACAUNNNNNNNNNNNNNNNNNNNNNNNNNNNNNNNNNNNNNNNNNNNNNNNNNNNNNNNNNNNNNNNNNNNNNNNNNNNNNNNNNNNNNNNNNNNNNNNNNNNNAUUUGGGAGUUUUUGUGGAUGUCGUUUUUGCAAGGUGGGACUAGCAAUCUAGGUGGACCACAAAGUGCAUAAUUCUUCAUGAAUGAUGUGCUAGAAAAGUUUGAAAAACAUCCUUUGCUGGGAAUUUCCCCUUCAAGUCUAUUGAAAGACACAUUAAAAUACUUUAGAUAUAAAAGCUUUUCCAAAGAUUUGGGAAUGACUCCAGAGAGAUUGUUAUUGCAUAAAUCCAAGAAUUCCAAACUAAUCAACCCAUCAAAUGAUUCAGGGAUAUGACCAUGUAGUAUAUUAUUUGAUAAAUCUAAUGAAACCAAAGUUUGAAGACCCCCAAAUGUGGAUAAGACAUCGCCCGUGAGAAGAUUCCUUGAUAAAUUUAGUUUCAGUAGACUCCUAAGAUUUCCAACAUCAAUAGCAUGUGAAUUGUGAAGAUGGUUUAAUGAUAAAUCUAUUUUUAAGAUAUCUUUGAGAUUCCACAAAGUUGAGGGUAUUGCAGAACUCAAUUUGUUGGAAGCAAAGUAAAGAUAUCCUAAAGAAGUAAUAUUACCCAAACAAGAGGGUAUGGAUCCAUGCAGCUUAUUCAACCCUAAAAACAAGUUGUAUAAUCUCUCCAAAUCACAAAGGCUUUCUGAGAUGGGCCCUCCUAAUUUAUUAGAGGAAAGACCUAGACUUUGGAGAUUCCGCAGUCCUCCUAUUGAUUUUGGAAUGAAUCCACUUAAUUUAUUAUAGCCAUGUUCUAAAACCAACAUGUUGCUUAAGUUACCUAUUUCCAUAGGAAUAGUGCCUUGAAGCUCACACUCUUCGGCAUAAAAGUAUUGAAGGGAUUUUGAAAGGUUCCCAAUAUAAGUAGGAAGAACGCCACUCAAUGGAUUUUCUGAAACUCCUAUGGUUUUCAAAUUCUUACAAUUCGUCAAAGAAGAAAGAAAGCUCCACUCAUGAUCAGUAGCAGAUCCUGUGAUCAAAUUAUUGUUUACGAUUCGGAACCAUUCAAGCUGUCUUAAGUUGCCAAGCGUUUUAGGGAUUGGGCCAGAGAAUAAGUUAUCUCCCAAGUCUAGUUUCUUAAGCAUGGAAGCAUUGGAGAUAGAGUUGGGAAUGUUUCCGCUAAGUUUAUUUCCCCCAAAAAAAAGAAACUCAAGCUUUGGAGCAUUGGUGAUGGGUGGUAAAUUACCUGUAAAAUAGCAUCUUUUAGUAUACAUAUUCAUUGAAUACCAAAUUCACAAAAUAUAUAAUACAUUAAAAUAAAAACUGUAAAACUUUAAAUCAAUUAAGAAUAGAAUUUUGGCAUGGAAAAAUGUGAUGAAAUCAAUUAGAAAGUUGAGACAUAAUAAGAAGUUUUGAGUAGUAAUUACUCAUGAUUUCUAUAGACAAAACAUAUAAUAGACUGAUAAUUUUUUUAAAAUAUUGUAAAACCUGAAAUAAAAUAAAAAAUAAAAGUUUGGCACGAGAAUGUAGCAUCUAAUCAUUCUUAAAAAUAAGACUAACACUGAAUAAUAAUUAGUUAUGAUUUGAGAAAAAAAUUUUAAAGAUGUAUGAUUUUUAUCUAUUGGGUUAAUUAUUUAUUUUAAUUAAAUUACAGUGUAAAAUUUAAAGAUUAUUAUUUGCUCAAAAUUUUUGUAUUUUUCGUAUAUUUGAAAUUUAAUCUUUAUAUUUUUUAUUUUCUGUGAUUUAGUCUCUUUACUUUUUGAAUUGAAAAUUUUAAGUUUAUUUAUUAACACUGUUAAAAGGUUUUUGUGUUAGUAUGGCAUUUUAAAAAAUAAAAUAAACUUGAUAUCUAUGUUUUUAAUUAUUCCAAAUACUGUUUUACUAUUCCAAGAUAAAUUAUUUGUGUCUAGACCAAUAUCUUAAGAACUAUUGUUGCAUGUUUAAUUAUUCUAAAGAAUUGUUGAUUGAGACUUAGUUGAAGUGCACUAUUUUCCUAUUUAUGAAUUGGGGAGUUGGUAAAGUACUAAAUUUUGAUAUAUUUUAAAAUAUUAAAAAUUUAUUAAAAUAUUUUUUUAUAAAAAUUGAUUCUACCACAUUAUACAAUUUUAAUAUCAAAUUUUUAAUUUUUUUAAAAUAUUAGCGACUACCACAUUAUACAAUUUUAAUAUCAAAUUUUUAAUUUUUUUAAAAUAUUAGCGAAUAUAUACUUUAUUUCAAGUUACACAAUUUUUACUAGUUUUUAACUUUUUUUUUAAAUUUUUAUCCUCUUUUAUAAUUUCUAAUAAUUUUUUAUAAUUUUUUACAAUAUUUACAAUUUCUAACAAUUUGUAAUAAUUUUAUUAUUUAUUACAAAUUUAAAAAUUAACAAGUUUUUAUUUUUAAAACAAUUAUAUAUUUAUAAUGUAGUUAUUUUUUUAUAAUUUUUUUUGAAAUUUUAAAGAUUUUUUUGGUUUUUUUUCUAGAUGAUGAUGCCAUCAUGAUGACAUCAUAUGCCACAUGGCAAUUUAUAAUUAGUUAAAUAUCUCAAUCUAUUUUUUAACGUCCAAUGGACUAAAACAAGAACACCUGAUAAUGUUAGAGACUACACUGGGAAUGUUUGAUAAUAUCAGGUACUAAAGUGGGCAAAAAAAUUAAGGACUAUAUUAAAAAUAUAUCUANNNNNNNNNNNNNNNNNNNNNNNNNNNNNNNNNNNNNNNNNNNNNNNNNNNNNNNNNNNNNNNNNNNNNNNNNNNNNNNNNNNNNNNNNNNNNNNNNNNNNNNNNNNNNNNNNNNNNNNNNNNNNNNNNNNNNNNNNNNNNNNNNNNNNNNNNNNNNNNNNNNNNNNNNNNNNNNNNNNNNNNNNNNNNNNNNNNNNNNNNNNNNNNNNNNNNNNNNNNNNNNNNNNNNNNNNNNNNNNNNNNNNNNNNNNNNNNNNNNNNNNNNNNNNNNNNNNNNNNNNNNNNNNNNNNNNNNNNNNNNNNNNNNNNNNNNNNNNNNNNNNNNNNNNNNNNNNNNNNNNNNNNNNNNNNNNNNNNNNNNNNNNNNNNNNNNNNNNNNNNNNNNNNNNNNNNNNNNNNNNNNNNNNNNNNNNNNNNNNNNNNNNNNNNNNNNNNNNNNNNNNNNNNNNNNNNNNNNNNNNNNNNNNNNNNNNNNNNNNNNNNNNNNNNNNNNNNNNNNNNNNNNNNNNNNNNNNNUACAAUUAUUUAUGAUGAUGUUGUUGUCAAUUCCUAAGUUAGUGUCGAGUUAAUUUGUGACAUCAUAAAUUUAAGUGAUAAAUUUAAGGUUUUAUGUAUUGAUGCGGAUUCAAAUAUCACCAUAAUUUUUUUUAAAUAAAAAACUAAAGUACCCUCAAAUAUUAUAACUUAUAUUAAAUAUGAAAGGGUAUUUUUGUAAUUUCUCUAACAAGUUGGUGCCCGGUUGACUCAUGACACCAACUCAAUCAAAAGCUUCAAUAAUAAUAUAGAUAUUCACGUUAAAAAAAAGUACUUUAGUUCCAAAUAAUUAUAUAACAAGUAAAUUUAUAAUUGAUGAAUAAAUUUAUAAAAAUAUAUUUAUAUGAUCUAAUACAUUAUAUUUAUAUUAAUUAUAUAUCAUCUACAAACUUUGAAGAUCAAUUCAUUAAGUAUCAAGAAAGGAAAAAAAUGAAAUUGAAUUAACACUAAAUCAAUUUUUAGAUUUUGUACAGAUGAUUUAAUGAUGAUAAAAAAAUUAUUAGCACUAUUUUUGAAUUAACAAAAAAUUAGUGAUAUAUUUUAAUUAUAUUUAUUAAUUAUUAUUUUUAAUAAUGUUUUUUUUAAUUAUAUAAAGUAAAAUUACAUUGUAUAGUAAAUAUGGUACAUAUACUUUAAAUAUAACUAGAAAAUUUAUUAUAUAAAUUAAUAUAUUUUAAUUAUAUUCAACCAUUUGAAUAACAAAUAAAAAAAUAAUUAGAAUAAUUUAUUUUUUAAAGUUUAAUGGAAAUUAAAAAACUAAAAAUUAAUCAAUUCAUAUAAAUUUUGUUNNNNNNNNNNNNNNNNNNNNNNNNNNNNNNNNNNNNNNNNNNNNNNNNNNNNNNNNNNNNNNNNNNNNNNNNNNNNNNNNNNNNNNNNNNNNNNNNNNNNAUCAGAUGAAAAUGAUAAAAGUAUAUGACAUAAAUAGAAGAAACAAAUUCAACACCAUGUUUUUGGAGUUUGGAAAAUAUUAAAGUGAAAAACAUACCUUCUAAUUUGUUGUCAUAUAGACCUAUUUUUUCGAGCGUAGUUGAAUUAAAAAUACUAGUCGAAAAUUGAAGUGAAAAACAUACCUUCUAAACUGUUCAACUAAAAAUACUUUAAGCAUUUUUUUUAGUAAAGCCCUUCAAGCUUAUUUUUUAGUAAAGCCCUUCAAGCUUGGGAAGAUGUUGACACAUAUCAUUAGGCAAAGACUAAUAGCCUUCAAAGAAGAAAUCUUGAAGAUGGAAGAUGGAACCUGACCAGAUAAUUGAUUGAAUCCUAAGCUCAAGAUCUCUAGAUUAGACAUGUUAACAAGUGUUUCAGGGAUUGUGCCUGUAAAUUAAGUUAUUAUUUUUCAUUUUCAGCCUUCGAACUCUCUGUAAGUUCCCAAGCCAUGAUGGAAUUUCCUGAUUAAGACGGUUGUAGCAUAAUUGAAGGAUCCUCAAACGAUGCAAUUGGCCCAAUUCUUUAGGGAGAUGGCCAUAGAAAUGGUUGCUACUCAAGUCGAGAGAGAGUAGAAAUGAAAGAUUUCCAAGGUGUGGAGGGAUAGUACCCCUAAGAUUCAUGCUUGUAAGAUUCAAAGCUGUAACUCUUUUAUGGAGGAUGCCACAAGAAAC